AGCAAACCACGUACAUGUGCCGGUAGCUGGAUACUUUGCAAACAAUUCAUUGAUUUCUCUCCUCAUCCUGGUUUGGGACUUCAUAUAAACGAUUGCAAGAACCGUGAGUGUAAAAUGUCCUUGUUCCUUUUAUGCACUUGUAGAUAGGUUGAGAUGGUGGAAUGAGUAGCUAAUUUGCACCACGGAUGAAUGGUAUCGUAGGGUACUAAUUAUUAGGCGUGGGAAGUAUUAGGACAAUCAUUUCUAGCGGGAAUGGACUCCUAUGUUGCUUCAUAUCAAAAUCAACAUAAAUGUCAAGAUCAUGCACAUGUCGUUGCUAUCAUUCCUGCGUGUGCGAGCCCUGCCUGGCCCCAAAAGGAUGGAUGUGUACGGCAUAGUGCAGGUGCCCUACGUCAUACACGACCAACUGCCACCAGCAGGAGGUGGCUUGAUUCUUCGGCUGCACCGAGCCUGCCGAAGUCUACUAGGGCAGAUGCAGAGCGGGUGGCCACGACUGAGGUUGUUGAACUGUGCCAUAGAUGCAGACCAUAUGUGCAAGCUUGGCCUCGCUGGUUCUCUAGCCGGGAUACCUAACUGAGUGCUAGCAAGAGUUAUUUUUCUACCAGGUUGUUAGGCCCUUCAUGUACCGCUCUUACAUUCACCACAUCUCGUUACUUUGAUAUUUGUUCCAUCUUUUGUGAUCUUUGCCGAAGUUUGUCCUGUUUCAGAGUAUUACUUGAUGAUUUAUUAAGUUAUUUUUUAUGUUCAAAAAUGUAUCGAAUAUUUGUUGCGCACUAACACAAAUACUAAGAAAGAAUUGCACUCUUUAACAAAACAUAAAGGCAUUUUCAACAUCGACGGUCAAAUCACCCAUAACCGUCUGGACAGCGUGGUCCGGUUAUGUUUUGUUUAUAAAGGGCUCCAGCAUGGGUCGGACGAUCUGGAUUUGCUUCUUCAACCCCAUGUGCAUGGGUGUGACAAGUGACAAAAGGGUUGGGUUUGUCCUUUUUUUUCCUCAUUCACUCUCUUUGGACAAAUUGAGUCCCAUAUUUUUUUCAUCAACAAUAAAUUUUGACUGGACAUACAUUCACACGAUAGGUGAUGCAUGACAACAUUGUUUAGGCAAACUAACCCUCCUCGACGACCCAUUCCGAGUAGCCUCCCGGUGACACAAACGUAGGAGAAACGUCGAUGAAGGAGACACCACAAUUUUCCUGGUGACGAACACCACGGCGCACGAAUGCCUAUAUCUUGGUUUUAUUUCUCACAACGACUCAAACACAUACACCAAGGUACACAUGCAAACACGUGGUACUACCCAGAGGAGCUCUUCUGCUGGCCGAGCGCAUAUCACGGUCCCACCGGAGACUACUUCUUCCUCAUCUCUGGCUCAUUCUACAAACUAGAACCUUUACAUCUCUUGAGUAGAAGGCUGUGCACACACAUCGGUCGUCCACACCCAUGCACGCAUGCACAAACCACCAACAGGCCUAAUUACAUGCACUAACAGACUCAUCCGGCUAACAACCUGACGCACAACUUAUCCUAACAACCUUAACGUACAGGCAUUUGUAGCUAACUGAACAUAGCGUUCAUGAAGCUUCCCUCGUGAUCCGGUCAAUCAUGAGUGGCACAACGACUCGACUGCACGUAUGUCAAGAUUAUUUCCAACAAACAUAACAUGGGUGGCACACACUAGACAGGCAACAUAACUUACAUCUGCCAAUGGAUUGGGUACGUGAGCCAACUUCAUACAUGUGCUAGUAAAUAUAUCCUUUACUCCCCAAUAGAAACAGUGCAUAGCUUUUUCAGGAAUGGACUAGGCCAUAGGAAACUAAUUCGUAGGCUUGGGAGGCAUUAGGAUGGUUGUUUCUAGUACGACGGGGAAUCCAAGUUGCUUCAUACAUGUGGAAAUCACCACGAUUUGCAUGGGAAAAGAAUUAGCAUAAAGGAACCAUUUGGAGGCUUGGUCUCUACGUAAACGUUAGCAUGGUCGUGGCAACUGGCACCACGUGAUAAGAUUCAGAUUUAGAUUUUCGACUGGCCGGCCCAAAUGGGAAGAGGGCAAAGACCAGCAGGCGCGACGAACCGGAAGGCCCCCCUCUUUGUCGAAACGGUCGGCAUCCAGCUGAGGGUAUUUUCAUUCUUGGCCAAACUCCCGAAGUACUACCAUCUCGUCUUCUGAAUUGGCCACACAGACUGAUGGAAUGGAUCUACCUGUUCACCUGGUGUAAUGAAGGAUAAUCUAUUGAUGGAAGAGAAAUAAAGAAAAAAGAAAAUUAGUUUUUCUAGCUGUCGUGAUACGUAAGAACAUUUACAGUCGGACCUUGCAAAUACGGCACCUCAAACUCCCGCGGACGCGUCCGCGAGCACUGACCGGAUACGCCUUAUUUUUUGCCUUCCACAUCCGCAUACUUCGUAUCGGAACCCUCAUAUCCAUACAAACGCAUGCACCACUACGUAAAACAAGAGAUCAACAUCUUUUAUCGGAUCCGAUUACUUCGCCGAACAAAAGGAUAAUAGUUCCUUGCAGUUCAUCGUCGAAUUCAUAAAAGAAACUACUUAAGCAUAACUAAAAUAUGAACAAAAUGGGGACCGGCGGAGGAAAUCGCAAUUUCCUUACCGCCCCUUCCCCUUCCGGUCAACCACGCCUAUGUGCCCCUCCUCCGUGUAGGCGUUAAUGUGCGGUGGAGCAACGUCGCCGUCGUCAUCAGAGCCGGGUGUGGUGGAGAAGUUGUUGUCAUCCUCGUCAAAGCUGCACCGCAUGUCGGACAUCGUGCGGUGCAGGCGGUCCCGCUCCUUCGCGGGGCGGGCUGCUUUCGCUGCCUCGCGCUCCGAUAAAUGGAUGCCCAGUCGGAGCACCUCGGCAUUCUUGCGGCGGAGGAGCAGCGUUCUCGGGGUCGAUCGGCGCGCUCGAGGUCAAACGCCGCUCGGCCAACGCCUCCCCCUCUUCCUAGCCUGCUGCCGCCCGCGAUGGGUUGUAUGCGCCUUGGACUCCAGCGUCCUCGUGCGCCCCAUUCCCGACACGGGAACGAGGACCCAGCGGUGGACGGGCCGCGUACCUGACCUGAAGCGGACCUCCCGGAGCGGGAGCGACCGGAGCUGAACUCCUCGCGGGAAGGGACGGUGACGUUGUCGGCGCUCCGUCGACGUGCGACGGGCCCGAGGGAUGCAGAUCCACUGCCGUCGACGAUCUGCUGGAGUGCGACGAGCUAGGAGGAUGCAGAUCCACUGUUGUCGGGCCCGCCUUGGUCUGGCAGCGACUGACAAUGUGAUGCGGAGAGCCACCUCCUCCACAUCGAAGUUCGAUCCAUUGGAUCUGCUUCCGUUGCCGUCCAUCGAAUCGGAGUGUGAGCAGGGGAAGUGGAGUGGACGGAGAGUGAACUAGCAUAUGUCCAGGGUUUUCCCGAUUAGGGUAUUUAGUGGGGUCCAUGAUGGGUCGGGCUGACGUGACGGUGGGGAUGGUGGUGGGCCAGGCAGUCACGUGGGCGUGCCCGGGCUCCCCCAUAUAUGUUUCAUAUUUGUGUUGGAUAUGAGGGGUGCCGGUCAGCCCGGACAGUUGACAUCCGUUUCGGGAGUCCGUCUGGAUCGAUUUUUCGUGACCGGGCGUGACCGGACGGCUUACCCAGACGUAUGAGAUGGAUAUAAGAGAUCGGUUGUAGAUGCUCUAAGGAGAAGCAUCCGUUGUCUACCUCAUAAUUAAGAUUGGUGCGGCCGGCGGGCAUAAACAUGGGAAAUAUUUUCUUGCACAUAGACAUUAUAAUACAUUGAUGUUUCGGUGAUAAUGGGUCACUGCUGCCGAAUCUGACAUGCCUCCUUUUCUUGGGAAGAAUAGUUAUUUCAUAAAUAUUAUUUUGGAAACAAUCAAGGUUAUCCAUGUGGAUUUUGUUAACAACUCCAUCAGAUUGGCUUUGAUCAUUCACAGAAACCUUAGUAGAAUUCUGCCUGGAGAAAAUGGUGCAUGCUACAGUGGUUGUCGUGGCCUCCACCCAUCGCUGGUGGAUAAAAACAUCAAUCGAGGCAUAAAAAGUAGCUUAUUGGGUCAUCACGUUUCGAAAUUUCAAGGUCUACCGCAGUGUAUUAAACAAUGUCAACAUUAUGCAGCUGCUAAUUUUGGAAUAUUUGCACACAUCCACAGGAACCACCCUCACAUUGAAUGACCACGAUAUGGGUACCACGUAACCCGUCUUACAAAAAACUAAGGGCGGAAACGAGUGGUAGAAGCAUAAUUUUAAAUAGCCGGUUAUAUCCCUGUUAUCGCCUUGCUAUAGCCUUUUCAAUUGGUUGUCAUUAAAUGGUAUCAUGUAUAAAUGUACCCCUAUAGCCCGCUAUAGCUCGAGCUAUAGCUCUGCUAUAGCUAAUUUUAAGGGGUGCCGCUAUUUUCCAUAGCCCGCAAGAGGAGAAGGGUCGUUGUGUAAGUCAAAUCUUCGCUCCGCUGGUGGCUGGGUAGACAAUUCUCCCGCCGAGCCGGAGUUUUUCUCAUUCGAAGCAUCUUGUUCUAUACUUACAUUUAGACAAUAAAUGAUGGAGGACAACUGAAACCUAUGUGAUAAAUAUGCAACAUUACUUCAAUCUUGAUAAGACACUGUCAUAGAUAAAUACCCACAUCAAUUAAUUGUACACAUACCAGAGUAGGUGACACAAUCAAAUAUGUGAGUAAUUAAUUGUAUACUUCACCUCUCAACUAAAACACUUUGUAGGUUUCUCUCCAUUUCUUGGUAUCAACGACUAUAUAAACCAUUGCAAGAAUCAGAGCUAUAAAAAUGAGCUACAACAUACUCCGUAUCUAAGUACUCAUAUUGCCCUUCUAGCUACAUUGAGAUAAUGUAAAGAGUAGCUAAUUUGCACUAGUGCAGAAGUCGAAAGGAUACCAAUCUGUGGGAUUGAGAGCCAUUACGAUUGCCAGUCCUAGUAACAAUGACAAGAUUCGUUGCUUCAUGUGGAAAGACCACACUUCUAGUGGAAACCAGGGUGUAGGUGGGUUGGCUGGACGAGCUUUGGUUGAACUGAUCUUCGCGGACCCUGCACCUCGGCGUGGCUGUGCAAGAGGAGGAACCCAGUGACGGCUUUAAACUACGCUAGGCCAUCUCCCAUGGCUCACCAGUCAUCUCAAGCCACCGUCGCCUGUUGUCCUUGCCUUGGCCUUGUCCCAGGAGGAAGAAUACUGACGCAGACUGCACACACAUGUAGGAAGAACACACAGAGUCUAGUGCACACGCACUUGUGCUUUCCUCUUGUUCUCUCUUGACCAGAAUAAACAACAUGAUUACAGAGCUUGCCAUGACCGUUGCCACUGGGUACGGAAACGCUACAAGAAAUGGUUCAAGGUUCCAUUAGUCAUGCCAAAAUUUAUCGGCAGUCGGUUGAUCGGCGAUGACGAGAUUAUCGGUACAUCCGCAAGCGGCUAUCAUUAGCCGUCUAUAAACAAGAAAACGAUCAUUUUCUUCAACUUUGAUUAGUUGUCAAGUGAUGCAUGCAUUUUUUCUUGUAGUUGUGAGUAUAUGAUGAUUUUCUUUCUAAUUUUGGAUAGUUAAAAAAGAAUCACUGCUCGACAAUCGAUGUUGGUUUGUCUUCCCAGGACUGCAGCUUAAGCUCUACCUGGUCAGCACUUUACUGACCGACAUUGUCCCACUAUUAGGUGAUGCUAUUGAUAGUAGUUCGCGAAAGAUUUGGACCCCACUAUUAGGUGAUGCUAUUGAUAGUACUUCGCGAUAGAUUUGGACCUUGCCAUUCUUAAUGAGCUGACACCUUGUAACUUAUCUGAUCAGCGCGCAUGCUACAGCUUGCCAACAACAUGUAUGUUAGCAGUCGGUCAGGGACGUUCAGUGCUAGCUUUGUACGUGCAUGCAUGAGACAUCCAUCUUGCCUUCGUCUCCAUUGUUGCGUGUCGCGGGAAGCCAGUCAGCGUGUGGUACUGGGCCAAUAUGCGCUAGCUAGGGUUGAGAUUGCCAAGGGUUGGGUUCGACAUAUUUCUUCGAUUUCGACAUAAGCAAGUCGUCUCGUCCGGGCCGUACCAACUUGGCUUCUGACCUCGUGUGCACCUUACUUGCCUCUAGCUACGCAAGUCAAGCAUGGCCUACAGCUCGAGGUCAAGAUAGCAAUACGACCAUGAACUAUGCAUGCAUGACACAAAGUAGUAUACCAUUUAAUAUAAUACGGUAUCAUAAUAUGAUACCACAUCCUCUAUUUUGUCAUUUAAUGAUAUGCCACAUCAUCAAAUAAAUCUAAUUGACAUGCAUGAUACUGCUUAUGAUAUUCCCAUUAUGAACCAGCCUAACGAGGAGUACCAUAUAUAUACUUGUAUCACGCAUAUGAUAUUAGUGUAUUAUACUACAGCCAUAGUGUAUGCUAUCAUAUAUGAGUAUCAUAUGAUAGUUUAUUUAUUGUUAUGCAUGAUCCAUAAUAGACAUCAUCUAAUAUGAUAUUGUAUUAUGAUAUUGAUACCCGAACCUUUCUUUUUUUACUUAAUUUUAUACCACCUUACAAAACAAAUAUAGUUGGCAUGCGUGAUACUAUCUAUGAUACUCCCAUUACGAACAACCUAAGCCAAUACUACUACAUAGUGCUUAAUCAACUAGUCUAUAAAUGUGGUGCCUCAGGCCGCCCCUCGCCUGAUCUAUCAUCUAUCUAGCCCAACAAAUACCAUUUGCUCUCAUCUCAUGGCCGCGCACGCAUUCAAGGUCUCCGUCAUCGUCGUUCUGAUUGCCAUCUGCGUUGUCGUGUUGGCCCCUACCAUGGCGGAAGCGGGGUGCACCGAGCACCGCGGUUGCGAGCCCAGCCUGGCUCCAAAACGAGUGAUGUGCACCGACAUGUGAGGCGCCCUGCAUCGUGUGAGAGAGACUCCCGCCUCUAGGAGGAGGCUUGCUUCUUCGACUACAUCGAGUCUGCCGAGGACUGCAAUGAUAGAUGCAGAGCGGGCGGCGACGACUGAGGGUCUUGUUAGUUCGCUAGCCGGGAAGCCUACCUGAGUGCUAGUGCUGCUGGCUACGCCUAUAGGGAUUUCCUUGGCAAAUAUGCAAAGGAUUCCCCCGCGGCCUUGGAGCCUUGCGUUGGUGUUCCCUUGAAGAGGAAAGGGUGAUGUAGCACAGCGGCGGUAAGUAUUUCCCUCAGUUUGAGGAACCAAGGUAUCAAUCCAGUAGGAGGAUCGCGUCAAGUCACAAGUACCUGCACAAACACAAAGAGCUUGCACCCAACGCUAUGAAGGGGUUUUCAAUCCCUUAUAGAUUGUUUGCAAAGUGAGAACUGAAAGCAAAAAGUAAACAAAGAAAAGUAAAAGUAAAAGCGGAGAUGAUAGUUGUGAAUAGACCCAGGGGCCGUAGUGUUCGCUAGUGGCUUCUCUCAUGAAAGCAAGUAGAUGGUGGGUGAACGAAUUACUGUCGAGCAAUUGAUAGAACCGCGCAAAUUCAUGGCGUUAUCUAUAGAAACGAUCAUACAUAUAGGCAUCACGUCCAAAUCAAGUAGACCGAUACUUNNNNNNNNNNNNNNNNNNNNNNNNNNNNNNNNNNNNNNNNNNNNNNNNNNNNNNNNNNNNNNNNNNNNNNNNNNNNNNNNNNNNNNNNNNNNNNNNNNNNNNNNNNNNNNNNNNNNNNNNNNNNNNNNNNNNNNNNNNNNNNNNNNNNNNNNNNNNNNNNNNNNNNNNNNNNNNNNNNNNNNNNNNNNNNNNNNNUAUUGAGUUCAUAAGAAUAGAGUAACGCCUUAAGCAAGAUGACAUGAUGUAGAUGGACAAUCUCAAAUCUAUGAUGAAAGCCCAUCUUGUUACUUGCGUGCCUUGUUGCCCCUUCCGUCACUGGGAAAGGUCACCGCACGGUAUGAACCCAAAACCAAGCACUUCUCCCAUUGCAAGAAUCAUAGAUCUAGUUGGCCAAACAAAACCCAAGACUCGGAGAGACUUACAAGGAUAUCAAAUCAUGCAUAUAAGAAAUCAGCAAAGACUCAAAUAUAAUUCAUAGAUAAUCUGAUCACAAAUCCACAAUUCAUCGGAUCUCGACAAACACACCGCCAAAGAGGAUUACAUCGGAUAGAUCUCCAUGAAGAUCAUGAGAACUUUGUAUUGAAGAUCCAAGAGAGAGAAGAAGCCAUCUAGCUACUAACUACGGACCCGUAGGUCUGAAGUAGACUACUCCCGAGUCAUUGGAGAGGCAAUGAUGUUGAUGUAGAAGCCCUCCAGCUCCAAAGUCCCCUCCGGCAGGGCACCGGGAAGGGUCUCCAGAUGAGAUCUCGCGGAAACGGAAGCUUGCGGCGGCAGAAAAGUGGUUUCGUGGACGCCCUGAUUUUUUCUGGGAUUUUAGGGAAUAUAUAGGCCAAAGAGCUAGGACACGGGAGCUCCAGGGAGGCCAGAAGCCUAGUGGCUGCGGGCCCCCCUGGCCACGGCUACAGGGCUUGUGGGCUCCCUGUGGGCCUCCUGCCUUGGCCCUCAAGUCCCCCGAUCUUCUUCUGUUCUGGAAAAAUUUAUUUCGGGGAUUUUAUUCCGUUUGGACUCCGUUCCAAAAUCAGAUCUGAAAAGAGUCAAAAACACGGAAAAACAGGAACUGGCACUUGGCACUGAAUUAAUAAGUUAGUCCAAAAAAAGAUAUAAAAGGUAUAUAAAACAUCCAAAGUGGACAAGAUAACAUCAUGAAACCAUCAAAAAUUAUAGAUACGUUUGAGACGUAUCAAGCAUCCCCAAGCUUAACUCGUGCUCGUCCUCGAGUAGGGAAGUGAUAAAGAAUGAAUUUUUGAUGCUUUCAUGCUACCUAGCAUAGAUGUCCUUUGUAACUCCUCUUAUGAGACAUGAAUGUUCAGAUCCGUUAGAUUCAAAACAAUAGUUUGCUAUUGACGUGGAGACAAUAGUACUUCAAGCGAACUAACAAGGUAAUCAUGAACUUUCAAAAUAACAAGGCCAAAAGAAAGUUAUCCCUACAAAAUCAUAUAGUGUGGCUAUGCUCUAUCAUCCUUGCACAACGAAUUUAAAUCAUGCACAACCUCGGUAUUGGCCAAGUAAUUGUUUUCACACCUUUACUUUCUAAAACUUUUUCAACUCUCACGCAAUACAUGAGCGUGGGCCAUGGUUUUAGCACUAUAAGUGGAAUGGAGUGUGGUGGAGGUUGCAAGGCAAACAAGGAGAAUAUGGUCACAUAGACUAGGCAUAUCAAUGAGCUACAGAGAUGCUCAUCAAUAGAUAUCAAUGUGAAUGAGUAGGGAUUGCCAUACAAAUGAUGCACUAGAGCUAAGAGUAUGUGAAAGCUCUUAAAGAAAACUAGUGGGUGUGCAUCCAACUUGCUUGCUCACGAAGACCUAAGGCAAUUUUGAGGAAGCCCAUCAUUCUAAUAUACAAGCCAAGUUAUAAAAUGAAAAUUUCCCACUAGUUAUAUGGUGGUGACAAAACGAGAGACUCUCAAUCAUGAAGAUCAUGGUGCUUAAUAUGAAGCACAAGUGUGGAAAGGAGAUAGUAGCAUUGUCCCUUCUCUCUUUUUCUCUCAUUUUUUUGGUGGGCUCUUUGGCCUCUUUUAUUAUUUUUGUGGGCAUCUUUGGCCUCUUUUUGUAAAUGGGCUUCGCUGGCCUCUUUUAUUUCCUCACAUGGGACAAUGCUCCAUCAAUGAUGAUCAUCACACUUACAACUCAAAACUUAGAGCAAUGAUGACUCUAUAUGGAAUGCCUUCGGUAGUGUACUGUGACAAUGAUCUAGCAUGGCAUAGACAUCAAUGGAAACACCAUGCGAGCUAUCUUAUGAUCAUGCAAUGGCAAUAUAGAAGCUAUGGCACAUGUCAUCAUGGUAGUUGCAUGGCAAUAUAUCUUGGAAUGGCUUUCAAAAAGCCAUAGUAGGUAGGUAAGGUGGCUGUUUUGAGGGAGGCUAAAGGUGGUUUUAUGCACCGGCGAAAGUUGCACGACACUAAAGAAGAUAGUGAUGGUGGAAGGUGAAAGUGCAUCUAAACCAUGGACUCAACAUUAGUCAUGAAGAACUCAUAUACUUGUUGCAAAAGUUUUAGUAGUAAUCGAAACAAAGCAUUCAACGUAUACUCCUAGGGGAAGGGUUGGUAGGUAUAAACCAUCGCGCGAUCCCGACCGCUACAGAAAGGAUGACAAUCAAUAAAAUAAUCAUGCUCAGACUUCAUCACAUAGCGGUUCACCAUACGUGCAUGUUACGGGAAUCACUAACUUCAACACAAGAAUUUCUAGAUCCACGACACCUUACUAGUAUAACUUCAAUAUUACCACAACCACAACUCAAAACUAAUUGAGUUGAAUCAAACUUCUCUAACUACUCAAUGCACAUGAAGGUGGAAGUUUUCAUAUCCCUUUGGAUAACUAACCCUUUUGCGACUAUUUUCAUAACAUAGAUCAACUACCACGCCACACACUGCGUGCUCCAAAAGAUAGAAGUGAAGCACAAAGAGCAAAAUCAACUAGCUCAAAAGAUAUAAGUGAAACACAUGUGAGCUGAAUUGCCUAACAUAAGGAUAUAAGUGAAGCUUGACAAAAUCAUGGUGAGUGCAUGUCUCUCGCUCUAGGUGUGCAGCAAGGAAGAUUGUGACACAACAAAAAUAAAAGACUCCUACGAUACAAGAAGCUCCAAGAAAAACACAUAACAUGUGGUGAAUAAAAAUAUAGCCCCAAGUAACGUUACCGAUGGAUUGAAGACGAAAGAGGGGAUGCCUUCCCGGGGCAUCCCCAAGCUUAGGAUUUUUCGGCAUCCUUGAAUCAACUUGGGGUGCCUUGGUCAUCUCCAAGCUUGAGCUCUUGCCACUCUUUAUCUCUUUGUCCAUAAGAACUUCACCCAAUACUUGAAAACUUUACAACACGAAACUUAAACAGAAACUCGUGAUAACAUUAGUACAAGAAAGCAAACGACCACUUCCUUAGGUACUGUAGCAAACUUAAAUUCUACUUAUGUUGAUGUUGGGUUACUAUAUUUUCAAUCUUCCAUGGCUAAUACCCCACGAUACUAUCCAUAGUUUCAUCAAAAUAAGCAACCAACUCAACAAAAACAGAAUCUGUUAACAGCAGACCAGUCUGUAGCAAUCUGUAUACUUCGUAUACUUAUGGUACUUCAACAAUUUGGUAAAAUUACGACAGUCUGAAGAAUUUGCGUAGCAAUCAGUAGCAAAAAUAAACAACUCAAAAGCUCUCACAUAAAAAAAAUGAAAAUUCUUCUCGUGAGCAGAAAGUUUUUGUCUUUUCCAGCAUGACCAAACGAUCAUCCCCAAGACUAAUCAUCACGGUUUCACUUGGCACAAACGCAAAAAGAAACACAAAAAACACAAUCAUAACAGAAUUGUGAAAGUGUGGAAAACACAAAACAGAAAGAAAAAGGACAAAUUCGUUGGGUUGCCUCCCAACAAGCGCUAUUGUUUAACGCCCUUAGCUAGGCAUAAGGUGAUGGAAUCACGUAUAGUCAUCUUUGGUGCUCAAACCAUAAGUAGCCCUCAUCAUAGAUUCAUUAGGAAAUCUUAUUUUCUUUCUAGGAAAAUGCUCCAUGCCCUUCAUUAGAGGGAAUUGAAAUCUAAUAUUCCCUUCCUUCAUAUCGAUGAUAGCACCAAUAGUCCUUAGGAAAGGUCUACCAAGAAUAAUGGGACAUGAAGGAUUGCAAUCUAUGUCAAGUACAAUGAAAUCCAUGGGUACAGAGUUCUUAUUUGCAACAAUAAGAACAUCAUUGAUCCUUCCCAUGGGUUUCUUGAUAGUAGAAUCCGCAAGAUGCAAAUUAAGAGAACACUCUUCAAUCUCAUGAAAACUAAGAAUAUCACAUAAAGACUUUGGAAUCACGGAAACACUAGCACCCAAAUCACACAAAGCAUUGCAUUCAUAGUUUUUGAUUUUGAUUUUGAUAGUAGGUUCCCACUCAUCAUGAAGUUUUCUAGGUAUAGAGACUUCUAAUUCGAGUUUCUCUUCAAGAGAUUUCAUCAUAGCAUCUACGAUAUGAGCGGUAAAGGCUUUGCUUUGGCUAUAAACAUGUGGAGAGUUUGCAAUGGAUUGCAUCAAGGAAAUGCAUUCAAACAAGGAGAAACUAUCAUAAUUGAGUCCCUUGAAAUCCAAAGUGGGAAUUUCAUUACUACCCAAUAUUUUGAUUUCUUCUACUCCACUCUCCACACCCUUAUCAUCAAGAUAGGUGGACUCCGAAUCAUUGGGGCGUUUUUCAACCAAAGUGAAUUCAUAUCCAGCCCCUUCAUCAAUAGGUUUGACACGCGAAAACAAAGAUUCAAGAGGAGUCACACCAAGCACUUUAAGAUCUUCGUGAUUUGCAUCACUAGAACGCACCCUUUUAAACCAUUCAUGCCUAGCCCGAAUUUGGGCGGUUCUUUCUUUGCUCUCAUUCAUGGAGACGCGCAUAGCUUUUAAAGUUUCAUCCAAGUUGACCUUGGGAGGAGCACAUCUAACUUCCAAAGCAUCAAUAUCACAAGACAUCCUAUCAACGCUCUUAGCCAAAUCGUCUAUUUUUAGUAGUUUUUCCUCUAUGGACGCAUUGAAAAUCUUUUGAGAGUUGAUGAACCCUUUGAUAUUACUCUCUAAAUCAGAGGGUAAUUUGUUAUGAUUUCCAUAAGUGUUGUUGUAGGAAUUGCCAUAAUAGUUAGAGGAGUUACUAGGAAAAGGCCUAGGAACAUAUUUUCCUCUAAAAGCAUUGUUGUUGCCAAAAUUGUUCCUACGAACAAAAUUAACGUCCAAACUAGCGUUGCUAAUCUCAAUCAAGGAAGAUAGUGGCAUGUCAUUAGGAUGUAAAGGAGCAAUUCUACUAUCAACCAAAUUCAUCAACUCGUCCAUCUUAGCACUAAGCGAGUUAAUUUCUUCUAUAGCAUGUACCUUUUUGCUAGCACGUGACCUUUGAGUGUGCCACAGAGAGUAGUUGGUCAUGAUAUUGUCUAGGAGUUUUGUAGCUUCUCCUAACAUGAUUUCCAUGAACGUUCCACCUGAGGCGGAGUCCAAGAUAUUGCGAGAAGAAAAAUUCAAACCAGCGUAAAAGAUUUGUAUAAUCAUCCACAAACUCAAGGCAUAAGCGGGACAAUUUCUAAUCAUUAACUUCAUCCUCUCCCAAGAUUGUGCAACGUGUUCAUGAUCAAGUUGCUUGAAAUUCAUGAUAUCGUUACGGAGAGAGAUAAUCUUAGCCGACGGAAAAUACUUGGAUAUGUAAGCAUCUUUGCACUUAUUCCAAGAAUCGAUACUAUUUUUAGGCAAAGAAGAGAACCAAGUUUUUGCACGAUCUCGCAUAGAGAACGGAAAAACCUUCAAUUUAACAACAUCAUUAUCGACAUCUUUCUUGUUUUGCAUAUCGCAAAGUUCAAUGAAAGUAUUAAGAUGGGAUGCGGCAUCUUCACUAGGAAGGCCAGAAAAUUGCUCUUUCAUAACAAGAUUUAGCAAGGCAGCAUUGAUUUCAUAUGAUUCCGCACUAGUGGCGAGAGAAAUCGGAGUACUAAUAAAAUCAUUAUUAUUAGUAUUCGAGAAGUCACAAAGUUUGGUUUUUUCAGCCAUGAUGACUUCAACAAACAAACAAGAACACAAGCAAGCAAGAAAACUGGCAAAGGAAAACGGCAAAAGGCAAAUGAAAACGACAAAGGAGAAAGGCAAAUGAAAAGGGCAAAUGUGAAGUGGGGGAGAGGAAAACGAGAGGCAACUAGAAAAAAAGGUAAAUGCAAGAGAUGAGUUUGUGACACUUACUUGGAUAGAUCUUGACUUGAUCUCUCCUCCCUGGCAAUGGCGCCAGAAAUCCUUCUGCUGCUGGCUACGUCAAUAGGGAUUUCCUUGGCAAAUAUGCAAUGGAUUCCCCCGCGUCCUUGGAGCCUUGCAUUGGUGUUCCCUUGAAGAGGAAAGGGUGAUGUAGCACAGCGGCGGUAAGUAUUUCCCUCAGUUUGAGAACCAAGGUAUCAAUCCAGUAGGAGGAUCGCGUCAAGUCACAAGUACCUGCACAAACACAAAGAGCUUUCACCCAACGCUAUGAAGGGGUUGUCAAUCCCUUAUAGAUUGUUUGCAAAGUGAGAACUGAAAGCAAACAAGUAAACAAAGCAAAGUAAAAGUAAAAGCGGAGAUGAUAGUUGUGAAUAGACCCGGGGGCCAUAGUGUUCACUAGUGGCUUCUCUCAUGAAAGCAAGUAGAUGGUGGGUGAACGAAUUACUGUCGAGCAAUUGAUAGAACCGCACAAAGUCAUGACGUUAUCUAUGGCAAUGAUCAUACAUAUAGGCAUCACGUCCAAAACAAGUAGACCGAUACUNNNNNNNNNNNNNNNNNNNNNNNNNNNNNNNNNNNNNNNNNNNNNNNNNNNNNNNNNNNNNNNNNNNNNNNNNNNNNNNNNNNNNNNNNNNNNNNNNNNNNNNNNNNNNNNNNNNNNNNNNNNNNNNNNNNNNNNNNNNNNNNNNNNNNNNNNNNNNNNNNNNNNNNNNNNNNNNNNNNUAUUGAGUUCAUAAGAACAGAGUAACGCCUUAAGCAAGAUGACAUGAUGUAGAUGGACAAUCACAAAUCGAUGAUGAAAGCCCAUCUUGUUACUUGCGUGCCUUGUUGCCCUUCCGUCACUGGGAAAGGUCACCGCACGGUAUGAACCCAAAACCAAGCACUUCUCCCAUUGCAAAAAUCAUAGAUCUAGUUGGCCAAACAAAACCCAAGACUCGGAGAGACUUACAAGGAUAUCAAAUCAUGCAUAUAAGAAAUCAGCAAAGACUCAAAUAUAAUGCAUAGAUAAUCUGAUCACAAAUCCACAAUUCAUCGGAUCUCGACAGACACACCGCCAAAAAGGAUUACAUCGGAUAGAUCUCCAUGAAGAUCGUGGAGAACUUUGAAUUGAAGAUCCAAGAGAGAGAAGAAGCCAUCUAGCUACUAACUACGGACCCGUAGGUCUGAAGUAGACUACUCACGAGUCAUUGGAGAGGCAAUGAUGUUGAUGUAGAAGCCCUCCAGCUCCAAAGUCCCAUCCGGCAGGGCACCGGGAAGGGUCUCCAGAUGAGAUCUCGCGGAAACGGAAGCUUGCGGCGGCGGAAAAGUGGUUUCGUGAACGCCCUGAUUUUUUCUGGGAUUUUAGGGAAUAUAUAGGCCAAAGAGCUAGGGCAGGGGAGCUCCAAGUAGGCCACAAGCCUGGUGGCCGCGGGCCCCCCUGGCCGCGGCUACAUGGCUUGUGGGAUCCUUGUGGGCCUCCUGCCUUGGCCCUCAAGUACCCCGAUCUUCUUCUGUUCUGGAAAAAUUUAUUUCGGGGAUUUUAUUCCUUUUGGACUCCGUUCCAAAACCAGAUCUGAAAACAGUCAAAAACACAAAAAAACAGGAACUGUCACUUGGUACUGAAUUAAUAAGUUAGUCCAAAAAAAGUAUAAAAGGUAUAUAAAACAUCCAAAGUUGACAAGAUAACAACAUGAAACCAUAAAAAAUUAUAGAUACGUUUGAGACGUAUCAGCUAGCUGCAUUGAUUAGUCUACCAUGCAGUCAUACACUUGAUGUACCGAUCUUAAAUUCACCACAUGUCAUUACUAUGAUAUUUGUUCGAUGUGUUUCUGACCUUUGCCGAAGUUUGUCCUGUUUCAGAGUAUUAUAUGAUGAUUUUUCAUUUUUUGUGUUCUAAAAUGUACUGAAUAUUUUUUUGUGCGAUAACAAAACUACUCGGAAACAAGUGUACCCUUCAACAAAACAUCCGGGCAUCUCCAAUGCGGACCAUCAGACCGCCCACAACCGUCUGGACCGCACGGUCCAGAUCCGUUUUGGCAUCCAACGCGGUCCUGCAUUUGUUCGCUCAGCUGCCGGGAUGUGCUUCUCCAACCCCAUGUGCAUGGGGUGUCACAACUAGUGCCAAGGGUUGGGUUGGUCUUUUCUUUUUAUCAUUCACUCUUUUUGGGCAAAAUAAAUCUCAUAUUUUUCAUCAGUGAUCACUUUAGACUGACCUUACAUUCGCACCAUAGGUGAUGCAUGGAAACAUAACAUGGGUGGCACGCACUAGACAGGCAACUUAACUUACAUCUGACAAGGGAUUGGGUAGGUGAGCCAACCUCAUACAUGUGCUGCUAAAUGUACCCUUUACUCCACAACUAAAACAGUGCAUAGCCUUCUCUCCUCCUCCUGGUUUCCGCGUUCAUGUUAAACCAUUGCAAGAGUCAUGAAAAUGCAGAAGAUAUGCAAGUAUUGUUUCAGCCCUUCAAGUUAGGUUGAGAACAUGGAAAGAGAGCUACUUCUCAGUAAUGGAGGAGGCCAUAGGAUACCAAUCCGUAGGCUUGGGAGGCAUUAGGAUGAGUGUUUCUAGUACGACGCGGAAUCACAGUUGCUUUAUUCAUAUGGAAAUCACCACGAUUCUCACAACGACGGAGGCAGAAUAUUUUUUAUGGUAUGGCCAAUGCAAUUUGCCAUGCAUAUAGCAACACCAAGUUUUAAAAUUUCUCUAACACCAACGUGCAUAUAGCCUGAAUAUGAAAUUUUUUAGGUGUCUGUGUGAUGGAGGUCUAACCUUAUCUGAUUGCUGCCUCUGCCACUAGAUUCUUAUGGACACAUUGGACGCUUGCUCGUCCGCACAACCUGGCUUCUCCACUGCCUGGCACGUCCAUGUUCUUACUCGCGCAACGACUUGACUGCAUGUAUUUCAAGAUUAUUUCCAACAAACAUAGCAUGCUCGAUGCGAAUACCAAUUUGUGCCUCUGACGUUACUACUUUUCUAGUAGAUUGUCUUACGUACCCACCUUGGGCUCACCGAGGUCAUUUUCCCCUCUCAAACAUCUGGUUAAUGCGGUGACAUACUAGUUACCGCUGCCGUGAGACUAGAGGCCAAUCGUGCAGAUCUCGUCCACUAUACGCAUGUCAAUGUGUUGCGGUACCAGAUCAAGCCAUGGCCGCCAGGCUGGUAGAUAUAAUACUCUCGGAACGACCUUCUUAUCAUUAGUAGAGAGAUACUAAGGAGGACGAGCUGGCCCUGGGUGGUGAUGAUGAGGGGGUUCUCGUAGAAAUAGGUGUCGGUGGAUGAUACGUCUCCAACGUAUCUAUAAUUUUUGAUUGUUCCAUGCUAUUAUAUUAUCAACUUGGGAUGUCUUAUAUGUCAUUUUAUAUCAUUUUUGGGAUUAACCUAUUAACUCAGUGCCUAGUGUCAGUUUCUGUUUUUUCCGUGUUUUUGACCUUUUUCAGAAAAGAAUAUUAGACGGAGUCCAAACGUAAUAAAACCUGCGGGAUGAUUUUUUCCAUAACAGAAGAUACCUAGAAGACUUGAGAACCAAGGCAGGAGGUCUCGUGGGAGGUCACGAGCCCCCUAGGAGCACCCGAGGGGGACGCCUAAAUAGCAGGCUCGUGGGCCCCCUUGUCUCCAUUGCCCUACCUCUUUCGCCUAUAAAUUCCCAAAAAUCCCGAAACCAAUAGAGAGAGCCACGAAAAUACUUUUCCGCUGCCGCAAGCUUUUGUCUGAACGAGAUACCAUCUGGGGACCGUUCUGGUGCCCUGCCGGAGGGGGAUUCGGACAUGGAGGGCUUCUUCCACUACAAGAAAUAUGUCAACUAACGACCUUUUUGUCACAUCCCUAACCCUUAAGCAAGAUAGCAUUGUGCAUGUCUUCUUUGCAUUUGCAUCCCAGAAGUUUCAACAAAAACAACAAAGUGGCAAAGGAAAAACUCAAAAACCCUAGCCACCAUUUCAACUAAAGGAAAUUUCAACCUAGUUCAAAUCAAUGAACCCAAAAUGGCCUCAAGAAAUGUUCAAACUUUCUGAUAAAUCAUGAAAGUAAAUGAGCAUUAGAGAAAACUAUUUUCUUGACACUUUAAGCAUUUUAAAUAAAUGCAAAAGCCACUGGUUUCAAAUUUAAAAAUUUGAAAUCAGAAACUAUAAUUUUCCAAAAAUGUUGAAAGUCUUGGAAAUGAGUGGGGAUAUUAUAAUAAAUAUUUCACGGGGUCUAAAAUAGUUUUUACUUCUUGUUUUGGAGCUGAAAUAAUUAGCAAAGCAAUAAAUAGAAAAACAGAAAAAACCAAAAAAGAGAAAAUGGGAAAAGCUUACCUGUCGCCCAAGCCAGGCCCGGCCCAUCUCGCCGCUCGUCCCCUUCCCCGCGCCAGUAGGCAGCAGGAGGUGGCCGCCGCCUCCUCCGGCGCGGCCACGCACCUGCGUGCCUGCCUGGCCGCCGGUUCGCGCUGGCGACGACGGGGAUAAGCUCCCCAGAGCCUCCCCUAUCCAUUCCCCGCCUCGGUUCUCCUCCUCCGCCCGGAUCUCCUCCCCCUCCUUGCUGCCGCCAUUAGAGCCGAGCUCGAGCUCGAGCUGGCCGUGCCCCUGGCCAUAGGAUCCCCUCCGCGAGCACGCCAUUAGCUCCGCCUCGUCGCCCUGGUCAUUCCUGCAGAAGCCGAAGCUUCCUCGCGCCCUGCAACGCCCGCAACGCCGUCGUCUUCUUCCUCCGGCCGCCGGACCUCUCCCGUCGAUUCGUCGCCCCCAGGCCUUCCCCGAGCCGUCUGAGCUCUUCUCUGCACUCCCUGUGAGCAUGCGGUGGUUUUCCCUAAGUUUUCCCCGUCGAUCCCCUCCUCUAGCCCUAGUUUCACCGGAGCCCGACGAGCACCGCCGCUGCCGCUCGUCGCUGGUAGCCCUCCGAUGUCCAGCUCGUCCUCCCGAGAGCACCAGAAGCUCCAGGACGACGCGUAGAUGCCAUAGCAGCUAAGAACUAAGCGCGGAUCCCCCUGUUUCAAAGUCCUCGACGACGCCCGAGCUUCGGCCGCCGCUCCGCCUCGUCGCCGACGCCUCUUCUGGCGACCCUAGCCUCCCCAGUUGGUCCUGCCAGAUCGGCCACUUCGCGAGCUUGCUGUAGCUGCCAACCGCGUGCGUUUUCGUGUUGUGCAGCGCCGUCUAGGUCGCCUCCGGCGAGCCCUCCGCCGCGGGUUUGGUCGCCGGCGACCACCCUCCGGUGGCCGCCGACGUGGCCGACCAUUNNNNNNNNNNNNNNNNNNNNNNNNNNNNNNNNNNNNNNNNNNNNNNNNNNNNNNNNNNNNNNNNNNNNNNNNNNNNNNNNNNNNNNNNNNNNNNNNNNNNNNNNNNNNNNNNNNNNNNNNNNNNNNNNNNNNNNNNNNNNNNNNNNNNNNNNNNNNNNNNNNNNNNNNNNNNNNNNNNNNNNNNNNNNNNNNNNNNNNNNNNNNNNNNNNNNNNNNNNNNNNNNNNNNNNNNNNNNNNNNNNNNNNNNNNNNNNNNNNNNNNNNNNNNNNNNNNNNNNNNNNNNNNNNNNNNNNNNNNNAGCCUGAUGCAAUAAAUGGAAUUUCCAGUAUAAAAAUAAUUCAGGAAAUUGCUAAAAAUUGCAAAAAUCAUAGAAAUUAAUCUGUAACUCCAAUGAAAAUAAUUUAUAUAUGAAAAAGUAUCAGAAAAUUCAAGGAUUCUGAUUAUGCUAUUUUCAGCUAUGUUUGAAAAAGUUAGAGAACCCUAAAUUGUGAAAUAAGGAAUAAUUCAAUUCUUUUAAUCACUUUAUAAAUGGAAUUUGCAAAAAUAUCCAAAUUUCAUUAUAAAUGCAAUGAUCACACACUGCCCUAGAUAUAAAUCAGUACCAUAACAUGACAUUUCAUGCAUCUUAACAUUAAGUUGAUCUGAGCAUCAGGUCGAAUCAAUUAAACCGGUAUCCGAGAAUACCCGUUUGAAUUGCUAUUCGAGUGUGACUCAAAUCAACUCUAAACCUAAAACAUCUUGAUUAUAAUAACUUAUCACUUUGCAUUCUCAUGCCAUGCUCAUGCAUCAUUUUGAUUGCAUAUGAUUGUUAUUGAAUGUUGCCAUUCAUUUCGGUAGGCCCCGCACCCCCGGAUUCCACCGAAUAUCCGUCUGACGGAUAUCGUUCCUCCUCUUAGCAACAAGGCAAGCAACCCUUUUGAUCAUCCCAAUAACACCUAUGUUCUUGCUCCUGCACCUAUUUAUUACAUUAGGAUCAAAUGCUUCAACUGCUUUUGCCACGAUAGUUGGACCCACUUCCUUUGCAUGACUUAACCUUGUCACAGUAAAUAGCCGAACCUUGCAACCUAGCAUACCUGGUAGUUGCUUGAGCUAUAAUGUGCCUUAUCCUGCUAUGCAUGCUAUGCUUAGAGUUGUGUAUGGUCUGUCAUCUGGGAGAUGAGCAGAAAUGUGGAAUGUGUUCGGUGAGCAAAGGUUGUGUGUUGAACUUGAUUUGGUAAAGGUACCGGUGAAAGGCUGUGUAGGAGUACAUGGNNNNNNNNNNNNNNNNNNNNNNNNNNNNNNNNNNNNNNNNNNNNNNNNNNNNNNNNNNNNNNNNNNNNNNNNNNNNNNNNNNNNNNNNNNNNNNNNNNNNNNNNNNNNNNNNNNNNNNNNNNNNNNNNNNNNNNNNNNNNNNNNNNNNNNNNNNNNNNNNNNNNNNNNNNNNNNNNNNNNNNNNNNNNNNNNNNNNNNNNNNNNNNNNNNNNNNNNNNNNNNNNNNNNNNNNNNNNNNNNNNNNNNNNNNNNNNNNNNNNNNNNNNNNNNNNNNGUUUCUGGUGUUUAUAGUAAUGUUGGAGGCCGUGCAUGGUGCUGACCUGAGAGGUGGACCGUGAUGCGGUAGGCAGUGGCACGGUGUACCAAGUGGCACCCGGAUGGUGGGAUUGGGAACCCUGCGCACAUCGUUUGAGGCCGUGACGGAAACCUCGGCCGGACUUCCGUACGGGUUACUCUCAGAUAGGCGAUAAACCUGGACUAGGUACUAGUGUGGUUAACGGUCGUGGCCGACUCCCUCGCUGGGCUUCCGCUUGAAGGUUGCCGAGGUGCAUGACGUGCACAUGGCGAUAAGUGGCGGGAGCGUGUGUGACGAAGUACACCCCUGCAGGGUUAUGAUCUAUUCGAAUAGCCGCGUCCGCGGAUAUGGACUACUUGGAGACAUAUGUUGUUCAUAGAUAACUUCAACGGCUACUCAUAAAAUUGUCAAGAUAAGCAUGAGUGUCGUGGACGGCAUUUUCGUAUGGAGACGGAAUGAUUCCACGAUAGUGUAUUGUUGUGGUGUUAGUGGACUCGUGUGCGAGAAAUCAAGUUGUCAAAACUAAUUUAAAAAAGCAAGUUGUCUAGCCGCGAGUCAAAUGCUGGCUUUCCGCAUGAAACCCCACAAUACCUUCUUGAUACCUUGCAUGAGUAGUUAGUCAUCCUAAAGUCUUGCUGAGUACCUUCGUACUCAUGUUUGCUUAAUAAAUGUUGUAGAGGUUGCUAAUGACCCUAAUGGAGGGUUCUUCGUAGACAUCGACGACGACGAGUAGCUGGUGUCCCAGCUACGAUCUGGCCCUACGUCGGCUCUGUAGUAUAGUCAGGCCAUGUGCCUUCUAGUUGCUCUGUCUGUACCCAGACAGUUUAUAACUCUUCCGCUGGCUUGUAUUGUAUGACUGCUAUUAUGGGUCGUGAGACCCUUAAUGUGUAAUAAUAUGUGUGUGGCUCUUCCGAGCCUCUUAAAUAAAGCCUGUAUGUUUAUGGUUAUGUUGUGAUGCCAUCGAUGUAUCUAUACAUAUUGGUAUGCCAUGCGUACGUGUGUCUUACUUGAUAUGUAUGGGGUUCGAAUACCUAGUCGUGAACUUUAGUAGCACUCCUUACAAGGAAAUGCCCCUUUGUGAUCCAACGAGCCUUGGUAGUUCGCUACUGCUCCGGAUACAUUGGUUGACCGGCAUGUGUCCUUCUUAGCUGCUGUGUCUGUCCCCUUUGGGGAAAUGUCACGCGACGUAAUGGAGUCCUUGUAGCUUGCUACGACUCGUCUACGUUCGUUGAUGACCGACACCUGCUUUGUUGGGUCAUGUAUGCCUGUCCUUGUGCGGAACUGCCACUUUGGUUUAUGACUAGACAUGUCGAUCCGGGUUCUUUGACAUUGGAAUGCUAGCGACACUAUCGCAUACGUGGGUCAAAAGACGCAAACGGUCCCGGCUAAGGUAAGGCUGCAGCCGUGGAGUUAACCGUGCGUGAGACCACAAAGGGAUGCGAUGUGUUACAGGCUGGAUUCCUAUGGCUUAGGAUCGGGGUCCCGACACUUUUGUCAGUGACGCUCGAAGGAAUGGUCAUAAAUCUAUGACCAUUUGACAUCAUUUGGUCGUAAGUUGUCUGGAGGGGUCCUAGCCCCAAAAACCAACGACCAUUUUCAUCAGAAAGGUCAUCACUUGCUUACUGGAAAAGGUCAUAAAGCGGACAGCACCUGGCACUGCCUUAUUUCUAGGUGAUAAUGACCAAUAUGAAUGGUCGUUAGUAGGCUGGUGACCAGCGGUGGUGGUGCUGACGCCACGACCACCUCACCCAUCGGUAGUUGUUGCUGUUGCUGUUGCUAUCUACAUCAGAGAGCUGAAUUGAGAUGUUGCCUUUUGCUAACCAGUCGACCAUAAGAUCCUGCCAUAACAUUAAUGAAGCAAAAUAGAAGCAGCAAAAUAGAAGAAGCCAUAGCAUCCUACCACCAUAACAUCAAAAGUAUAAUACAUUCCAACACAGUUCACAACAACCUGCCGAUAACAGAGUGCGCAAAAGUACAAUAGUUCACAAGGACAUUAAACCGAUGAUCAUGGAGGGUGACUAAAUGGGACCUAGAGCCUUCAGGAGGGCUGCAUGCUCUGCCCUGGUCUUGAUGUCUUGAUCAGCACUCCGCGGUAAACCGCGUGCAUGCGAAAUUAGGUGUUCAUAAAUCCCAUCCCUGGGCUUGGGCUUUGUGGUGUAGUAUGGGCAUCUGAACAUUCCCCUCCUGAAGUAGGCCGCCGUCCCCUUCUCCCUGAUCUUCUGGGCUUCCUUCUCAAUGAAGGACUCUUUGUUGCCGUCCUCCACGUCAUCUCCAGAGUUAUACUACACACACAAAUUAAUUGUGCACACAUUAUUCAUUCAUAUAGGCAUUAUGGAGCCAGAACACACACUUCUAAUUCAGAAUGAUGCAAUGAAGAAACAUCAGAUAAUUCCCAUUUACCAAAUUUUAAUGAACAAACAAAGAAAAAAGUCAUGUAUAGUAAUCUAAUUAAACAAACAACAUUAAAACACUCUCUACAUCAAUUUCAUUAAAAAGCCCACCAACAUGCAUUCAUAUAGUGCUUAAGCUGAACUAAAAUAGUUGGGAUUACCUCAUACGGUUCGUCGUCGUCGUAGUCAGAGUCAUACGGGCUCUUGAACCCAGUCUUGGCGAGCUUCCUCUUCAUGCAUGCAACUUCCUUUUCCUGCAAUAUAAGUAAUUCGAUUAGUACAAACUAUGUAACAUAGUAUUCAAAAGGUCAAGCAUUCAACAAUGUGCUUCUAAUUACAUUCAUAGUGUUGCUGCAUCAGCCACCCUAUUCUCUGCACUGGGUCUGUCCUUUGUGCAUUUCACUUAUACAAUCUUUCGAUCCUUCAUACAAAGAUUUAAAUGUCCUUUCAAAAAAUCAAACUGUACACUAUAACUAUAUGUUAUGUAUACACUUCUUUUGUCAGGACAUGUGCUGGAUGUCACAAUGAAAUUGGCCAUGGACGUAAUCAGCCAAUAUAUGACUAUACUAUAACUAUAUGCUUGUAAUCAGCCAAUAUAUGACUAUGAGGUAGCUCUUUGUUGUUUUGUGUACUAAUUAAGCAGUUGCAUUGGUAUUGACUUUACCAACAAAAACAUGCGGUUCUCCAUGUCAGGACACCAUCCAUACCAUAAAACUUGUUACAAGGAGCGCUUUCAUCCAAAAUGUGAUGUCUGCAAGCAAUUUGUAAGUAUCACUUCAUUAUCUUUUCUUAUCUGUUUGCAUAAGACGAUUCUCUCUAUUGUGCAUUUUAUAUAGCAGAACAUUGCACUAUUGGGCUGCUCAGCCCCUGCCGUGCCCCGGUGAGGGGAUAACCACAACAAAUCUAUCAACAUAUCCAGCACAUAAUAAAAUCUAAGCACAUGCAGCAAUCAAGAUCCCAAUUCAAAACCUAACUCUUAUUAAAUCCUUACUAAUAAUCCCAGUAAAAUGCAAGAGAGGGGGCUGACCUAGGCGAAAGUUAGGAAUGGGUGUUCGUAUAUAUCAAGCACGUGACGUAGGUGAAAUCUUUACUAAUAAGAGAAAGAUUCCGUUUAUUCAAACCAACAAAAUGCAAAAGUUUUCCAACACAUGCAAAAGCAGAGUGUGUUCUGCUCUCUAAAUAUAUGAAAGCAGAAAACCCUAUCUAAAUAAUCUCCUGCUUAUCAACGAUAACUAUGAAAGCAGGGGAACGGGAAGCAUUACCACAUCCACAUGCACAAAUCAAGAUUGAAAUUAAAGAAAUCCAAGUCUCAAUAUAUAAAUCUAUGUAGCAUUCAAGCACGAAUCAACUAUAAAAACCCAGAAAACCCUAUCUAAAAAACCCACCUCAUCGUCGGCAGCACCGCUUGAGGUCGUGUCCUCCUCCUUCGGCACCUCCGCAGCGGCGACAACGGUUGCGGUCGUGUCCUCCUGCUUCGACACAGGCACCUCCUUCUCUUCCGCAGUGACGGUGACAGCGGUUGCGGUCGUGUCGACCUCCUGCUGCUUCGGCACCUCAAGCAGAUCCGCAACGGCGACGGCGGGACGAGCGCCCUCCGUUGGGAGACAAGGCCACGAGGGAGACGGUGCGACGAGGGAGACGAGGGAGACGAAAUGGGAGACGAGGCGACUAAGUGGGAGAUGAGGGAGACAGGGCGACGAGGGAGACGAAGUGGUAGUUCCCUCUUUAUACGAUGUGACUAUUCCUGCAAUGUCCCGUCCGCCACGUGCCGUCUAGGACAUCUUAUAAAAAAAUAAAUGGCAUAGACACCUUAAAAAAAAUGGCCCGCUCGAACCUGGACGGCACGAACAUGUUCGGUCGGUCUUUGUGUCUCGCUCGAACCUGGUCGACCGAGCCAGUCUACUCUGCUCACGCUCUGCCCCCCUCGUCGUCGAAGCUCCUCGGCCGCCACCACCUCCGCCACGCCAUGGUUUACGAGGAUGAGAGUAGCAACGACCUAUUGAGCCUGGACAUCAGCUCUUCCUCGGACGGCAUGAUGUACCAGGUAAUUUAUAGAGCUAGGGUUAGGUUUAGGGUUUCAGUUUCUUCACAUUGGGGAUUUAUCUCUGUUUCUUCGUUCUUCUUUAGAUCCCUGCUAGCAUCGACGACAAAGACUACAUGGGCAUCGAGAAUUCUGCCCUGGAUGUUUGCUUGGAGCAUGGGCUGCCGCCUGAGCGUCGCGUAGCAUUCGAAGGAUUUGAGACAGGGAGAAGAUUUUUAGUGUGUGCUCAGCCGGUUAGUUCUAUCUUCUUUAGUGUUAGACAUGCAUAAAGUUGCUUCUGUUUUUUCUAUCUGGCUCAAAAGAUUCAAACUGUCAGUGUUUACUACAUCACUGUCAUUGUUUGUUUAGCUCAAAUAUUCAGACUGUCGGUGUUUACUACAUCACUCUCAUUGUUUGUUUAGCUCAAAUAUUCAGACUGUCAUUGUUUAUUACAACACUGUCAUUGCUAGUUUAGCUAAAAGAUUCUGGCUUGUUACAACACUGUCAUUGCUUAUUUAUUAUAGCAAUGUCGUUGCAUGUUUAUUACAGAAUUCUGGCUUGUUAUUUUCUGGUUAUUUUGUAUUGCUGAAGUACUGGUUAUUUUGUAUUGCAGCCACCUCAAAACUGUGGUUUUGUUGGUUGGGUAGACCAAGAGUGGCCUCCCACAAUGCAAAAUGCAUUGUUAAAACUGUGGGAAAUGUUGGAAGACAGCAAGAGUGCUAGGAGAGAUGAUAAUUUGGAGAAUGCACUGAAAAUUCACCACCUCACAGAGGAGAAAAAAAAUCUUGAUGCAAACUAUGACAAACUAGUAGAAGAUGUGAAUCAAGUGCUCAACCUUGUAGAAGCUCAAGGCGGGGUCAUUAGGACCCAGAAGGCAAAUCAUUUGAAGGAGAAGGACAAACUUAAUGAUCAAAUUUUGGUGCUCAACUUUCACGUUGAUGGUCUGAAGAAAGGAAUUGAGAAUCUGAUUAAACGCAGGGAUGAGCUGAAGAUCCAGAUUGCUGAUCAGUUGAAGGCAUUGGAGAAGAACCAAGAGAAGUUGAAGAUGAUCAGGGACAUUUUGGAUGGAUGAGCUGAUCAGAUGAAGAUGAAGUCCACUAUGCUAUGGUUGAUGUGUUGUUCUGUUGCUGUGUUGCUCUUUUGUACCAAUGUUGUAAUGCAAGAUGAUCAGAAUAUCUAUAUUAUGUAUGAUUAAGUGACUCCACUAUGCUAUGUUCGUAACUGUACUAUGCUAUUGUUGGUGUGUUGCUUUUUUGUAGCAAUGUUGUAAUGCAAGAUGAGAAGAAUCUCUUAAUUAUGAUUAAGUGACUUUAUCUUUGUUCAACCCAAGUAUGUUGAUAGAUUGGUUGAUCUUACUUGUUGUAUCUUAAAAGAUGAGAAGAAUCUCUUAAUUAUAUAUGAUCUGAAGUAUCUAUUUAAUCAUAGAAACACCAAAAGGUUUCCAAGAUUCAACCACUAGGUAGGAAUGGUCAUGCCCGCCGUUACGACCGCAUUUUGAAAUGGCCAUGAAAAAUUCAAAAAAAAUAAAAAAGGGAAAGAUUUGCAUUAUGUCAUCAUAUGUGAUAAAGUUACCAUGUAAAAUAAUAAACUUGCAAUACGACAAUUAUUUUUAAAAAGUGUUCACACAAAUGAGCUAUCAUGUGUGAAGAUUCAUGGCUUUCAAGCCACAUGAUCAAUCUCAUGGCCAUAUUCAUGACAUAGUUUGUUGAAAUGGUCUCCUAUUUUGCAUAAUGGUGCAUGUUGGAGUGACAAACAAUGUUGAUUAAGGAAGUUUUCAUCUUCCUUGUAUGAAAAAUUCAUUUUUCAUUUUUGAAGUGCCCGAAAUGAGUUUUUUUGUGAAGGACCUACCAUAUAUUUGUUUCAAAAUUGGUCCAAAUCAUUUUUCUAACAUACUAGGCCAUAUUUAAUGUACAAUUGACAAAAUGGUUGGGUGUCAAAAGCUUUUAUGCAUCUCUCGUGAAAAAGACAAAUCUAUGUCGAAUCAGCUGGAAGCGGGUCAAAUUUGAACUGCGGCUGCCUUAUAGUUUGCUCUUUAUUUUUCCAAAAAUCAUUUCUAGGUACACAAGUAUCUAUUUAAUAAUAGAAACACCAAAAGGUUUCCAAAAUUCAACCACUAGGUAGGAACGGUCAUGCCCGCCGUUUCGACCGCAUUUUGAAACGGCCAUGAAAAAUUCAAAACAAUUCAAAAAAAUGGGAAACCUUUGCAUUAUGUUAUCAUAUGUGAUAAAGUUACCAUGUAAAAUAAUAAACUUGUAAUACGAUAAUUAUUUUUUAAAAGUGUUCACACAAAUGAGCUAUCAUGUGUGAAGAUUCAUGGCUUUCAAGCCACAUGAUCAAUCUCAUGGCCAUAUUCUUGACAUAGUUUGUUGAAAUGGUAUAAUAUUUUGCAUAAUGGUGCAUGUUGGAGUGACAAACAAUGUUGAUUCAGGAAGUUUUCAUCUUACUUGUAUGAAAAAUUCAUUUUUCAUUUUUGAAGUGCCCGAAAUGAGUUUUUUUGUGAAGGACCUACCAUAUAUUUGUUUCAAAAUUGGUCCAAAUCAUUUUUCUAACAUACUAGGACAUAUUUAAUGUACAAUUGACAAAAUGGUUGGGUGUCACAAGCUUUUGUCCAUCUCUCGUGAAAAAGACAAAUCUAUGUCGAAUCAGUUGGAAGCGGGUCAAAUUUGAACUGCGGCUGCCUUAUAGUUUGCUCUUUAUUUUUUUCAAAAAUCAUUUCUAGGUACACAAGUAUCUAUUUAAUCAUAUAAACACCAAAAGGUUUCCAAGAUUCAACCACUAGGUAGGAACGGUCAUGCCCGCCGUUUCGACCGCAUUUUGAAACGGCCAUGAAAAAUAAAAUAAAAAUAAAAAAAUGGGAAACCUUUGAAUUAUGUCAUCAUAUGUGAUAAAUUUACCAUGUAAAAUAGUAAACUUGUAAUACGAGAAUUAUUUUUAGAAAGUGUUCACACAAAUGAGCUAUCAUGUGUGAAGAUUUAUGGCUUUCAAGCCACAUGAUCAAUCUCAUGGCCAUAUUCAUGGCAUAGUUUGUUGAAAUGGUCUCAUAUUUUUCAUAAUGGUGCAUGUUGGAGUGACAAACAAUGUUGAUUAAGGAAGUUUUCAUCUUCCUUGUAUGAAAAAUUCAUUUUUCAUUUUUGAAGUGCCCGAAAUGAGUUUUUUUGUGAAGGACCUACCAUAUAUUUGUUUCAAAAUUGGUCCAAAUCAUUUUUCUAACAUACUAGGACAUAUUUAAUGUACAAUUGACAAAAUGGUUGGGUGUCAAAAGCUUUUAUCCAUCUUUCGUGAAAAAGACAAAUCUAUGUCUAAUCAGUUGGAAGCGGGUCAAAUUUAAACUGCGGCUGCCUUAUAGUUUGCUCUUUAUUUUUUCCAAAAAUCAUUUCUAGGUACACAAGUAUCUAUUUAAUCAUAGAAACACCAAAAGGUUUCCAAGAUUCAACCACUAGGUAGGAACGGUCAUGCCCACCGUUUCGACCGCAUUUUGUAACGGCCAUGAAAAUUUCAAAAAAAAAAAUCAAAAAAAUGGGAAACCUUCGUGUCGCAUCAUAACAUGUGACCUGCCAACUAGAAAAGAUAUAUAAAUUUGGGUACCGAUGUCUUAUUGAACUGAUCGGUAUGAUUUUAGCCAUUAUUUCUACAAUGUUUAUAAAAAAGAAAAAUAAAAAGUCUGCCUCCAAACCUCAAUAAACUAGUGAAAAUUUUCCCUUCCACCCCACCAAAUUUUCCCUCCCACCCCACCAAAAUUUCCCUCCACUCCCUCUCCCACUACCACGCGGGACCCACCACUCCCUCUCCCACUACCACGUGGGACCCACCACUCCCUCUCCCACUCCCCUCUCCAUUCCACUCCCCACUACCCACGCGGGAUCCAUUCCACUCCCCACUCCGUCGCCCUUCCCCUGCUCCGCGCCGCCGCGCCGCCCCUCCUGUGCUCCGCGUCGCCCCUCCGCCCCUCUCCCCUCUCCCCGACGAUGACUACAUCGAUGAUGUCGAUGGCUACAUCUACAUCGACGACGACUACAUCGACGACGUCGACGGCUACAUCCACAUCGACGACGACGGCUACAUCUACAUCGACGUCGACGGCUACGACUACAUCGACGACGACAGCUGGUACAUCUACAUAAUCAAUAGUCGACGACGAUAGGUACCUCUCCCCUCGACCCAUCUCCCAUUGAUAGAUCCCCCUCAUGUGUUCUUCUAGGGUUUGGUAGAUCCCCCUCAUGUGUUCUUCUAGGGUUCAUGGGGCUGGAUCAAUUGGGAUGGUUCGGUACAUUCAUGGGGUUAGGGUUAGGGUUCAUGGUGUUAGGGUUAGAUUCAUGGGGUUAGGCUUGUAGUUGUCAUGGGGCUGGAUCAUGGGGUCCUGCGUUUGGGAUGGGUAACAAAUGGGGGUACAUCCCCCACCUGGUCGAUCUAGGGUUAGGAUUCAGUAAAUCUAGGAGCUCCUGGAGGUUCUUGUUCAUGUUCAUGGGAUUUAUUCCUAGUGGUUCGUUCUAUCCCUCUCUGGUUAAUUAGAGUUUCCAUCAGCAAUAUUUGCUUGUAUCAGUAGCACUUGGAGAAGAAGCUACUAGGGUUGGUAUCAAUAGUACUUGCUUACUUGCUCCUCUUCAAAUUUCUUCCUUGCUUGCUUGUUUGUAUCAGUAGCACUAUGCUUGUUUCUAUCAGUAGCACUUCUUUUGCUUGCUUGCUUGUAUUAGUAGCACUUAUGAACUUUGCUUGCUUGCUUGCUUGUAUUAGUAGCACUUAUGCACUUUGCUUGCUUGCUUGCACACUUCUUGCUUCUUUAUUCACCAAAUGUUGGGCAACCAGUUGCUAUGAAUGCAUAUGUUUUCCUCCAUUAGGGAUACAGUUGAGUAAUUACUUUGCUUAUAGAUGAUUGCAGGUACAUGGAUAAAAUUGCAAGUUAAAACAUAAAAGUAAUUGUUGUAAAUAGUUAAUGCAUUGCUUCACAUAUAUAGUUUUCUUCAACUAUCAGUUUAGUACAUUACUACCUCCUGUUUCACAUGUUUUAAUACUGAUGCAUUGCUACACUUGUAUGUGCAUGCUAGUCCAAGUGCUUCAAUUUAGUUGCUUGCUUCAACUGUCAGUUUAGUACUGAUGCAUUAACUGUAUGUGCAUUGCUACGCGUGUAUGUGCAUGCUGGUCCAAGUGUUUUACAUGUAUUAGUACUGAUGCAUUAACUACAUCACUAUAUUGUUGAUCCAACAAGUUUGCUAGCUUCACAUGUAUUACAUGUAUGUGCAUGCUUGUCUAAAUGCUUCCCUUUAUUGAUAUAAGUGCAUCAUUUUACUUUAUCCCUGUUGUAUCUAAUUGUUGUUUAUUCUAUUUUGCAAGCACCACCUCAAGAUCAUCCAUGUCAAGGAUGACAAGGUCAAACCCGAGGCCAACCAGUGGUAUGCAAGUUUCUCCUUGUGGUUAUACUGUCAGAUUUAUAAAAUGUGUCUUAAUAUGCUAAGUAAAAUAUCUUGGAGGCUGGUGAUGUAAAAAACUGUCAGAUUUUAUUAUGCCAAUGUAUUGCUGUAAUCUGAAUUAGCUGGCUUAGAUGUGCCUGUGUGCUGUUACUCUUCCUUAGCUGAAUAAGUAGGAUUAAAUGAUAAUAAAAUAUCAUAAGAUAUGUUUGGCUGUCUGUCCAUGCGUUCCAACAAUUAACCUAAUAAUUAUGUUUACUUUGCCUUGCAAAGAUGAGCAUCCUCUCACCGAGUAUGAGACGGUUAGGGCUAGAAAUAUGAUGAGGAACAAUCGGAUAUUCCAGUCCCUUUGCAUUGAUGCAAUAGCGUCAAUGAUUAGGAAAACAAAUGAUGUACAAGAAGGUACAACUAAUGGGGUUCAAUAAGGUAGUGGAGUUAUCAGUGUUGACCCAGAGUACAAUCCUAAGGAGGAUGAAGUUGUAGUGCACAAGACUGUUAAGGUGCAAACUCUGUCUUGCUUGGAGGGUUCGGGUUCUUGUAUGCUCUGUGUUUCCUUGUGCUCACAUAUUUAUCUUGUGAUCUAAUUUUUUUCUGUGCUAUUUAUACAAGGCACUGAAGACCGCCAGCAAGAAGAGGAAGAGCUCAGAAGCAUCUGCUGCAAUGCCUCCAGGAAGGGUGAUGGCCCCACCUCCAAGACGAACAAAGAGGAUCCUGGAACCUGAUGAACCUGAUAGAGUCACAAGGCAGAAAGCAACUAUGGCGGCUGCGAUGGACCAUCAGGAAAGUCUGCUGGGCAUGGACUUUGAGAGCUCGAUGGAAAUGCGUGAUGAGUUUUUGUGAAGCUGUGCACCUGUGAAGUUGUCAAUUAUUUAAGUCAUUGGUCAUUCUGGUGAUGAAACAAUGUCUUGCUCUAUUUGAACCUGAUGAAGUAUUUUGUGAAGUUGUCAAUUAUUUAAGUUUUGUUUGGACCAUUUUGUUUGGGCACUAAAUUUAGUUUGGACAGCAAAAAGGCCGAGGCCCAAACAAGAAAUAGACUAAGAAGGCUUGGGCCUAAAAAAAGAGUAGGCCAAGGCCCAAAUUAGAAUUUGUCUAAAAAGGCUUGGGCCUAAAAAAAUAGUAGGCCAAGGCCCAAACAAGAACUAGACUAAAAAGAGUAGUCCAAGGACCAAAAGAAAAGUGGACUAAUAAAAAACCUGCUCAGUAAAAGAUUCUAUCCCAGAAAAUAAAAGGCCAAAUUAUUGGGCCCGGCCCAUGUAGACGACCGAAUAGACCGGGCUGAAUCUUAUUUACGACCUUUUCAUUUGGUUAUAAUUCUGCCACGGUGGCUCUGACGUGGUGCGGGCAGAUUGCUAGUGACCAAAGCAUUUGGUCGUUAAACCUACGACCUUUUGUUUGCUCAUAAAAUCCUACGACCAAUCCAGAAAAAAGGUCGUUAUAGUUCAUUAAAGACCCUCAGCUUUAGACCUUUUAUUUUUGGUCAUGAAAAGGUCACAAAUGGAAAUCAAUGACCAUUCAGUGACCAAUAUUGAAGGUCGUUAGUUGACAUAUUUCUUGUAGUGUUCAUCAACACCAUUGCCUCUCUGAUGAUGCGUGAGUAGUUCACCUCAGACGUUCGAGUCCAUAGCUAGUAGCUAGAUGGCUUCUUCUCUCUCUUGGAUCUUCAAUACAAAGUUCUCCAUGAUCUUCAUGGAGAUCUAUCCUAUGUAACUUUCUUUUGCGGUGUGUUUGUCGAGAUCCAAUUAAUUGUGGAUUUAUGAUCAGAUUAUCUAUGAAUAUUAUUUGAUUCUGCUCUGAUUUGUUAUAUACUUGAUUUCGUAUCCUUGUAAUUCUUAUCGAGUUAUGGGUUUCAUUUGGCAAACUUGAUCUAUAAUUCUUGCAAUGGGGGAAGUGCUUGGUUUUGGGUUCAUACUGUGCGGUGUCCUCACCUAGUGACAAAAGGGGUAGCGAGGCACACAUCAUGUUGUUGCCAUCAAGGGUAAAAAGAUGGGGUGUAUAUCAUAUUGCAUGAAUUUAUCCCUCUACAUCAUGUCAUCUUGCUUAAGGCGUUACUCUGUUUGUUAUGAACUUAAUACACUAGAUGCAUGCUGGAUAGCGAUCGAUGUGUGGAGUAAUAGUAGUGGAUGCAGAAAAUAUCGGUCUACUUGUCUCGAACAUGAUGCAUAUAUGUAUGAUCAUUGCCUUAGAUAUCAUCAAGACUUUGUGCGAUUCUAUCAAUUGCUCGACAGUAAUUCGUUCACCCACCAUAAUACUUCCUAUCAUGAGAGAAGCCUCUAGUGAACACUAUGGCCCCCGGGUCUAUUUUACACAUUAUAUAUUCAGAUCUACAUACAAAAAUACCAAAAAUACCUUGUUGCACUUUUAUUUAUAUUUACCUUUUAUCACUAUUAGAUCUCACCUUGCAAGUAAUCGUGAAGGGAUUGACAACCCCUUUAUCACGUUGGGUGCAAGUUUGUGUGUUUUUGCGCACGUGAAUUGGUGCCUCAUCUUGAUACUCCUACUGGAUUGAUACAUUGGUUCUCAAACUGAGGGAAAUACUUAUCUCUACUUUGCUGCAUCGCCCUUUCCUCUUCAAGGGAAAAACCAACGCAAGCUCAAGAAGUAGCAGUGGACCAGGCGAGGACAUAUAGGAAACGCGUGGCACGCGAGCGACAAACAAGGUGGCCUGGUGGCCAUGGUGCGAUGGCCGUCAUGAGUGUCCGUGGAGUGGUAGUAGGCGGUAGUUGCUUUGGUAUCCUUCGUGAAGAAGGGCCCGAUGUCGAGGAGUUAACUCUCAGGGGUAUCGAGGGCGGCGGCGGCAGGCGGAUGGAAAGAUACUAGUGGAAUAUCACCACACUAUGAUCAUGAAACAGAUCCACCUCCAUCCUACCUAGCUAUGCAACUUCUUCUAGAUUGGAUUGACUAUCAGCACACCAUACAUAAGUUGCGAAAGGGCGGCGAGAUAAAAUAGAUUGGUCAGAUUUUUGUUUGAGGAAGAUUUUUAUUAAAUCGAAACUUGUAAGACGGUUGGGGGUCUUCAAGGUCCGGUAAAAAACUAUGUGAAAUACCCCUAAAUUAAUCGUGCAAUGACAUUUAAGCUAAAAUUGUGAAGACUGGCAGACUAAGGCAUAGCCUAAUGGUAGAAAUGGGCUGAUGCCUUCCCACCCACCCAGGUUCAAGGCAUGGUGCUUGUAAUUUAGGGUUGUUGCAUCAAUUAUACAGUAGGAGCCUCACUUAAUGUCUUGCUAUAAAAAAAAUAUGAAUACUACGGAUAGUUAACAAGCUGAGACUGCACAUACAUUCAUAGGACAAGUGAUGCUUGACAACAUAAGAUGGGCGUAGAUUUUCAUCUUAACUUUAAUAUAACAAGCUUUCUUUUAGCAAUUUUAAUCUAACAAGUUAUUGGGUGCAUGAGCCAAUUACGUACACAUGUCGCUCACCUGGCCCAGCCCAGCUCUCUCUCUGUCGUCUUCCUCCUCGUGAGUGGGCAGCAGGAGGUGGCCGCCGUGUACUCCGGCGCGGGCACGCACCUGUGCGCCAGCCUGGCCGCCGCUUCGCGCUGGCACGCGAGGGGAUAACCUCCCCGCAGCCUCUCCAUGCUUGCCCCUCUCCUCAUUCGCCCCCUCUUCCUCAUCCUUCUUUGCCGCCAUUAGAGCCGAGCCCGAGCUCGAGCUCACCGUCGUUCUAGCCCACCACUCCUCCUUCUGAGCCGUGCAACAGAUCCGCCGCAGCUCCCUGAAGCUCCCAAGCUACGAGCCCGACGCCAGGAUGCAGUGAAUCGACGAGACGCGGUCGUCUUCUUCCUUGGGUCGCCGAAGCUCGCCGCUGGCGUUCUCUCUCUAAAGGCCGUCCCCAAGCAAGCUAGCACUACCACUGCACUCCCCGUGAACCUAGCAAAAUUUCCCCCAAGUUUCCCCCUUCGAUCUCUUCCUCUAGCCUUGUUUUCACUGGAGCCCGACAAGAUCCGCCGCGGGAGCUCAUCGGCGGUAGCCCUCCGGUGAACGGCUCGUCCAUCUGAGGCCACCAGUGGCUUUAGGGCGUCGAGUAGGUACUGUAGGAGCUCACUCCCGUGCGUAACUCCCACUGUUCCGAAGAGCCCAGCGAUGCCCGAGCUUCGGCCGCCGCCAAGCUCGUCGCCGGUGCCCUCUCCGGCGAGUUCGUCCUCGGCUAAAUGCAAAAAUGGACCUGCGGGACGCGUGUCGUUCUUCCGGUGCACUCCGCGCAGAGUUUGGCCGCCUGUGCCGCGUUUCCGAGCCUCUCCGGCAUCCUGGAGGUCGCCGGAGGCUCACCGUCGGCGAGAACGACCUCGCCGCCGGUGGAUCUGACCCCCGUGAGUCUAUGACAGGUGGGGUUAGCCUCUGGUUAAUUAGUAAUAAUAAAAAUAAAAUUAACUUAAUUAAAUUAACCUAAGCAGUCACUGACAGGUGGGUCCUACCCUGAUAAUUAACUAAUUAACUUAAAUUUAAACUAAAAACUGGCCUGAGUCACUGACCAGUGGGUCCCACUGGUUUGGUUUGACUUUCAACGGCCAGUUGGACCUGCUGAUGUCAUGGUGAUGCAAUAAAGCUUUUUAUGUUUAAAAAUAAUUCCAGAAUAAGUUCAAAACUUUGGAAAUUCAUAAAAGUUUGAAUAUAACACCAAAUUGGACAAAUAAUAUAUGAAAAAUUAUCAGAAAAAUCCAAGGAAUCUGAAUAUGUCAUUUUCAAACAUGUUUGAAAAUGUUAACUUCACCAAACAUGCAAAAUGGUGAAUAGGUUAAAUUUCAUAAAUGCUUUGGAGUUGGAAUUUGAAAUUCAUUUGAAUUCCACUUCAAGUGCCAUGACCAAACAAUUCUCAAUCACAACCAGCAACUCAACAUAUCAUUCCCAUGCAUAUUAAAACAAGAUGACCUGAGCAUCAGGUCGAAUCAAUUAAAAGGGUAUUCGAAAAUACCUGGUUUGGAGUGAUAUUUGAAUCUUGAUUCAAAUCAACUUCAACUUAAUAAAUGGUACCUACAUUAGCCUACCACCUUUCAUCUUCAUGCCAUGCUCAUGCAUCAUCUUAUUGCAUAUGAUUGAUAAUGAUUGAUGUCAUUUCUAUCGGUAGGCUCCGCUCCUCCGGAUUCCACCGAAUAUCCGACUGACGGAUAUUGUCCCUCUGCUGAGCAACAAGGCAAGCAACCAUUUUGAUCAUCCCGAUAAAUCCCAUGUGCUCACUCCUGCACUUACUUAUUGCAUUAGGAUCAAAUGCUUCAAAUGCUUUUGCCACGUUAGUUGAACUCACUUCCUUUGCAUGACCUGUCUUUGUCACAUUAAAUAGCUGAACCUUGCAACCUAGAAUACCUGGUAGAUGCUUGAGCCAUGAUGUGCCUUAUCCUGCUAUGCAUGCUAUGCUUAGAGUUGUGUAUGGUUUGUCAUCUGGGUGAUGAAAAGAAUUGUGAGAAUGCGUUCAGUAAGUAAAGGUUGUGUGUUAAACCUGAUUUGGUAAAGGUACCGGUGAAAGGCUAUGUAGGAGUACAUGGCGGGUUGUUUCAUUGGAACCGUCCUUAGGAACUGAGUUCCGUGUAUGUAAUCCAAGACGAGAUACUACCACAUGCUGGGCCCUGAAAUAUGUACCCGCUCGACUUAUUAACCGCUUAGUACUCGGUCCAGGAGUUGCAAUUAGUUUAUGGUGUUUAUAGUCAUGCUGGAGGCCGUGCAUAGCGCUGACCUAAGAGGUGGGCUGUGAUGCGGUAGGCAGUGGCACGGUGUACCAAGUGGCACCCAUAUGGUGGGCUUGGGAACCCUGUGCACAUCAUUUGGGGCCGUGGCGGAAACCUCGGCCGGACUUCCAUGCGGGUUACCCUCAGAUAGGCGAUAGACCUGGACUAAGUAUUAUCGUGGUUAACGGUCGUGGCCGACUCCCUCGCUGGGCUUCCGCUUGAAGGUUGCCGAGGUGCAUGACGUGCACAUGGCGAUAAGUGGCGAGAGCGUGUGUGAAGAAGUACACCCCUGCAGGGUUAUGAUCUAUUCAAAUAGCCGCGUCCACGGAUAUGGACUACUUGGAAGCAUAUGUUGUUCAUAGAUAACUUUAAUGGCUACUCAUAAAAUUGUCAAGAUAAGCGUGACUAUCGUGGACGGCAUUUCCAUAUGGAGACGGAAUAAUUCCACGAUGGAGUAUUGUUUUGGUGUUAGUGGACUCGUGUACGAGAAAUCAAGUUGUCAAAAUUAUUUAAAAAUGCAAGUUGUCUAGCCACGAGUCAAAUGCUGGCUUUCCGCAUGAAACUCCACAAUUCCUUAUUGAUACAUUGCAUGAGUAGAUAGCUUAUCCUAAAGUCUUGCUGAGUACUUUUGUACUCAUGUUUGCUUAAUAAAUUGUCGCAAAGGUUGUUAAUGACCCUAAUGGAGGGUUCUACCUAGACAUCGACGACGACGAGUAGCUGGUAUCCCAGCUACGAUCUGGCCCUAGGAUGGGUCUGUAGAUAGUCAGGCCAUGUGCCUUUGUCAUUCCUUCUGUCUGUAAUCAGACAGCUUUACUCUUCCGCUGGUUUGUAAGAAUUGUAUGUAUGACUUGUGAUGAUGGGUCGUGAGACCCCUACCUUGUAAUAUUAUGUGUGUGGCUCUUCCGAGCCUUCUAAAUAAAGUUUGUAUGUUUAUGGUUAUGUUGUGAUGCCAUCGAUGUAUCUAUACUUAUCGGUAUGCCAUGCGUACAUGUGUUGUACUUGACAUGUAUAGGGUUCGAUUACCUAGCCGUAGGCUUUAGUAGCAUUCCUUACAGCGAAAUGCCCCUUUCUGAUCCAACGACCCAUGGUAGUUCGCUACUACUCCGGACACACUGGUUGACCGACAUGUGUCCUUCUUAGCUGAUGUGUCUGUCCCCGUUGGGGAAAUGUCAUGUGAUGUAAUGGAGUCCUUGUAGCUUGCUACGACUCGUCUACAUUCACUGGUGACCGGCACCUACUUUGCUGGGUCAUGUAUGCCUGUCCCUGUGCGGAACUGCCACGUUGGUUUAUGACUAGACAUGUCGAUCUGGGUUCUUUGUCAUUGGAUUGCUAGAGAUACAAUUGCAUACGCGAGUCAAAAGGCGCAAACGGUUCCGGCUAAGGUAAGGCUGCAGCCGUGGGGAUAACCGUGCAUGAGACCGCAAAGAGAUGCGAUCUUAUACAGGCUGGAUUCCUAUGGCCUAGGAUCGGGGUCCCGACAUCGUUGGUAUCAGAGCCUGACUGACUAUAGGAUUACUAAGCCAAACUGGUCGAAGUUGAGUCUAGAAUUUCUUUAGUUAUAUUUAAGGGAAUUGUUUGUGGAAGGGAACGUAAGACUCUUGUUCUCUUCUCAAGUUAUUCUAUUAUGGUCAUCCUCGUAUUUUCUGCGGGGAUUAAGGACUAGGUUACUUACCUUCUCUUAGGCUCGUGUUUGUGAUCGGUAGACUAUAGGACAACGGGUCGGGAGGUAUUUCGGGUUUCUUUUAUCCCUAGGAAAAGGAAGUCAUUUUUGAUGAUCAGAGAAUUGAACUUGAUAGUUGAGUGGUUACGCUAUCCUAUCUUUAUGGGUUGUCUCAAAAUUGUUUUUGAGCAUUUACAGUCAUUAUGCUGCCCAAUUUUGUCUUCAGAGCUCUAAUGUUUUUGCAUUACUCUCUAUUUUCAAAUGCUUGGCCGUCCUUCUCGUCAGGUGGUUCGUCUGACUAGGUGCAUUGAUGUGUCGGGUCAUAGGGCCAUGCUAGUCAGGAUGAUGCAGUGUCCGGUUACCGCUGGUACCCAGAGUACAUAGUGGAGGAGCAGUACCGGGAUUUUUAUCAGAGCCAGUACCUCUGCACUGUUAGGGUAUUCCCAUAUUACCCUGGAGCUCAGGAGCCAAUCCAUUGGUCUUAUGGAUUGGGAGUCACUGUUGACACGGCAGUACAAGAUGCUGCCUAUUCAAUGCUGACCAUCAUGAGGGCUAGACAUGCACUGCUGCAGAAUUCUGAGUUCUGCUAUGUUCGUGCCUCUCAGCCAGGUGAAGAAGGAUACCUCAGUGGGGUCUACUUUGAUUCCUCUAUGGAGGAUCCACUACUGCAGUCCACUGCUGAGAUGCUAGAGAAUAGAGAUAGGGAUGCUCGUGCCCUUCGUAUGGAGCUCUAUGCUACACGUCCCCGUCUAUGGACGCCUUUGACGCAGCUGGCACCUGUAGUCCACACAGGGUAUGGAGAUAUGGAGAUGCUGAACCUUGUUAGAAACCAUCUUCUGGCCCAUGUUGACUGGCCUCCUAUGGGAGGAGUCACCCCUCUUCGGGGACCUCUACUACCACCAGUUAGGGGUCCAAGGCCACAUCCGUGUCCUUACGGAUCCCAGGGAUCUCAGGCUGGAGUAUUUGCUGAUCCGCAAGUUGAGCUUCCAGGCCAUGGAGGCAAUAUUUAUGAGAUGUUCUAUGCGGAUGCCUGAACCGUGAGUGGAAGGAUAGUAUGGUAGUAGUUGUACUUUCACAGUCAUGUGUGACUUGUGAAGUAUGCUUGUGUCGUGAAAUGAAUUCCGGAGGCAUAGAUAAAUAAUGUAUAGGAAGCCUGGAAGCCUCUGAUGAGUAGUUUCAUAUUUUCAGUAGUUUGUUCUUUGGUUAAGGUUGUACUGAACUAUGUAAUGGUGUGUAUGAACCAUGGUGUAUAUAUAGCAGUUGCUUGUUACCAUGCUGUUCGGAUAUUCAUUUCCGUAUUCCAUGUGUUCAGUGCAUUCUUAAUCCAUAGCUAGUAUUGAUGAUGAUAUUGGUCUAAGCUAUGAGUUUGUUUGUCAGGAUGCUGUUCACCAGGUUGAACCGUGUCCCUGCUCAUGAGCAAGGCGAGGGUAGUCAAGCGUCGCAGGAAGAACUGCCUCACCCAUCCUCUCUGGCGGAAGUUAUGCCUGAGGCAGAGAGAAACAAAAGGGAGACCAACCGACUGUUAGAGCGUAUUGAGCAAAAUACGGCUCGUCAGCCUAGGAAUGCUGCAGUGUCCCUCAAUGACUUUGUGAAGCUGAAUCCUCAAAAGUUCCAUCACUCCGUCGAUCCCCUCGACGCUGAUGAUUGGCUGUGCAGUAUCUCACGUAAGAUUCGCUCUGCGAAUGUUUCUAAGGCCGACAAGGUGACCUUUGCGGCGUACUUUCUAGAACGACCCGCCAAUCUGUGGUGGGAGAACUUUGAAGCUAUGCGUCCUGCUGAACCAGCAGCUACAUGGGAAGACUUUAGUGCAGCCUUCCGUCUGCACCAUAUUCCAGAGGGCCUCAUGGACAAAAAGAGAGAGGAGUUCUGUGCAUUCACCCAGGGAAAGUUGACCGUGGAUGCCUAUAACCGCGAGUUCGGUAACCUCGCCCGCUAUGCAACAGAGGAGGUGUCUACUGAUGCCAAGAAGCAAGCAAGAUUCCGUAAGGGUCUGAGCCCUGAGCUUCGUCGUGAUUUGCGCCUCAUGAAUGUACAAGCUUCCAAGCCCUGGUCAACAAGGCGAUCAGUGCCGAGACUUGUCAUACCGACUAUAAAGCCACAAAGAAGCACUCCCGUGACUUUGGCUCGUCAUCUGGUUCCGCGUUCCCAAAACGCAGGUUGUGGGUUCCAAAUACUUCUCUGCCGCCAAGAUACACUCCGAGGCCAUCCUAUGUGGCGCCUUAGACGAAUCAGACCAACCCUCCAGCAAAAACCUAUGGUGGUCCAGCUAGCAAUGCUGCACCACGUGCUAAUCAGGUGAUCUGUUAUAAGUGUGGAGAACCAGGGCACUAUUCCCGUGAGUGUCCUCAGAAUGUGGGUGCCAAGCAACCCGGAAAGUCCGUUGGGCAAGGCAAGUCGGGCAAAUCUUACUAUGUGAAGCCAACUCCUACACGUGGCCGUGUGAACUAUGUUUCAGCAGAAGAAGCUGCAAAGGAUCCCGACGUCAUACUGGGUACGCUCCUUGUUAAUCAUCACCCAGCGUCUGUUCUUUUUGACACUGGGUCUUCUCAUUCUUUCAUUUCAGAAAGUUAUGCGCAGUUGCAUAACAUGUCUUUCUUUGAUAUGCCAAUUCCAUUGGUUGUCGAAACUCCUGGUAGUAAGUGGCAAACCUCCAGGAUAACCUAUGGCAAUGAAAUUCUAGUAGACAGGCUAGUUUUUCUAGCAUCAUUGAUAGCCUUGAAAUCUUCAGAUAUUAAUAUCAUCUUGGGUAUGGACUGGAUGUCAGCUCACUAUGCCAAGAUUGAUACUCAUUCCAGAAAUGUUCAGCUUACCCAUCCCUCGGGUGAGAUAGUCAGUGUCUCUACUCGAGUUGCCAAAUGCCAACUCUAUUCCCUCAAUGCCAACCUUCUUCCGGAACUUGAAGACAUCCCGGUAGUCUGUGACUUCCCAGAUGUUUUUCCAGAGGAACUGCCAGGAAUUCCACCUGACAAAGAUGUAGAGUUUGUGAUAGAUCUUGUUCCGGGAACUAUUCCAAUAGCCAGAAGAACAUAUAAGAUGGCACCCCUGGAGCUAGCCGAACUUAAGAAGCAACUAGAUGAGGCCUUGAAUAAAGGUUUCAUUCGUCCUAGCUCUUCUCCUUGGGCUUGUCCCGUCCUCUUCGUCAAGAAGAAAGACGGAACGGAUCGGAUGGUUGUAGAUUACCGACCAGUUAAUCUGGUCACCAUAAAGAACAAGUAUCCGCUCCACAGGAUCAACGACCUGUAUGAUCAGCUCGCUGGAUCCCCAGUCUUCUCAAAAAUGGAUUUGAGGUUAGGAUACCAUCAAAUCAAGAUCUAGAACGGGACAUUCAAAAAACGGCUUGUUUCACUCGUUAUGGCCAAUACGAGUACAUCAUCAUGUCCUUCGGUUUAACCAAUGCCCCAGCCACCUUCUCUCAGUUGAUGAAUUCAAUCUUCAUGGAGUAUUUGGAUAAAUUCGUCGUAGUAUACGUCGAUGAUAUUCUCAUCUACUCGAAGAACGAACAAGAACAUGCCGAGCAUCUAAGGUUGGUAUUGAUGAAACUUCGGGAGCAUCGCCUUUAUGCCAAGUUUUGUGAAUUUUGGUUACCAGAAGUGACCUAUCUAGGUCACGUAAUCUCUGGUAAGGGUAUUGCUGUCAAUCCCGAGAAAGUUCAAGCUGUCCUUGAUUGGACUCAACCUGAAUCGGUUAAGCAAGGUAGGAGUUUUCUUGGUCUAGCGAGCUAUUUUCGCCGCUUUGUCGAGAAUUUCUCCAAGGUUGCAAAGCCUCUAACUGAACUCCUCAAGAAAUAUAAAAAGUUCGAGUGGACACCAAAGUGUGAGCAUAGUUUUCAGGAACUGAAAAGACGCCUGACUUCCGCACCUGUGUUGCUACCACCAGAUUUCUCUAAGGACUUUGUUAUCUACUGUGACGCCUCACGACAAGGAUUAGGUUGCAUUCUCAUGCAAGAUCGUCAUGUGAUUGCAUAGGCAUCUCGACAGUUGCGUCCACAUGAGGAUAAUUAUCCCACACAUGAUCUUGAGCUUGCAGCUGUAGUCCAUGCACUUAAAACCUGGUGACAUUACCUUCUUGGUAAUCGUUGCAAAAUAUUCACUGAUCACCAAAGUCUAAAAUAUAUCUUCACCCAGCCGGAUUUGAAUCUCAGGCAAAGACGGUGGAUUGAGUUGAUCAUGGAUUACGACUUAGGGAUAACUUACACCCCGGGGAAGUCCAAUGCUAUGGCUGAUGCACUAAGUUGCCAAAUGCCAACUCUAUUCCCUCAAAGCCAACCCUCUUCCGGAACUUGAAGACAUCCUGGUAGUUCGUGACUUCCCGGAUGUUUUUCCAGAGGAACUGCCAGGAAUUCCACUUGACAGAGAUGUAGAGUUCGUGAUAGAUCUUGUUCCGGGAACUGUUCCGAUAGCCAGAAGACCAUAUAAGAUGGGACCCCUGGAGCUAGCCGAACUUAAGAAGCAACUAGAUGAGGCCUUGAAUAAAGGUUUCAUUCAUCCUAGCUCUUCUCCUUGGGCUUGUCCCGUCCUCUUCGUAAAGAAGAAAGACGGAACGGAUCGGAUGGUUGUAGAUUACCGACCAGUUAAUCUGGUCACCAUAAAGAACAAGUAUCCGCUCCCCAGAAUCAAUGACCUGUAUGAUCAGCUCGCUGGAUCCUCAGUCUUCUCAAAAAUGGAUUUGAGGUUAGGAUACCAUCAAAUCAAGAUCAAGAACGGGGACAUUCCAAAAACGUCUUUUGUCACUCGUUAUGGCGAAUACGAGUACACCGUCAUGUCCUUCGGUUUAACCAAUGCCCCAGCCACGUUCUCUAGCUUGAUGAAUUCAAUCUUCAUGGAGUAUUUGGAUAAAUUCGUCGUAGUAUACCUCGAUGAUAUUCUCAUCUACUCGAAGAACGAACAAGAACAUGCCGAGCAUCUAAGGUUGGUAUUGAUGAAACUUCGAGAGCAUCGCCUUUAUGCCAAGUUUUGAAAAUGUGAAUUUUGGUUACCAGAAGUGACCUAUCUAGGUCACGUAAUCUAUGGUAAGGGUAUUGCUGUCAAUCCCGAGAGAGUUUAAGCUGUCCUUGAUUGGACUCAACCUGAAUCGGUUAAGCAAGUUAGGAGUUUUCUUGGUCUAGCGAUCUAUUGUCGCCGCUUUGUCGAGAAUUUCUCCAAGGUUGCAAAGCCUCCAACUGAAAUCCUCAAGAAAGAUAAAAAGUUCAAGUGGACACCAUAGUGUGAGCAUAGUUUUCAGGAACUGAAAAGACGCCUGACUUCCGCACCUGUGUUGCUACCACCAGAUUUCUCUAAGGACUUUGUUAUCUACUGUGACGCCUCACGACAAGGAUUAGGUUGCAUUCUCAUGCAAGAUCGUCAUGUGAUUGCAUAGGCAUCUCGACAGUUGCGUCCACAUGAGGAUAAUUAUCCCACACAUGAUCUUGAGCUUGCAGCUGUAGUCCAUGCACUUAAAACCUGGCGACAUUGCCUUCUUGGUAAUUGUUGCGAAAUAUUCACUGAUCACCAAAGUCUAAAAUAUAUCUUCACCCAGCUGGAUUUGAAUCUCACGCAAAGACGAUGGGUUGAGUUGAUCACGGAUUACGACUUAGGGAUAACUUACACACCGGGGAAGGCCAAUGUUAUGGCUGAUGCACUAAGUCGUAAGUCUUAUUAUAACAAUUUGAUGCUACAACGAGGUCAACCACAUCUCUAUGAGGAAUUUCGGAAGUUAAAUCUCCAUAUUGUUCCUCAAGGAUUCAUUUCUACCCUGGUGGCGAAGCCUACUCUUAAGGAUCAAAUUAUAGCUGGCCAGAAGCGUGAUAAGGGUAUAUCACGGAUCAAGGAGAAUAUUAUUAGCGGAAACGCUAAUGAAUUCUCCAUGAAUGAUCAAGGUGUUGUGUUCUUGCAAAAUCGUCUAGUGGUUCCUAAGAAUCCACAUCUAAGGCAGUUAAUCCUUAAGGAAGCUCAUGAUUCUCCUCUCACCAUUCAUCCUGGUAGUACUAAGAUGUAUCAGGACCUACGCCAGAGGUUUUGGUGGACUAGGAUGAAGAGAGAAAUUGCUGAGUUCGUUGCUAACUGCGACGCUUGUCGUCGAGUUAAGGCAGAACAUCGAAGGCCUGCUAGCACCCUUCAACCUUUAGCUAUUCCUGAAUGGAAAUGGGAUAAAGUCAGUAUGGAUUUCAUUACCCGAUUUCCCAAGACCAAGAAUGGAAAUAAUGCUAUCUUUGUGGUCAUUGAUCGUCUCUCCAAAGUAGCCCAUUUUCUUCCAGUUCGUGAGAGUAUAACAGCUAGCCAGCUAGCAGAGUUCUAUGUCUCUCGAAUAGUGUCUCUUCAUGGUGUUCCCCUGGAGAUUAACUCAGACCGUGGAAGUAUCUUUACUUCUCGCUUCUGGGAAAGUUUUCAAAAUGCUAUGGGGACUCACUUAUCUUUUAGCACUGCUUUCCAUCCUCAAUCAAGUGGUCAAGUAGAAAGAGUGAAUGAAGUCCUAGAAGAUAUGCUCCGAGCUUGUGUUAUAUCGUUCGGUAUGAAUUGGGAGAAGUGCCUUCCAUUCGCCGAAUUUUCUUAUAACAAUAGUUAUCAAUCAAGUUUGGGCAAAGCUCCUUUUGAAGUUCUCUAUGGACGAAGAUGUCGAACACCUCUUAAUUGGUCAGAAACCGGAGAGAGGCAACUCUUUGGCCCGGAUAUGAUCCAGGAUGCAGAAGAGCAGGUUCACAUUAUUCGUGAAAAGUUGAAAACAGCCCAGUCUCGUCAAAAGAGCCAAUAUGAUCGUCAUCAUAAGGCUGUGACCUUUGAAGUUGAUGAGAAGGCUUACCUCCGGUUACACCUUUGAAGGGUACCCAUCGAUUCGGUAUCAAGGGAAAGUUGGCUCCUCGUUACAUUGGUCCUUUUGGCAUUCUUGCCAAAUGAGGAGAAGUUGCCUACCAGUUGGAACUUCCUUUGCAUCUUUCCAAGGUUCAUGAUGUUUUCCACGUCUCGCAACUCACGCGUUGCUUUUCGGAUCCUACCCGUGAAGUGGACCACGAAACGCUUGAUCUCCAAGAUAACCUUUCAUACCGAGAAUACCCUGUGCGUAUUCUUGAUCAAGCUGAGCGUACCACUCGACCUCGAAACCUCAAGUUUCUUAAAGUUCAAUGGUCAAAUCAUUCUGAAAAGGAGGCAACAUGGGAAAGAGAGGAUCGUCUCAGACUUGAGUAUCCCGCGUUAUUCCCGACGACUUCCAAAUCUCGGGACGAGAUUUUUUUGAGUGGGGGUGAGUUGUCACAUCCCUGGACCCCUAACUAGGUUUUAGCAUUGUGCUCAUGUUUACAUUCAUUGCAUUCAAGAACUUGAAACAAAUUCAAAGCAAGUGGUGAAACAAAACCCCAAAAACCCUAGCCACUUCUCAAAAUUCAAGGAAAUUCAAAACUUGUUAAAAUCAAUGAACCCAAAAUUGCCUCAAGAAAAGUUCAACUUUUCUGAUAAUUCUUGAAAACAAAUUAUCACGGAAGAAAACUAUUUUCAAAACACAUUUGGCAUUUUAUGUAAAUUCAAAAAGCCACUGAAUUCAAGUUUAAAUUUGAACUCAAAAACUUUCAAGUUUUCAAAAAUGUUGAGAACUUCAGUAAUGGUUGGAAAUAUUCCAACUAAUAUUUCAGUGUGUUCAAAAUAAUUUUUGAACUAAGUUUGGAGCCAAAAUAAAUAACAGAACAAUUUAGCUUCAAAACAGAAAACAAAAUAGAAAAAAAAUGGGAAAAGCUUACCUGUUGCUCACCUGGUCUAGCCCAGCUCUCUCUCUGUCGUCUUCCUCCUCGCCAGUGGGCAGCAGGAGGUGGCCGCCGCGUACUCCGGCGCGGCCACGCACCUGUGCGCCUGCCUGGCCGCCACUUCACGCUCGCACGCGAGGGGAUAACCUCCUCGCAGCCUCUCCAUGCUCGCCCCUCUCCUCAUUCGCCCCUCUGCCUCAUCCUUCUCUGCCGCCAUUAGAGCCGAGCCCGAGCUCGAGCUCGCCGUCGUUCUAGCCCACCUCUCCUCCUUCUGAGCAGUGCAACAGAUCCGCCGCAGCUCCCUGAAGCUCCCAAGCUACGAGCCCGACGCCAGGAUGCAGUGAAUCGACGAGACGCGGUCGUCUUCUUCCUCGGGUCACCGAAGCUCGCCGUCGGCGUUCUCUCUCUACAGGUCAUCCCCGAGCAAGCUAGAGCUACCACUCCACUCCCCGUGAGCCUAGCAAGAUUUCCCCCAAGUUUCCUCCUUCGAUCUCUUCCUCUAGCCCUGUUUUCACCGGAGCCCGACGAGAUCCGCCGCGGGAGCUCGUCGGCGGUAGCCCUCCAGUGAACGGCUCGUCCAUCUGAGGCCACCAGUGGCUUCAGGGCGUCGAGUAGGUACUGUAGGAGCUCAGUCCCGUGCGUAACUCCCUCCGUUUCCAUGAGCCCAGCGAUGCUCGAGCUUCCGCCGCCGCCAAGCUCGUCGCCGGUGCCCUCUCCGGCCAGUUCGUCCUCGGCUAAAUGCAAAAAUGGACCUACGGGAGACGUGUCGUUCUUCUGGUGCACUCCGCGCAGAGUUUGGCCGCCUGUGCCGCGUUUCCGAGCCUCUCCGCCGUCCUGGAGGUCGCCGGAGGCUCACCGCCGGCGAGAACGACCUCGGCGCCGGUAGAUCUGACCCCCCCCUGAGUCUAUGACAGGUGGGGCCAACCUCUGGUUAAUUAGUAAUAAUAAAAUUAAAAUUAACUUAAUUAAAUUAACCUAAGAAGUCACUGACAGGUGGGUCCUACCCUGCUCAUUAACUAAUUAACUUAAAUUUAAACUAAAAACGGGCAUGGGUCACUGACCAGUGGGUCCCACUAGUCAGGUUUGACUUUCAACGGCCAGUUGGACCUGCUGAUGUCAUGCUAAUGCAAUAAAGCUUUUUCUGUUUAAAAAUAAUUCCAGAAUAAGUUCAAAACUUGGGAAAUUCAUAAAAGUUUGAAUAUAACUCCAAAUUGGACAAAUAAUAUAUGAAAAAUGAUCAGAAAAAUCCAAGGAAUCUUAAUAUGUCAUUUUCAAACAUGUUUGAAAAUGUUAACUUCACCAAACAUGCAAAAUGGUGAAUAGGUUAAAUUGGAUAAAUGCUUUGGAGUUGGAAUUUGAAAUUCAUUUGAAUUCCACUUAAAAUGCCAUGACCAAACAAUGCUCAACAACAACCAACAACUCAACAUAUCAUUCCCAUGCAUGUUAAAACAAGAUGACCUGAGCAUCAGGUCGAAUCAAUUAAAAGGGUAUUCAAAAAUACCUGGUUUGAAGCGAUAUUUGAAUCUUGAUUCAAAUCAACUUCAACUUAAUAAAUGGUACCUACAUUAGCCUACCACCUUUCAUCUUCAUGCCAUGCUCAUGCAUCAUCUUGUUGCAUAUGAUUGAUAUUGAUUGAUGUCAUUUCUAUCGAUAGGCUCUGCUCCUCCGGAUUCUAUCGAAUAUCUGACUGAUGGAUAUUGUACCUCUGUUGAGCAACAAGGCAAGCAACCAUUUUGAUCAUCCCGAUAAAUCCCAUGUUCUCGCUCCUGCACUUACUUAAUGCAUUAGGAUCAAAUGCUUCAAAUGCUUUUGCCACGUUAGUUGAAGCCACUUCCUUUGCAUGACCUAUCUUUGUCGCAGUAAAUAGUUGAACCUUGCAACCUAGCAUACCUGGUAGAUGCUUGAGCCAUGAUGUGCCUUAUCCUGCUAUGCAUGCUAUGCUUAGAGUUUUGUAUGGUCUGUCAUCUGGGUGAUGAACAGAAUUGUGAGAAUGCGUUCAGUAAGUAAAGGUUGUGUGUUAAACCUGAUUUGGUAAAGGUACCAGUGAAAGGCUAUGUAGGAGUACAGGGCGGGUUGUUUCAUUGGAACCGUCCUUAGGAACUGAGUUCCGUGUAUGUAAUCCAAGACGAGAUACUAGCACAAGCUGGGCCCUGAAAUAUGACCCCGCUCGACUUAUUAACCGCUUAGUACUCGGUCCAGGAGUUGCAAGUAGUUUUUGGUGUUUAUAGUCAUGCUGGAGGCCGUGCAUAGCGCUGACCUGAGAGGUGGGCUGUGAUGCGGUAGGCAGUGGCACGGUGUACCAAGUGGAACCUGGAUGGUGGGCUUGGGAACCCUGCGCACAUCGUUUGGGGCCGUGGCAGAAACCUCGGCCGGACUUCCGUGCGGGUUACCCUCAGAUAGGAGAUAGACCUGGACUAAGUAUUAGCGUGGUUAACGGUCGUGGCCGACUCCCUCGCUGGGCUUCCGCUUGAAGGUUGCUGAGGUGCAUGACGUGCACAUGGCGAUAAGUGGCGAGAGCGUGUGUGAAGAAGUACACCCCUGCAGGGUUAUGAUCUAUUCGAAUAGCCACGUCCGCAGAUCUGUACUACUUAGAAGCAUAUGUUGUUCAUGGAUAACUUUAGUGGCUACUCAUAAAAUUGUCAAGAUAAGCGUGAGUGUCAUGGACGACAUUUCAGUAUGGAGACGGAAUGAUUCCACGAUGGAGUAUUGUUGUGGUGUUAGUGGACUCGUGUGCGAGAAAUCAAGUUGUCAAAAUUAUUUAAAAAUGCAAGUUGUCUAGCCACGAGUCAAAUGCUGGCUUUCUGCAUGAAACCCCACAAUUCCUUAUUGAUACAUUGCAUGAGUAGAUAGCUUAUCCUAAAGUCUUGCUGAGUACUUUUGUACUCAUGUUUGCUUAAUAAAUUGUCGCAAAGGUUGUUAAUGACCCUAAUGGAGGGUUCUACCUAGACAUCGACGACGACGAGUAGCUGGUAUCCCAGCUACGAUCUGGCCCUAGGAUGGGUCUGUAGAUAGUCAGGCCAUGUGCCUUUGUCAUUCCUUCUGUCUGUAAUCAGACAGCUUUACUCUUCCGCUGGUUUGUAAGAAUUGUAUGUAUGACUUGUGAUGAUGGGUCGUGAGACCCCUACCUUGUAAUAUUAUGUGUGUGGCUCUUCCGAGCCUUCUAAAUAAAGUUUGUAUGUUUAUGGUUAUGUUGUGAUGCCAUCGAUGUAUCUAUACAUAUCGGUAUGCCAUGCGUACGUGUGUUGUACUUGACAUGUAUGGGGUUCGAUUACCUAGCCGUAGGCUUUAGUAGGAUUCCUUACAGAGAAAUGCCCCUUUGUGAUCCAACGAGCCAUGGUAGUUCGCUACUGCUCCCGACACAUUGGUUGACCGGCAUGUGUCCUUCUUAGCUGUUGUGUGUGUCCCCGUUGGGGAAAUGUCACGCGAUAUAAUGGAGUCCUCGUAGCUUGCUACGACUCGUCUACACUCGCUGGUGACCGACACCUGCUUUGCUGGGUCAUGUAUGCCUGUCCCUCUGCGGAACUUCCACUUUGGUUUAUGACUACACAUGUCAAUACGAGUUCUUUGUCAUUGGAUUGCUAGCGACACAAUUGCAUACGCGAGUCAAAAGGCGUAAACGGUCCCGGCUAAGGUAAGGCUGCAACCGUCGGGAUAUCCGUGCGUGAGACCGCAAAGAGAUGCGAUGUGUUACAGGCUGGAUUCCUAUGGCCUAGGAUCGGGGUCCCGACAGCGUGCCAAUUACGUACAUGUGCCGGAAGCUGUAUACUUUACGUCUCAAUGAAACUCUUCAUAAGUUUCGCUCCUCUUCCUGUUUUUUGAGUUUAUAUAAACCAUUGCAAGAACCAUGAAUGUAAGAUAUCCACGUUCCUUUAUGAAUCUGUAGGUAGGUUGCAACUUCACUUGAAUCUGACAAGUUACUGGGUGCGUGAGCCAACCACAUAUACAUGUGCCAGUAGCUGGAUACUUUACAAAGACUUCAUAGAUUUAUCUCCUCAUCCUGGUUUGGUACUUUAUAUAAACCAUUGCAAGAACCGUGAAUGUAAAAUGUCCAGGUUCCUUUUAUGCACUUCUUGAUAUGUUGAGAUGGUGGAAUGAAUAGCUAAUUUGCCCCACAGAUGAAUGGUAUCAUAGGGUACUAAUUAUUAGGAUUGGGAGGUAUUAGGACAACCAUUUCUAGCAGGACUGGACUACCAUGUUGCUUCAUAUCAAAAUCAACAUAAAUAUUAGGUAGAUCGUUCAACAUCAAUGUUACCAAGAUCCCACACGUGUCAUUGCUGUCAAUCUUCGCUACCCAUUGCCAGGAUCGGACCUCCUUGAGCUGGAGCAAGAGGGCAAACAACUGCCCUCUCGGCGAUGUCUUGGUGUGUUCUGUGCAACUGUGCAUUGCGGUUUGGUUUCUCAAGGCAACACGGUUCAAUCAAGGUUUUGGUUUUCGGUUUCUGUAUUUUUCGUACAAUUGGAGUUCUCUUCUUGGAGAAAUUGUUGAUAGGUGUAAUUCCUUCUCCUAGUUUUCCAUGUAAUAAUGCUAACUCAUAGGCAGUAUCAAGGUCUUUUGACUUCUAGAAAGCUACAACUAUUCAAACUCCAGGUUUCAGACCAUCCAUGAAAUGCAAUGACUGAACCUGCCUUCAUAACAAGAUUUGCACUAACAAUGUGCAUGGGUGGGACAACUGACAACAAGGGGUUGGGUUGGUCCUUUUUUCAUCAUCUAUUACUGUACUAAUUAGAGACUCACAAAAAACUACCACGUUAAUCAGAAAAUAUGAGCUGUUAAUUUGGUGGGGCCACAGUUAUUACAGUUAGAUGAAAAUCUUUCUCGGCCAUGUUAAGUUUUUUUAUAGACACAAACCUUACGUGAAUAGAUUGGAUCGUAGCUCACGUCUAAUGUCAUAUUAUUCCACCAGCUAUCUGCAAGAGUAAUUUUUCCAUCGUCCAUAAUUAUUUCUCUCUCCUCCUCUAUGGAUUAUGCAUCUGGUCAUGAGAGUCUCAGCAAGGUACGUCUCAUAACAAGCAAUAUGCACCCAAAAAACAUUAUACUACUAGCUAUAGGCAGCCUGUAGAUCGGUUACAGAAAAAGACUGCGUAGUCCAGGCUGAGACGAGGCUCCAUUGGCCGGCAGCAACUUUUUGUGUUACAUCCGCGGCAUCCUUUUAGCUGAUCAAGAUGCGCCAAAGGCCUCUACACUUGGCACGUAUGAUUUAUCAAGUCCGUAUUAAGCAAGGCCGAGGUGCAUGGUCCGGGCUGAGACGAGGCUUUGUUGUUGUGCUGAGGCGUGCCUUGCCACGCAUCAAUGGUGAGAACUGUCCCGCGGAAACUUUCUCUUUUACAUAUGAUGCAUGGAUGUAGCUAGCUGAUCUAGAUGCGCCAAAGGCCCCUACAUUCGAUAGGUUUGAUCCUACCCGUCCGUAUUAAGCAAGACCGAGGAUUGAUUAUGACUUCGAGCGUGCUUCAUAUUUUGGUAGUGCAAAGUCAUGACUUCAUCCUUAUUUACUGAAUUUUGCAUGAAGAAUACAUAUAUUUGGUGACGAUGAGAUGCUUUGCUUUUGUGAGUUCAUAUCAUUGGUCGCAUCCAUAGGAUUAUGUAAUACUUUGACACAAGGUUUUAUAAUUCAUAACUGUGUACUUUUAUCAUAAAUGAGAGAAAAACACAUAUUAAAAAUUAUUAAUUGCUGGAACUCCAUACUAAUAAUACUACAAAGAUAAUUCAUCAGGAAAGAUCUCACAUGCGUGCUAGUAUUGAUUAUGACUUCGGGCCUGCUUCAUAUUUUGGUAGUGCAAAGUCAUGACUUCAUCCUUAUUUACUGAAUUUUCCAUGAAGCAUACAUAUAGUUGGUGACGAUGAGAUACUUUGCUUUUGUGAAUUCAUAUGAUUGGUUGCAUCCAUAGGAUUAUGUAAUACUUUGACACAAGGUUUUAUAAUUCAUACCUCUCUACUUAUAUCAUAAAUAAGAGAAAAAAUACAUAUUAAAAAUUAUUCAUUACUGGAACUCCAUACUAAUAAUACUACAAAGAUAAUUCAUCAGGAAAGAUCUCAAAUGCACACACGCACACACCCAUUAUCUAUCAUGUACCAAUACACACAUGUCUCUUGCUAACGGCAAAUAUCUAGAAUCUUGAACCUCCUAUUUUUGGGUGAAUCUGAUGAUUGAUAAAAAUAAAUAAAUACAUGGCAUAAAGUAAUGUAGUUUAAUGGAAACAACCUAAGAAUAAAGAAAAAGGACUCUCUUUUGAUGUAAUAUAUAUGGUAUGGUGAAGUGAACAUAGCGGCAUGGAUGCGCAGCAGCGGCCCCGACCGAAUUCCAUUAGCACGUGUGAUUGUUGCAAGUCAUGCAUGCAUAUGCAUAUAAGAAUGAGAAAUAAUCAACAAGAAAGUCUUCUUGACGGGUCAGUAUUUUCUAUUUUGCACCCACGGUUCUAACAUACCUUAUUGUUUUACACUUCUACUAAUGUAAAUGCUCUCAUAUCACACUCCUUUCCUCCCCAUAAGAAGCGUAUUCCAUAUUAUUCAUGAGGCCGAGAACAUGCUGACAUAAGUCGCGAAGAAGAAUAGAAGAUGGAUUAUGUGUUUGGUUGUCUUCACAUGGCUGAUAUGUUUCUGUCAUGUGGUGAUAAUUUAUAGGAUGGAAUACAAAGUUAUUUACAAGACUUAUAUUGUGCAAAUAUUACUAUCAGGAUUCAACUAUAUUGGAUGUAUAACCUAUUGUAUAAAUAGGAAAAGUUAUGGGGCCCAAGUCAUUGAUUUCAAAUACAUAUUAUUCACUAACACAAAAGGUGGUAAAGUUUUGCACUAUCAAAAUAGCAUAUAUAUUUAGUUCAUGUAUGGCAAUUUUCUUCAACUUUUGAGCAUCUCUAUUAUGUAUUACCAUAUUUUAUAUUCUCCACCUGAGGCUAUUAGCAAAUUGUAUGGCUUUGUAGCCUUUCUCGAUAAGUAAGAGUGUCGAACCCAACGAGGAGCUAAAGGUAGGACAAAUAUUCCCUCAAGUUCUAUCGACCACCGAUACAACUCUACGCACACUUUACGUUCGCUUAAUCUAGAACAAGUAUGAAACUAGAAGUACUUCGAUGGAGUUAUAGGAUAGGUUUGCAAGAAAAGAAAGAACACAUAAAUAAAAACUAGGGGAUGGUAAGAAAAAGAAACAAUUACGUUAGUUUGACGAGUGGGGAAAAGUGAUGGUAGGAGUUGCGGAAUUGUCCCUAAGCAAUUGACUAUGUUACUAGACUGAUAGCAAGUUUUAUGUGGGAGAGGCCACUGCUAGCAUGUCAUCCCUUACUUGGAAUUCUAUGCACUUAUGAUUGGAAAUAUUAGCAAGCAUCCGCAACUACUAACGUUCAUUAAGAUAAAAUCCAACCAUAGCAAUAAGAUAUUUUGGUCCCCCUUCAAUCCCGUAUGCAUAAAUUUCUAUGCUAGGCUGAAGCUUUUUUCACCAUUGCCCUCCAAUACAUAGUCCUAUCAACAUACUACUAACCCUAUGGUGUGAUCCUUGCGCAUGCUCAUGUGAUGGGCACCAAAGGACAACAACAUAACCACAAGCAAAUUAAACCAAUCAUAGCAAUUCAUCAAUCACCGAUAGGACAACACAUCAUUGGAUGGCAACAUAUCAUUGGAUAAUAAUAUGAAAUAUAAAGCACCAUGUUCAAGUAGAGGGUACAGCGGGUUGCGGGAGAGUGGACCGCUGAAUAUAGAUGGGGGAAGGUGAUGGAGGUGUUGGUGAAGAUGACGGAGGUGUUGGUGUAGAUCGCCGUCACACGAUGAUGUCUCGGGCGACGUUCCGGUGCCGCCGAGAGAGAGGGGGAGAGAGCCCCCUUCUUCUUCUUCUUCUUCCUUGACCUCCUCCCAAGAUGGGAGAAGGGUUUCCCCUCUGGUCCAUGGUCUCCAUGGCGGCAGAGGGGCGAGAUACCCUCCGAGAUUUGAUCUCUCUCUCUCUGUGUGUCCUUCUCUUUCUGCGCUCCCAGACUCUGGCCUUUCACCGUUUAUUAAAUUCCCGAAGAUCUGUAACUUCGAUUGGGCUGAAAUUUUAACACAAUUUUCUACCGGAUAUUAUCUUUCUUGCGGUGAAAGAAGAUCACCAACUGCCUUAGGGAUUGGUCACAAGCCUGUCAGCCGCGGCCUAGGGGGGUCGCGCCUCCUACGCUUGUGACCUACUCGGGCAUCGUUUCGCGUAGAUUCUUCUUCCCAAAAAUCAUAAAUAUUCCAAAAAAAAUCCCCUAGGUUUUUUAUUGCGUUUGGACUUCGUUUGGUAUGGAUAAUCUGCGAAACAAAAAACAUGCAACAAACAGGAACUGACACUAGGCACUGGAUCAAUAUGUUAGUCCCAAAAAUAGUAUAAAAAGUUGCCAAAAGUAUAUGAAAGUUGUAGAAUAUUGGCAUGAAACAAUCAAAAAUUAUAGAUAGGACGGAGACGUAUCAGCAUCCCCAAGCUUAAUUCUUGCUCGUCCUCGAGUAGGUAAAUGAUAAAAAAAGAUAAUAUUUGAUGUGGAAUGCUACCUAGCAUAAUCUUGAUCAUAUAAUCUAAUCAUGGCAUGAAUACUAAAACAAGAAUUAUUCGAAGAAAUAUUCUAUCAUUUGACAUAAAACAAUAAUAUUUCAAGCAUACUAACAAAGCAAUCAUGUAAUCUCAAAAUAUCAUGGCCAAAGAAGGUUAUCCCUACAAAAUCNNNNNNNNNNNNNNNNNNNNNNNNNNNNNNNNNNNNNNNNNNNNNNNNNNNNNNNNNNNNNNNNNNNNNNNNNNNNNNNNNNNNNNNNNNNNNNNNNNNNNNNNNNNNNNNNNNNNNNNNNNNNNNNNNNNNNNNNNNNNNNNNNNNNNNNNNNNNNNNNNNNNNNNNNNCUAUGCUCCAUCUUCCCCACACAACGUAUUUAAAUCAUGCACAACCCCGGUUUUAGCCAAGCAAUUGUUUCAUACUUUAUUGUUCUCAAACUUUUCAACUUUCACGCAAUAUAUGAGCGUGAGCCAUGGACAUAACACUAUAGGUGAAUAGAAUAUGGUGGUUGUGGAGAAGACAAAAAGGAGGAGAUAGUCUCAGAUCAACUAAGCAUAUCAACGAGCUUUGGAGAUUCCCAUCAAUAGAUAUCAAUGUGAGUGAGUAGGGAUUGCCAUGCAACAGAUGCACAAGAGCUAUAAGUGUAUGAAAUCUCAAAAAGAAACUAGUGGGUGUGCAUCCAACUCGCUUGCUCACGAAGACCUAGGGCAAUUUGAGGAAGCCCAUCAUUGAAAUACACAAGCCAAGUUCUAUAAUGAAAAUUUCCCACUAGUAUAUGAAAGUGAGAACAUAGCAGACUCUCUAUCAUGAAGAUCAUGGUACUACUUUGAAGCACAAGUGUGGUAAAGGAUAGUAGCAUUGUCCCUUCUCUCUUUUCUCUCAUUUUUAUUACUAUUAUUAUUAUUAUUUCCCUUUUUUGGGUGGGCUUAUUUGGCCUCUUUUUUUUUAUUUGGGCUUCAUUGGCCUCUUUUAUUACUUCCUCACAUGGGACAAUGUUGUAAUAAUGAUGAUCAUCACACUUUUAUUUACUUACAACUCGACUAUUAGAACAAAAUAUGACUCUAUAUGAAUGCCUUCGACGGUGUACCGGGAUGUGAAAUGAUCUAGCGUAGCAAUGACAUCAAAAAAACGGACAAGCCAUGAAAACAUCAUGCUAGCUAUCUUACGAUCAUGCAAACCAAUAUGACAAUGAUGGUGCGUGUCAUAAUAAACGGAACAAUGGAAGUUGCAUGGCAAUAUAUCUCGGAAUGGCUAUGAAAAUGCCAUAAUAGGUAGGUAUGGUGGCUGUUUUGAGCAAGGGUAUAUGGUGGGUGUAAUGCACUGGCGAAAGUUGCGCGGUACUAGAGAGGCUAGCAAUGGUGGAAGGGUGAAAGUGGGUACAAUCCAUGGACUCAACAUUAAUCAUAAAGAACUCACAUACAUAUUGCAAAAGUCUAUUAGUCAUCGAAACAAGGUACUACACGCAUGCUCCUAGGGGAAGGGUUGGUAGGAGUUAACCAUCGAGUGAUCCCAACCUCCACACAAAGGAAGACAAUCAAUAAAUAAAUCAUGCUCCGACUUCGUCACAUAACGGUUCACCAUACGUGCAUGCUACGGGAAUCACAAACCUUAACAGAAGUAUUUCUAUGAAUACAUAAUUACUCACUAGCAUGACUCUAAUAUCACAUCUUCAUGUCGCAAAACUAUUGCAAGGAAUCGAACAUAUCAUAUUCAGUGAUCUACAAAUUUUAUGUAGGAUUUUAUGACUAACCAUGCGAAUGACCAACUCCUGUUAACUCUCUAAAUAGGUAUAAGUGAAGCAUGAGAGUUUAAUUCUUCCUACAAAACAUAUGCCCCGCUCUAACAAAAAUAAGUGAAGCAAAAGAGCAUUCUACAAAUGGCGGUUUUCUAUGUGUAGGGAAACAGGCAAUCCAAACUUCAAAUGAUAUAAGUGAAGCACAUGAAGCAUUCUAUAAAGCCAUACUCAAAAUAUAUAAGUGAAGUGCAAAGAGCAUUCUAUAAAUCAACCAAGGACUAUCUCAUACCAGCAUGGUGCAUAAAAUAAAAAGGAAAAAUAAACACAAAAGACGCUCCAAGCAUUUGCACAUAUCAUGUGACGAAUAAAAAUAUAGCUCCGAGUAAAAUUACCGAUACAUUGUAGACGAAAGAGGGGAUGCCUUGCGGGGCAUCCCCAAGAUUAGACGCUUGUGUCUUCCUUGAAUAUUACCUUGGGAUGCCUUGGGCAUCCCCAAGCUUAGGCUCUUGCCUCUCCUUAUUCCUUCAUCCAUCGUGGUCUCACCCAAAACUUGAAAACUUCAAUCACACAAAACUCAACAAAACCUUCGUGAGAUCCGUUAGUAUAAUAAAGUAAAUCACCACUUUAAGUACUGUUGUGAACUCAUUCCAAAUUCGUAUUAGCAUUAUAUCUACUGUAAUCCAACUUUACCAUGGUUAAUACCCCCAUAGAUUCAUCAAAAUAAGAGAACAAUGCAUAGAAAACAGAAUCUUUCAAAAACAGAAUAGUCUGUAGUAAUCUGAACUUAUACCAUACUUCUGAUACUACAAAAAUUCUGAAACAAUUAUUAUAAUUAAGUAAAUUUUUAUAUCAACCAGAAGCAAAAAAAAUCAACUCAAUAGCACUCUUUGUAUAGAAAUAAGAAAUGAUUUCGUGUGUGCUAAGUUUCUGUUUUUUUCAGCACGAUCAAACAACUAUCACCCAAACUAAUCAUAAAGGCUUUACUUGGCACAUUAUUUUUAUAAUACAAUGGAAUUGUACAAGGGGAUAAUAUUUUUGCGAGAAACUUCCAUGAAAAAUUCUACAUUGUUUCCAUGAGCAUGAACACAAGUGUUCAAGGUCGACCCUCACUUCCGCAAUGCAUCACCUUUCAAUCGCUUCUCUUUUGGAAAGAGUUUUAAGUUCCCCUCUAUAUUUUUUUGUUUUUAAACUAUAUAAAAGCACUCAACAGAAAUAAAUGACUCUCUAAAACUUCUGGGUUGUCUCCCAGGCAACGCUUUCUUUAGAGCCGUUAAGCUAGGCAUAAAGUGCUCAAGUAAUGGAUCCACCCGGAUCCCAAGGUAUAUCAAAGCCAAUUUUAAUUAACAAUUAUUUGUAAUUUAGUAGUGAGCACAAGGUAACAUAUAUCAUGCAAUGACGAAGUCUAACUCUCUUCCUAUGCAUUGGCAUGUCAUAGAAGAACAAUUCAUGCACAUCAAGUAAAGGCCAAUACAUAGCAUAAGCAGUUUCUUGCAAUUUAUUGUAUUGGAAACAUAGAGAGGUGGAGAUGUAGUUCCUCUCUCAUAAUAAUUGCAAGUAGGAGCAGCAAGCACAUGCAUAUUAUAUUCAUCAAAAUCAUCAUGUGUACUAGUUGAAGGCAACCCAUCUAUGUAAUCCCUAAUAAGAGCAAACUUCUCCGAUAUAGUGUAGUUGGGAGAGUUCAAAAAGAUAAUAGGACUAUCAUAAGUGGGUGCGAUAGCAACAAUUUCAUGUUUAACAUAAGGAACUAUAGCAAGUUCAUCUUCAUAAGCAUCAUUCAUAUUGGCAUCAUGGCCACAAGCAUAGCAAGCAUCAAGUUCAUCCAAAAGGGAUAUUUCAAACGAAUCCAAGGGAUCAUAGCAAUAACAUUCAUCCUUUGGUAAGAACGAUAUUUGUGUUGGAUUUGAGGGGUGCCGGUCAGCUCGGACAUUUGAGACCCGUUUCGGGAGUCCGUCUGGAUCGAUUUUUCGUGACCGGGCGUGACCGGACGGCUUACCCAGCCGUAUGAGAUGGAUAUAAUAGAUCAGUUGAAGAUGCUCUAAGGCGAAGCAUCCGUUGUCUACCACAUAAUUAAGAUUGGUGCGCCCGGCUUGGGCAUAAACAUGGGAAAUAUUUUCUUGCAUAUAUAAAUUGUAAUACAUUGAUGUUUAGGUGAUAAUGGGUUACUGCUGCCGAAUCUGACAUGCCUCCUUUUCUUGGGAAGAAUAGUUAUUUCAUGAAUAUUAUUUUGGCAACAAUCAAGGUUAUCCAUGUGGAUUUUGUUAAACAACUCCAUCAGAUUGGCUUUGAUCGUUCAUAGAAACCUUAGUAGAAUUCUGCCUGGAGAAAAUGGUGCAUGCUACAGUGGUUGUCGCGGCCUCCACCCAUCGCUGGUGGAUAAAAACAUCAAUCGGGGCAUAAAAAGUAGCUUAUUGGGUCAUCACGUUUCGAAAUUUCAAGGUCUACCGCAGUGUAUUAAACAAUGUCGGCCUUAUGCAGGUGCUAAUUUUGGAAUCUUUGCACACAUCCGCAGGAACCGCCCUCAGAUUGAAUGUCCAUGAUAUGGGUACCACGUAACCCAUCCUACAAAAAACUAAGGGCGGAAACCAGUGGUAGAAGCAUAGUUUUAAAUAGCUCGUUAUAGCCCUGUUAUAGCCUUGCUAUAGCCUUUUCAACAGGUUGUCGCUAAAUGAUAUCAUGUAUAAAUGUGCCCCUAUAGCCUGCUAUAGCUCUGGUAUAGCAGAUUUUAAGGCGUGCCACUAUUUUUCAUAGCCCUCAAGAGGAGAGGGGUCGUUGUGUAAGUCAAAUCUUCGCUCCGGUGGUGGCUGGGUAAACAAUUCGCCCGCCGAGCCGUAGUUUUUCUCAUUCAAAGCAUCUUUUUCUAGACUUACAUUUAGACAAUAAAUGAUGGAGGACAACUGAAACCUAUAUGAUGAAUAUGCAACAUUACUUCAAUCUUGAUAAGACACUGUCAUAGAUAAAUACCCACAUCAAUUAAUUGUACACAUACUAGAGUAGGUGACACAAUCAAAUAUGCGAAUAAUUAAUUGUAUACUUCACCUCUCAACUAAAACACUUUGUAGGUUUCUCUCCAUUUCUUGGUAUCAACGACUAUAUAAACCAUUGCAAGAAUAAGAGCUAUAAAAAUGAGCUACAACAUACUCCGUAUCUAAGUACUCAUAUUGCCCUUCUAGCUACGUUGAGAUAAUGUAAAGAGUAGCUAAUUUGCACUAGUGCAGAAGUCCAAAGGAUACGAAUAUGUGGGAUUGAGAGCCAUUAGGAUUGCCAGUCCUAGUAACAUUGACAAGAUUCGUCGCUUCAUCUGGAAAGACCACACUUCUAGUGGAAAACAAGGUGCAGGCGGGUUGGCUGGAGGAGCUUUGGUUGAACUGAUCUCCACGGACCCUGCACCUCGGCGUGGCUGUGCAAGAGGAGGAACCCAGUGAUGGCUUUAAACUGCGCUAGACCAUCUCCCAUGGCUCACCAGUCAUCUCAAGCCACCGUCGCCUAUUGGCCUUGCCUUGGCCUUGGCCAAGGAGGAAGAAGACUGACGCAGACUGCACACACACGUGAGAAGAACACACAGAGUCUAGUGCACACGCACUUGUGCUUUCCUCUUGUUCUCUCUUGACCAGAAUAAACAACAUGAUUACAGAGCUUGCCAUGACCGUUGCCACUAGGUACGAAAACGAUAUAAGAAAUAGUUCAAGGUUCCAUCAGUCAUGCCAAAAUUUAUCGGCAGUCGGCUGAUCAGCGAUGACGAUAUUAUCGGUACAUCCACAAGCGGCUAUCAUUAGCCGUCUAUAAACAAGAAAAAAGUCAUUUUCUUCAACUUUGAUUAGUUGUCAAGUGAUGCAUGCAUUUUUUCUUAUAGUUGUGGGUAUAUGAUGAUUUUCUUUGUAAUUUUGGAUAGUUAAAAAAGAUUCAUUGCUCGACAAUCGAUGUUGGUUUGUCUUCCCAGGACUGCAGCUUAAGCUCUACCUGGUCAACACUUUACUGAGCGACAUUGGCCCACUAUUAGGUGAUGCUAUUGAUAGUAGUUCGCGAAAGAUUUGGACCCCACUAUUAGGUGAUGCUAUUCAUAGUACUUCGCGAAAGAUUUGGACCUUGCCAUUCUUGAUGAGCUGACACCUUGUUACUUAUCCGAUCAGCGCGCAUGCUACAGCUUGCCAACGACAUGUAUGUUAGCAGUCGGUCAGGGACUGUUCAGUGCUAGCUUUGUACGUGCGUGCAUGAGACAUCCAUCUUGCCUUCGUCUCUCUAUUGUUGCGUGUCGCGGGAAGACAGUCAGCAAGUGGUACUGGGCCAAUAUGCGCUAGCUAGGGUUGAGAUUGCCAAGGGUUGGGUUCGACAUAUUUCUUCAGUUUCGCCAUAAGCAAGUCAUCUCGUCCGGCCCGUACCAACUUGGCUCCUGACCUCGUGUGCACCUUACUUGCCUCUAGUUAUGCAAGUAAAGCAUGGCCUAGAGCUCGAGGUCAAGCUAGCAAUACGACCACGAACUAUGCAUGCCUGACACAAGGUAGUAUACCAUUUAAUAUAAUGUGGUAUCAUAAUAUGAUACCACAUCCUCUCUUUUGUCAUUUAAUGAUAUGCAACAUCACAAAAUAAGUUUAAUUGACAUGCAUGAUACUGCUUAUGAUACUCCCAGUAUGAACCAGCCUAACGGGGAGUACCAUAUAUAUACUAGUAUCACGCAUAUGAUACUAGUGUAUUAUACUACAGCCAUAGUGUAUGAUAUCAUAUAUCAGUAUCAUAUGAUAGUUUAUUUAUUGUUAUGCAUGAUCCAUAAUAGCACAUCAUUUAAUAUGAUAUUGUAUUAUGAUAUUGAUACCCGAACCUUUCUUCUUUUAUUUAAUUUUAUACCACCUUCCAAGAAAACAUAGUUGGCAUGCGUGAUACUAUCUAUGAUACUCCCAUUACGAACAACCUAAGCCAAUACUACUACAUAGUGCUUAAUCAACUAGUCUAUAAAUGUGGUGCCUCAGGCCGCCCCUCGCCCGAUCUAUCAUCUAUCUAGCCCAACAAAUACCAUAUGCUCUCAUCUCAUGGCCGCGCAUGCAUUCAAGGUCUCUGUCACCAUCGUUCUCAUUGCCCUCUGCGUUGUCGUACUGGCCCCUACCAUGGCGGAAGCGGGGUGCAUUGAGCAUUGCGGUUGCGAGCCCAGCUUGGAUCCAAAACGAGCGAUGUGCACCGACGUGUGAGGCGCCCUGCAUCGUGUGAGAGAGACUCCCGCCUCUAGGAGGAGGCUUGCUUCUUCGACUGCAUCGAGUCUGCCGAGGACUGCAAUGACAGUUGCAGAGCGGGCGGCGACGACGGAGGGUCUUGCUAGUUCGCUAGCCGGGAAGCCUACCUGAGUGCUAGCAGCAUUGAUUGGUCUACCAUGCAGUCAUACACUUGAUGUACCGAUCUUAAAUUCACCACAUGUCAUUACUAUGAUAUUUGUUCCAAGUGUUUCUGACCUUUGCCGAAGUUUGUCCUGUUUCAGAGUAUUAUAAGAUGAUUUUUCAUUUUUUGUGUUCUAAAAUGUACUGAAUAUUUUUUUGUGCGGUAACAAAACUACUCGGAAACAAGUGUACCUUCAACAAAACAUCCGGGCAUCUCCAAUGCGGACCAUCAAACCGCCCACAACCGUCUGGAUCCAUUUUGGCAUCCAACGUGGUCAUGCAUUGAUUCCCUCAGCUGCCCGGAUGUGUUUCUCCAACCCCAUGUGCAAGAGGUGUCACAACUGGCGCCAAGGGUUGGGUUGGUCUUUUUUUUUCUCAUUCACUCUCUUUGGGCAAAAUAAAUCUCAUAUUUUUCAUCAGUGAUCACUUUAGACUGACCUUACAUUCGCACCAUAGGUGAUGCAUGGCAACAUAACAUGGGUGGCACGCACUAGACAAGCGACUUAACUUACAUCUGACAAGGGAUUGGGUAGGUGAGCCAACCUCGUACAUGUGCUACUAAAUGUACCCUUUACUCCGCAACAGAAACAGUGCAUAGCCUUCUCUCCUCCUCCUGGUUUCCGCGUUUAUAUUAAACUAUUGCAAGAGUCGUGAAAAUGCAGAAUAUAUGCAAGUAUUGUUUCAGCCCUUCUAGUUAGGUUGAGAACAUGGAAAGAGAGCUACUUCUCAGUAAUGGAGGAGGCCAUAGGAUACCAAUUCGUAGGCUUGGGAGGCAUUAGGAUGAGUGUUUCUAGCACGACACGGAAUGACAGUUGCUUUAUUCAUAUGGAAAUCACCACGAUUCUCAUAGCGACGGAGGCACCAUAUUUUUUAUGGUAUGGCCAAUGCAAGCUGCCAUGCAUAUAGCAACACCAAGUUUUAAAAUUUCUCUAACACCAACGUGCAUAUAGCCUGAAUAUGAAAUUUUUUAGGUGUGUGUGUGUGAUGGAGUUCUAACCUUAUCAGAUUGCUGCCUCCGCCACUGGAUUCUUAUGGACACACUGGACGCUUGCUCGUCCGCACGACCUGGCUUGUCCACUGCCUAGCACGUCCAUGUUCUUACUCGCGCAACGACUCAACUGCACGUAUUUCAAGAUUAUUUCCAACAAACAUAACAUGCUCGAUGCGAAUAACAAUUUGUGCCUCUAACGUUACUACUUUUCUAGUAGAUUGUCUUACUUACCCACCUUGGGCUCACUAGGACCAUUUUCCCCUCUCAAACAUCUGGUUAAUGCGGCGACAUACUACUUACCGCUGCCGUGAGACUAGAGGCCAAUCGUGCAGAUCUCGUCCACUAUACGCAUGUCAAUGUGCUGCGGUACCAGAUCGAGCCAUGGCCGCUAGGCUGGUAGAUGUAAUACUUUGGGAACGACCUUCUUAUCAUUAGUAGAGAGAUACUAAGGAGGACGAGCCGGCGCUGGGUGGUGAUGAUGAGGGGUUCUCGUAGAAAUAGGUGUCGGUGGAUGAUACGUCUCCAACGUAUCUAUAAUUUUUGAUUGUUCCAUGCUAUUAUAUUAUCAACUUGGGAUGUCUUAUAUGCAUUUAUAUGCCAUUUUAUAUCAUUUUUGGGACUAACAUAUUAACUCAGUGCCUAGUGCCAGUUUCUGCCUUUUCCGUGUUUUUAGCCUUUUUCAGAAAUGAAUAUUAAACGAAGUCCAAACGGAAUAAAACAUGCGGGAUGUUUUUUCCCAUAACAGAAGAUACCUAGAAGAUUUGAGGACCAAGGCAGGAGGUCUCGUGGGAGGUCACGAGCCCCCUAGGCGCGCCCCGAGGGGCGCCUAGCAGGCUCGUGGGCCCCCCUUGCCUCCAUAGCCCUACCUCUUUCGCCUAUAAAUUCCCAAAAAUCCCGAAACCAACAGAGAGAGCCACGAAAAUACUUUUCCGCCGCCGCAAGCUUCUGUCUCCGCGAGAUCCCAUCUGGGGACCAUUCUGGUGCCCUGCCGGAGGGGGAUUCGGACACGGAGUGCUUCUUCAUCAACACCAUUGCCUCUUCAAUGAUGCGUGAGUAGUUCACCACAGUCCUUCGGGUCCAUAGCUAGUAGCUAGAUGGCUUCUUCUCUCUCUUGGAUCUUCAAUACAAAGUUCUCCAUGAUCUUCAUGGAGAUCUAUCCGAUGUAACUUUCUUUUGCGGUGUGUUUGUCGAGAUCCGAUGAAUUGUGGAUUUAUGAUCAGGUUAUCUAUGAAUAUUAUCUGAGUCUCCUCUGAUUUCUUAUAUGGAUGAUUUCGUAUCUUUGUAAUUCUCUUCGAGUUAUGGGUUUCGUUUGGCCAACUUGAUAUAUAAUUCUUGCAAUGGGAGAAGUGCUUGGUUUUGGGUUCAUACCGUGCGGUGCCCUCACCUAGUGACAGAAGGGGUAGCGAGGCACGCAUCAUGUUGUUGCCAUCAAGGGUAAAAAGAUGGAGUUUAUAUCAUAUUGCAUGAAUUUAUCCCUCUACAUCAUGUCAUCUUGCUUAAGGCGUUAUUCUGUUUGUUAUGAACUUAAUACACUAGAUGCAUGCUGGAUAGGGGUCAAUGUGUGGAGUAAUAGUAGUAGAUGCAGAAAGUAUCGGUCUACUUGUCUCGGACAUGAUGCCUAUAUGUAUGAUAUUGUAUUAUCAUAUUGUCAUCAUGACUUUACGCGAUUCUAUCAAUUGCUCGACAGUAAUUCGUUCACCCACCGUAAUACUUGCUAUCAUGAGAGAAACCUCUAGUAAACACUAUGGCCCCCGGGUCUAUUUUACACAUUAUAUAUUCAGAUCUACAUACAAAAAUACCGAAAAUACCUUGCUGCACUUUUAUUUAUAUUUACCUUUUAUCACUAUUAGAUCUCACCUUGCAAGUAAUCGUGAAGGGAUUGACAACCCCUUUAUCUCGUUGGGUGCAAUUUUGUUUGUUUUUGCGCAGGUGCAUUGGUGCCUCAUCUUGAUACUCCUACUGGAUUGAUACCUUGGUUCUCAAACUGAUGGAAAUAAUUAUCUCUACUUUGCUGCAUCACCCUUACCUCUUGAAGGGAAAACACCAACGCAAGCUCAAGGAGUAGCAGGAAGAAUUUCUGGCGCCAUUGUCGGGGAGUAUUCAAGUGAAGCAUAUCUACCAAGUACCUAUCGCAAACUCAUCUCUUGAAUUUACAUUAUUUGCCAUUUUCCUCUCGUUUUCCUCUCCCCCACUUCUAAAACAAAAUUUACAAAAAUGUUUCCUUUCUUUAUUUGCCUUUUUCGUUCGCCCUUUCUUUUGCUUGCUUUCUAUUUGCUUGUGUGCUUGUCUGCUUGCUAAGUCACCAUGUCUGAAAACACUAAAUUUUGUGACUUCUCUAAUACUAAUAACAAUGAUUUUAUUAGUACUCCAAUUGCUCCCGCCACAAGUGCGGAUUCAUCUGAAAUUAAUGCUGCCUUGUUGAAUCUUGUUAUGAAAGAGCAAUUUUCCGGCCUUCCCAGUGAAGAUGCCGCAUCCCAUCUUAAUACCUUUAUUGAGUUAUGCGAUAUGCAAAAGAAGAAAGAUGUGGAUAAUGAUAUGAUUAAAUUGAAGCUAUUUCCGUUCUCAUUACGAGAUCCAGCAAAAACUUGGUUUUCAUCUUUACCCAAAAAUAGUAUUGAUUCAUGGAACGAGUGUAAAGAUGCCUUUAUUUCCAAGUAUUUUCCACCUGCUAAGAUUAUCUCUCUCCAUAAUGAUAUCAUGAAUUUUAAGCAAAUAGAUCAUGAACAUGUUGCACAAUCUUGGGAGAGAAUGAAAUUGAUGAUUAGAAAUUGUCCCGCUCAUGGCCUAAGUCUUUGGAUGAUUAUACAAAUUUUCUAUGCUGGUUUGAAUUUUGCUUCUAGAAAUAUCUUGGAUUCCGCCUCUGGUGGAACUUUUAUGGAAAUCACACUAGGAGAAGCUAAAAAACUCCUAGAUAAUAUCAUGACAAAUUAUUCUCAAUGGCACACUGAAAGGUCACCUACUAGUAAAAAAAGUGCAUGCUAUAGAAGAAAUAACUCUUUGAGUGCUAAGAUGGAUGAGUUAAUGAAGUUGUUUGCUAGUAAAAGUGCUCCUCUAGAUCCAAAUGAUAUGCCUUUAUCUUCCUUGAUUGAGAAUUGCAAUGAAAAUUUGGAUGUUAAUUUUGUUGGUAGGAAUAAUUUUGGUAACAACAUGUCACAUCCCCAACCCUUAAGCAAGAUAGCAUUGUGCUCAUGUCUUCUUUGCAUUUGCAUCUAAGAAGUUUCAACAAAAACAACAAAGUGGCAAAGGAAAAACUCAAUACCCUAGCCACCAUUUCAAUUAAAGGAAAUUUCAAACUAGUUCAAAAUCAAUGAACCCAAAAUGGCCUCAAGAAAUGUUCAAACUUUCUGAUAAAUCAUGAAAGUAAAUGAGCAUUGGAGAAAACUAUUUUCUUGACACUUUAAGCAUUUUAAAUAAAUGCAAAAGCCACUGGUUUCAAAUUUAAAAUUUGAAAUCAGAAACUAUAAUUUUCCAAAAAUGUUGAAAGUCUUGGAAAUGAGUGGGGAUAUUAUAACAAAUAUUUCAGGAGGUCUAAAAUAGUUUUUACUUUUUGUUUUGGAGCUGAAAUAAUUAGCAAAGCAAUAAAUAGCAAAACAGAAAAACAAAAAUAGAGAAAAUGGAAAAAGACUUACCUGUCGCCCAAGCCAGGCCCGGCCCAUCUCCCCGCUCGUCCCCUCCCUCGCGCCAGUAGGCAGCAGGAGGUGGCCGCCGCCUCCUCCGGCGCGGCCACGCACCUGCGUGCCUGCCUGGCCGCCGGUUCGCGCUGGCGACGACGGGGAUAAGCUCCCCAGAGCUUUCCCUAUCCAUUCCCCGCCUCGGUUCUUCCCCUCCUCCCGGAUCCCCUCCUUCUCCCUACUGCCGCCAUUAGAGCCGAGCUCGAGCUCGAGCUGGCCGUGCCCCUGGCCAUAGGAUCCCCUCCCAGAGCACGCCAUUAGCUCCGCCUCGUCGCCCUGGUCGUCUCUGCAGAAGCCGAAGCCUCCUCGAGCCCUGCAACGCCCGCAACGCCGUCGUCUUCCUCCUCCGGCCGCCGGACCUCUCCCGUCGAUUCGUCGCCCCUAGGCCUUCCCCGAGCCGUCUAAGCUCUGCUCUGCACUCCCAGUGAGCAUGCGGUCGUUUCCCCUAAGUUUUCCCCGUCGAUCCCCUCCUCUAGACCUAGUUUCACCAGAGCCCGACGAGGACCGCCGCUGCCGCUCGUCGCCGGUAGCCCUCCGAUGAUCAUCCCGUCCUUCCGAGGGCACCAACAGCUCCAGGACGACGUGUAGAUGCCGUAGCAGCUAAGAACCGAGCGUAGAUCCCCCUGGUUCAAAGACCCCGAGGACGCCCGAGCUUCGGCCGCCGCUCCGGCUCGUCGCCGACGCCUCUUCCGGCGACCCUAGCCUCCCCAGUUGGUCCUGCCAGAUCGGCCACUUCGCGAGCUUGCUGUAGCUGCCAACCGCGUGCGUUUUCGUGCUGUGCAGCGCCGUCUAGGACGCCUUUGGCGAGCCCUCCACUGCGGGUCUGGUCGCCGGCGACCACCCUCCGGUGGCCGUCGACGUGGCCGACCAUUNNNNNNNNNNNNNNNNNNNNNNNNNNNNNNNNNNNNNNNNNNNNNNNNNNNNNNNNNNNNNNNNNNNNNNNNNNNNNNNNNNNNNNNNNNNNNNNNNNNNNNNNNNNNNNNNNNNNNNNNNNNNNNNNNNNNNNNNNNNNNNNNNNNNNNNNNNNNNNNNNNNNNNNNNNNNNNNNNNNNNNNNNNNNNNNNNNNNNNNNNNNNNNNNNNNNNNNNNNNNNNNNNNNNNNNNNNNNNNNNNNNNNNNNNNNNNNNNNNNNNNNNNNNNNNNNNNNNNNNNNNNNNNNNNNNNNNNAGCCUGAUGCAAUAAAUAGAAUUUCCAGUAUAAAACUAAUUCAGGAAAUUGCUAAAAAUUGCAAAAAUCAUAGAAAUUAAUCUGUAACUCCAAUGAAAAUAAAUUAUAUAUGAAAAAGUAUCAGAAAAAUUCAAGGAUUCUGAUUAUGCUAUUUUCAACUAUGUUUGAAAAAGUUACAGGACCCUAAUUUGUGAAAUAAGGAAUAAUUCAAUUCUUUUAAUCACUUUAUAAAUGGAAUUGCAAAAAUAUCCAAAUUUCAUUAUAAAUGCAAUGAUCACACACUGCCCUAGAUAUAAAUCAGUACCAUAACAUGACAUUUCAUGCAUGUUAACAUUAAGUUGAUCUGAGCCUCAGGUCGAAUCAAUUAAACCGGUAUCCGAGAAUACCCGUUUGAAUUGCUAUUCGAAUGUGAUUCAAAUCAACUUUAAACCUAAAAUAUCUUGAUUAUAAUAACUUAUCAUUUUGCAUUCUCAUGCCAUGCUCAUGCAUCAUUUUGAUUGCAUAUGAUUGUUAUUGAAUGUUGCCAUUCAUUUCGGUAGGCUCCGCACCCCCGGAUUCCACCGAAUAUCCGUGUGACGGAUAUCGUUCCUCCUCUGAGCAACAAGGCAAGCAACCCCUUUGAUCAUCCCGAUAACUCCUAUGUUCUUGCUCCUGCACCUAUUUAUUGCAUUAGGAUCAAAUGCUUCAACUGCUUUUGCCACGAUAGUUGGACCCACUUCCUUUGCAUGACUUAACCUUGUCACAGUAAAUAGCCGAACCUUGCAACCUAGCAUACCUGGUAGUUGCUUGAGCUAUGAUGUGCCUUAUCCUGCUAUGCAUGCUAUGCUUAGAGUUGUGUAUGGUCUGUCAUCUGGGAGAUGAACAGAAAUGUGGAAUGUGUUCGGUGGGCAAAGGUCGUGUGUUGAACUUGAUUUGGUAAAGGUACCGGUGAAAGGUUGUGUAGGAGUACAUGGNNNNNNNNNNNNNNNNNNNNNNNNNNNNNNNNNNNNNNNNNNNNNNNNNNNNNNNNNNNNNNNNNNNNNNNNNNNNNNNNNNNNNNNNNNNNNNNNNNNNNNNNNNNNNNNNNNNNNNNNNNNNNNNNNNNNNNNNNNNNNNNNNNNNNNNNNNNNNNNNNNNNNNNNNNNNNNNNNNNNNNNNNNNNNNNNNNNNNNNNNNNNNNNNNNNNNNNNNNNNNNNNNNNNNNNNNNNNNNNNNNNNNNNNNNNNNNNNNNNNNNNNNNNNNNNNNNNNNNNNNNNNNNNNNNNNNNNNNNNGUUUCUGGUGUUUAUAGAAAUGCUGGAGGCCGUGCAUGGUGCUGACCUGAGAGGUGGACCGUGAUGAGGUAGGCAGUGGCACGGUGUACCAAGUGGCACCCGGAUGGUGGGCUUGGGAACCCUGCGCACAUCGUUUGAGGCCGUGGCGGAAACCUCGGCCGGACUUCCGUACGGGUUACUCUCAGAUAGGCGAUAAACCUGCACUAGGUACUAGUGUGGUUAACGGUCGUGGCCGACUCCCUCGCUGGGCUUCCGCUUGAAGGUUGCCGAGGUGCAUGACGUGCACAUGGCGAUAAGUGGCGGGAGCGUGUGUGACGAAGUACAUCCCUGCAGGGUUAUGAUCUAUUCGAAUAGCCGCGCCCGCGGAUAUGGACUACUUGGAGACAUAUGUUGUUCAUAGAUAACUUCAAUGGCUACUCAUAAAAUUGUCAAGAUAAGCAUGAGUGUCGUGGAUGGCAUUUCCGUAUGGAGACGGAAUGAUUCCACGAUAGUGUAUUGUUGUGGUGUUAAUGGACUCGUGUGCGAGAAAUCAAGUUGUCAAAACUAAUUUCAAAAUGCAAGUUGUCUAGCCAUGAGUCAAAUGCUGGCUUCCCGCAUGAAACCCCACAAUACCUUUUGAUACCUUGCAUGAGUAGUUAGCUCUCCUAAAGUCUUGCUGAGUACCUUCGUACUCAUGUUUGCUUAAUAAAUGUUGCAGAGGUUGCUAAUGACCCUAAUGGAGGGUUCUUCAUAGACAUCGACGACGACGAGUAGCUGGUGUCCCAGCUACGAUCUGGCCCUACGUUGGCUCUGUAGUAUAGUCAGGCCAUGUGCCUUCUAGUUGCACUGUCUGUACCCAGACAGUUUAUAAAUCUUCCGUUGGCUUGUAUUGUAUGACUGCUAUUAUGGGUCGUGAGACCCUUAAUGUGUAAUAUUAUGUGUGUGGCUCUUCCGAGCCUCUUAAAUAAAGCUUGUAUGUUUAUGGUUAUGUUGUGAUGCCAUCGAUGUAUUUAUACAUAUCGGUAUGCCAUGCGUACGUGUGUCGUACUUGAUAUGUAUGGGGUUCGAUUACCUAGUCGUGAACUUUAGUAGCACUCCUUACAAGGAAAUGCCCCUUUGUGGUCCAACGAGCCUUGGUAGUUCGCUACUGCUCCGGACACAUUGGUUGACCGGCAUGUGUCCUUCUUAGCUGCUGUGUCUGUCCCCUUUGGGGAAAUGUCACGCGAUGUAAUGGAGUCCUUGUAGCUUGCUACGACUCGUCUACAUUCGCCGAUGACCGACACCUGCUUUGUUGGGUCAUGUAUGCCUGUCCUUGUGCGGUACUGCCACUUUGGUUUAUGACUAGACAUGUCGAUCCGGGUUCUUUGACAUUGGAUUGCUAGCGACACUAUCGCAUACGUGAGUCAAAAGACGCAAACGGUCCCGGCUAAGGUAAGGCUGCAGCCGUGGAGUUAACCGUGCGUGAGACCACAAAGGGAUGCGAUGUGUUACAGGCUGGAUUCCUAUGGCUUAGGAUCGGGGUCCCGACACAACAAUGCUUAUAGAGGUCUCUUUAAUCCUAGGCCUUUUUGUAGUAAUCCCUCUAACAAUUUUGGCAAUUCCUACAACAAUGAUCAUGGAAAUUAUAAUAAAAUACCCUGUGAUCUUGAGAGUAAUAUUAAAGAGUUUAUUACUUCGCAAAAGAUUUUCAAUGCUUCCAUAGAAGAAAAAACUUCUUAAAAUUGAUGACUUGGCUAGGACUGUUGAUAGAAUGUCUCUUGAUAUUGAUGCUUUGAAAUUGAGAUGUGUUCCUACCAAUAUUAAUAUGGAUGAAACUUUGAAAGCUAUGCGUGUUUCUAUGAAUGAGAGUAAAGAAAGAACCGCCGAAAUUCGUGCUAGACAUGAAUGGCUUAAAAAGGCGUGUUCUCGUGAUGUGAAUCACGAAGAUCUUAAAUUGCUUGGUGUGACUCCUAUUGAAUCCUUGUUUUCUAAUGUCAAUACUAAUGAUUAUGGGGCUGGAUGUGAAUCCACUUUGGUUGAGAAACGCCCUAAUCAUUCGGAGUCUAUUUAUCUUGAUGCUAACAAUACUAAAAGUGGAGUAGAGGAUAUCAGAACUUUGAAUAGUGAUGAAAUUAGUACUUUGGAUUUCAAGGAAUUUAAUUAUGAUAGUUGCUACUUGAUUGAAUGCAUUUCCUUGAUGCAAUCCAUGCUAAACUCUCCACAUGCUUAUAGCCAAAAUAAGGCUUUUACCAAUCAUAUCAUUGAUGCUAUGAUGAAGUCUCUUGAAGAGAAACUUGAGUUGGAAAUAUCUAUUCCUAGAAAACUUCAUGAUGACUGGGAACCUACUAUAAAAAUCAAGAUUAAAAAUUAUGAAUGCCAUGCUUUGUGUGAUUUGGGUGCUAGUGUUUCCACAGUUCCAAAAUCUUUAUGUGAUGUUCUAGGUUCCGAUGAGAUUGAUGAGUGCUCUCUUAAUUUGCAUGUUGCAAAUUCUACUAUUAAGAAACCUAUGGGAAGGAUCAAUGAUGUUCUUAUUAUUGCAAAUAGGAACUAUGUGCGAGUAGAUUUCAUUGUGCUUGAUAUUGAUUGCAAUCCGACAUGUCCAAUUAUUCUUGGUAGACCUUUCCUUAGGACUAUUGGUGCUGUUAUUGAUAUGAAGGAAGGGAAUAUUAAAUUUCAAUUUCCAUUAAAGAAAGGCAUGGAACACUUUCCUAGAAAGAAAAUAAGAUUGCCUCAUGAAUCCAUUAUGAAAGCUACUUAAGGUUUGAUCACUAAAGAUGAUGAUACUAGAUUCUAUUGCCUUACGCCUAGCUAACGGCGUUAAACGACAGCGCUUGUUGGGAGGCAACCCAAUGAAUAAUAUUUUUUUUGCUUUUUUACUCUCUGUUUUGUGGAGUGCACACCAUCAUUAUUCUGUUAUGAUUGUGUUUUUUAUGUUUUAAUUAGUGUUUGUGCCAAGUAUAACCUUUAUGAUUAGUUUUGGUGAUAGUUGUUUAAUCAUGCUGAAAAAGACAGAAACUUUGUGCUCACGAAAUUAGUUUUAAUUCCUAUACAGAAAGAGAUUUUGAGUUGAUUCUUUUUUCUUCUGAUUGAUAUGCAAAUUUCCCUAAUUUUCAUAAUUGUUCAGAAUUUUUGGGAUAGCAUAGGUAUACGAAAUAUACAGAUUGCUACAGACAGUUCUGUUUUUGGCAGAUUCUAUUUUUGUUGUGUUGAUUACUUAUUUUGAUGAAACUAUGGUUAGUAUCGGGGGGUAAGAGCCAUGGAGAAGUGAGAAUAUAGUAAUAUAACAUCACUUUAAAUGGAAAUUAAGUUUACUAAAAUACCUAAAAAGUUGGUGGUUUGUUUUCUUAUGCUAAUGAUAUGACGAGUUUCUGUUUAAGUUUUGUGUUGUGAAGUUUUCAAGUUUUGGGUGAUGUUCUUAUGGACAAUGGAAUAAAUAGUGGAAAGAGCCUAAGCUUGGGGAUUCCCAAGUCAUCCCAAGCCAAAUUCAAGGACACCAAAAAGCCUAAGCUUGGGGAUGCCCCGGGAACGCAUCCCCUCUUUCGUCUUCAAUCCAUCGGUAACAUUACUUGGAGCUAUAUUUUUAUUUACCACAUGAUAUGUGUUUUGCUUGGAGCAUCGUGUAUUAUAGGAGUCUUUGCUUUUUGUUUUAUCACAAUCAUCCUUUUUGCACACCUUUUUGAGAGGGACAUGCACUCAUCGUGAAUUUGUUAGAAUACUCAAUGAGCUUCACUUAUAUCUUUUGAGCUAGGCAAUUUAGCUCCCAUGAGCUUCACUUAUAUCUUUUGAGCUAGAUAAUUUUGCUCCCAUGAGCUUCACUUAUAUCUUUUGAGCUAGAUAAUUUUUCUCUAGUGCUUCACUUAAAUCUUUUUGGAGCACGGCGGUGUCAUAUUUUGUAGAAAUAAAAACUCUCGAUCUUCACUUAUAUCAUUUUGAGAGUGCUCUCUCUAAGUAACUUGGUAAUUGGCGUGUGUUGUGAUAUUAGUCCUAAAUAUGAUAGGCAUCCAAAGAGGAUAUAAUAAAAACUUUCAUAUUCAAGUGCAUUUAUUAGUAAGAGAAGUUUGAUUCCUCAUAAUUAGUUUUGACAUAUGGAUAUGGUAAUAUUAGAGUUAUGUUAGUAGGGUGUUGUGAAUCUAGGAAUACUUGUGUUGAGGUUAGUGAUUCCCGUAGCAUGCACGUAUGGUGAACCGCUAUGUUAGGAAGUCGGAGCAUAAUCGAUUUAUUGAUUGUCAUCCUUUGUGUGGCGGUCGGGAUAGCGCGAUGGUUAACACCUACCAACCCUUCCCCUAGGAGUAUGCGUUUAACACUUUGUUUCGGUUACUAAUAAAACUUUCACAAUAAGUAUAUGAGUUCUUCAUGACAAAUGUGAGUCCAUGGUAUAGAUGCACUCUCACCUUCCACCAUUGCUAUCCUCUCUAAGUGCCGCGCAACUUUCGUCGGUGCACAAACCCACUAUAUACCUUCCUCAAAACAGCCAUCAUACCUACCUAUUAUGGCAUUUUCAUAGCCAUUCCGAGAUAUAUUGCCAUGCAACUCCCACCGUUCCGUCUCAUGACAUGUGCCAUCACUUUCAUAUUGCCAUUGCAUGAUCGUAAGAUAUCUAGGGACAUGUUCCAACGUCAUAUGCUAAGCUAGAGCGUUGCACAUCCCUAUACACUGCCAGAGGCAUUUCAUAUAGAGUCAUUAUUGUUCUAAGUAUCGAGUUGUAAGUCAAAGUGUGAUGAUCAUCAUUAUUAGAUCAUUGUCCCAUGUGAGGAAAUAAAAAAAAUAGGCCAAAGAUGCCCACCAAAAAAAACAAAAAAAAGAGAGGCCAAAGAGCCCAAACAAAAAAAAUGACGAGAGAAAAAGAGAGAAGGGACAAUGCUGCUAUCUUUUUCCACACCUGUGCUUCAAGUGGCACCGUGUUCUUCAUGAUAGAGAGUCUCUUGUUUUGUCACUUUCAUAUACUAGUGGGAAUUUUCAUUAUAUAACAUGGCUUGUAUAUUCCAAUGAUGGGCUUCCUCAAUGCCCUAGGUCUUCGGGAGCAAGCAAGUUGGGUGCACACCCACUAGUUUUCUUUUUCAGCUUUCAUACACUUUGAGAGAUGUGCAUCCGUUGCAUGGCAAUCCCUACUCAUUCACAUUGAUACGCCGAAUCGAUGUGACCAUAUCCUCCUUUUUGCCUCACAACCUCCACCACACUAUAUUCCACCUAUAGUGUUAUAUCCAUGGCUCAUGCUCAUGUAUUGCGUGAGAGUUGAAAAAGUUUGAGAAAGUAAGAGUGCGAAAACAAUUACUUGGCCAAUACCGGGGUUGUGCAAGAUUUAAAUUCGUUGUGUGGGGAUGAUGGAGCAUAGCCAGACUAUAUGAUUUUAUAGGGAUAACUUUCUUUGGCUUGUUAUUUCAAAAGUUCAUGAUUACUUUGCUAGUAUGGUUGAAGUAUUAUUUUUCAUGUCAAUAUUAAACUAUUGUUUUGAAUCUUACGGAUCUGAAUAUUCAUGCCACAACAAAGAAGUUACAAAGAGAAAAUAUGUUAGGUAGCAUUCCGCAUCAAAAAUUCGGUCUUUAUGACUUCCCUACUCGAGGACGAGCAUGACUUAAGCUUGGGGAUGCUUGAUAUGUCUCCAACGUAUCUAUAAUUUUUGAUUGUUCCAUGCUAUUAUAUUAUCAACUUGGGAAGUCUUAUAUGCAUUUAUAUGCCAUUUUAUAUCAUUUUUGGGACUAACAUAUAAACUCAGUGCCUACUGCCAGUUUCUGUUUUUUCCGUGUUUUUGACCUUUUUCAGAAAUGAAUAUUAAACAGAGUCCAAACGGAAUAAAACAUGCGGGAUGAUUUUUUCCAUAACAUAAGAUACCCAGAAGACUUGAGAACCAAGGAAGGAGAUCUCGUGGGAGGUCACGAGCCCCCUAGGUGCGUCCCAGGGGGGCGCCUAGCAGGCUCGUGGGCCCACCUUGCCUCCAUUGCCCUACCUCUUUCGCCUAUAAAUUCCCAAACAUCCCGAAACCAACAGAGAGAGCCACGAAAACACUUUUCCGCCGCCGCAAGCUUUUGUCUCCACGAGAUCCCAUCUGGGGACCAUUCUGGUGCCCUACCGGAGGGGGAUUCGGACACAGAGGGCUUCUUCAUCAACACCAUUGCCUCUCUGAUGAUGCGUGAGUAGUUCACCCCAGACCUUUGGGUCCAUAGCUAGUAGCUAGAUGGCUUCUUCUCUCUCUUGGAUCUUCAAUACAAAGUUCUUCAUGAUCUUCAUGGAGAUCUAUCCGAUGUAACUUUAUUUUGCGGUGUAUUUGUCGAGAUCCGAUGAAUUGUGGAUUUAUGAUCAAAUUAUCUAUGAAUAUUAUUUGAGUCUCCUCUGAUUUCUUAUAUGCAUGAUUUCGUAUCCUUGUAAUUCUCUUCGAGUUAUGGGUUUCGUUUGACCAACUUGAUCUAUAAUUCUUGCAAUGGGAGAAGUGCUUGGUUUUGGGUUCAUACCGUGCGGUGUCCUCACCUAGUGUCAGAAGGGGUAGCGAGGCACGCAUCAGGGUAAAAAGAUGGGGUUCAUAUCAGAUUGCAUGAAUUUAUCCCUCUACAUCAUGUCAUCUUGCUUAAGGCGUUACUCUGUUUGUUAUAAACUUAAUACACUAGAUGCAUGCUGGAUAGCGGUCGAUGUGUGGAGUACUAGUAGUAGAUGCAGAAAGUAUCGGUCUACUUGUCUCGGACGUGAUGCCUAUAUGUAUGAUCAUUGCCUUAGAUAUCAUCAUGACUUUGCGCGAUUCUAUCAAUUGCUCGACAGUAAUUCGUUCACCCACCGUAAUACUUGCUAUCAUGAGAGAAGCCUCUAGUGAACACUAUGCCCCCCGAGUCUAUUUUACACAUUAUAUAUUCAGAUCUACAUACAAAAAUACCAAAAAUACCUUGCUGCACUUCUAUUUAUAUUUACCUUUUAUCACUAUUAGAUCUCACCUUGCAAGUAAUCGUGAAGGGAUUGACAACCCCUUUAUCGCGUUGGGUGCAAGUUUGUUUGUUUUUGCGCACGUGCAUUGGUGCCUCAUCUUGAUACUAAUACUGGAUUGAUACCUUGGUUCUCAAACUGAGGGAAAUACUUAUGUCUACUUUGCUCCAUCACCCUUUCCUCUUGAAGGGAAAAACCAACGCAAGCUCAAGAAGUAGCAGUGGACCAGGCGAGGACAUGAUACGUCUGUGUCGUAUCUAUAAUUUUUGAUUGUUUCAUGCCAAUAUUCUACAACUUUCAUAUACUUUUGGCAAAUUUUAUACUAUUUUUGGGACAAAAAUAUUGAUCCAGUGCCCAGUGCCCGUUCCUGUUUGUUGCAUGUUUUUUUGUUUCGCAGAAUAUCUAUACCAAACGAAGUCCAAACGCAAUAAAAAUUUACGGGGAUAUGUUUUGGAAUAUUUAUGAUUUUUGGGAAGAAGAAUCAACACGAGACGGUGCACGGAGUGCCCACAAGCCCACCAACUGCGGCCAGGGGGUGGUCCCGCGGCUAGCAGGCUUGUGGCCACUCCAUAAGGCGGUUGGUGCCCUUCUUUCGCCGCAAGACGAUAAUAUCGGGAAGAAAAUCGUGUUAAAAUUUCAGCCGAAUCGGAGUUACGGAUCUCCAGGAAUUUAAGAAAUGGUGAAACGCAGAAUCUGGGAGCGCAGAAACAGAAGAACACAGAGAGAGAGAUCCAAUCUCGGAGGGGCUCUCGCCCCUCCGCCUCCAUGGAGACCAUGGAACACAAGGGAAACCCUUCUCCCAUCUAGGGAGGAGGUCAAGGAAGAAGAAGAAGGAGGGGGGGCUCUCUCCCCCUCUCUCCCGGCGGCGCCGGAACGCCGCCCGGGCAUCAUCGUGUGACGGCGAUCUACACCAACACCUCCGUCAUCUUCACCAACAUCUCCAUUAUCUUCCCCCAUCUAUAUUCAGCGGUUCACUCUCCCGCAACCCGUUGUAUCCUCUACUUGAACAUGGGGCUUUAUGCUACAUAUUAUUAUCCAAUGAUGUGUUGCUAUCCUAUGAUGUCUGAGUAGAUUAUCAUUGUCCUAACGGUGAUUGAUGAAUUGCUAUGAUUAUGUUGUUGUCCUUUGGUGCCCAUCGUAUGAUCGUGUGCGUGGAUCACACCAUAGGGUUAGUUGUAUGUUGAUAGGACUAUGUAUUGGCAGGCUAGAGUGACAGAAGCUUCAAACCUAGCAUAGAAAUUGAUGCAUAUGGGAUUGAAGGGGGACCAAUAUAUCUUAUUGCUAUGGUUGGGUUUUACCUUAGUGAACGUUAGUAGUUGCGGACGCUUGCUAAUAGUUCCAAUCAUAAUUGCAUAGAAUUCCAAGUAAGGGAUGACAUGCUAGCAGAGGCCUCUCCCACAUGAUACUUGCUAUCGAUCUAGUAACGUAGUCAACUGCUUAGGGACAAUUCCGCAACUCCUACCACCACUUUUCCACACUCGUUAGACACUCGUAGUUGUUUCUUUAUCUAACCAGACCCAGUUUUAUUUAUGUGCUCUUUACUUUCUUGCAAGCCUAUCCUAUCACUCCUACAAAGUACUUCUAGUUUCAUACUUGUUCUAGGUCAAGCGAACGUAAAGUGUGCGUAGAGUUAUAUCGGUGGUCGAUAGAACUUGAGGGAAUAUUUGUUCUACCUUUAGCUCCUCGUUGGGUUCGACACUCUUACUUAUCAAGAAAGGCUACAAUUGAUCCCCUAUACUUGUGGGUCAUCAAGACCUUUUUCUGGGGCCGAUGCUGGGGAGCAAUAGUGUGGGGUGAAUAUCCUCGUGUGUGCUUGUUUGCUUUAUCACUAAGUAGAUUUAUUUGUUGUUCUAAGUUGUUCUCUAUCUUUAGUUAUGGAUAUGGAACACGAAAUACCAAAAAAAUUAGGUGUACUUGCUACUCAUGGAGAUGGGGAACCUCCUAAAAUACUUGAGGCUCGUUAUGUGGAAAAUAUUAUGCACUUCUUUAAUAAUCCUGAGAAAGCCCCAUUCAAUUAUAUAAUGGGAUACACGUUGGAUCAACGUGAAUACUUUAGGGAUUAUCGCUUGACUCAAAAAGGGAAACUUUUAUGGGAUCAAAUCCAUUUGUUGAAAUGGUGUGCUUGGGAACUAUGCAAGAGAUAUGGUGUUACUUGUUGCUCUAGGAUGAAGGCUCCACACCUUCCCAUUUCUUGUGAAUUUAAUGAUCAUAGAACCUUGGAUUCUUAUGCUAAUGGUAUAUAUGAUUACUAUGAUGUGGAGAAAAUAGAAGAGUUUGUUUCUUUUAUGGGUGCUUAUGAAAUUGAGGUUGUGUUUAAAGGGCGUGAUGAUAAUGAUGAUGCUCCUUACCGAUCUGAAAAUUUGGCUAUGCUUCAUUAUUGUUAUACUAAUUAUGAAUAUAAUGCCCAUAUUGAACGAUUUAAGGAGAAAUUCUAUGCUGCCCAAGAAGAGAAUAUUAUUUUGCAAGAAACUAUGGAAGAAGAAAAUGCUGAAAUUGUGAGCUUAUUAGAUGAAAAAGAUGAAGAGGAGAGCGAAGAACAAAAGGAGGAAGAGCGGACUAGCUACACGUGUCCACCUUCUAAUGAGAGUAACUCUUCUACUCAUACAUUAUUUAAUUUCCCUUCGUUCUUACCGAAGGAUGAAUGAUAUGAUCCCUUGGAUUCGUUUGAGAUAUCCCUUUUUGAUGAACUUGAUGCAUGCUAUGCUUGUGGCCAUGCUGCCAAUAUGAAUGAUGCUUAUGAAGAUGAGCUAGCUUUAGUCCCUUAUGUUAAACAUGAUGAUUUUGAUGAAUAUAAUAUGCAUGUGCUUGCUGCUCCUACUUGCAGUUAUUAUGAGAGAGGAACUACAUCUCCACCUCUCUAUGUUUCCAAUACGAUAAAAUUGCAAGAAACUGCUUAUGCUAUGUAUUGGCCUUUACUUGUUGUGCAUGAAUUGUUCUUUUAUGACAUGCCAAUGCAUAGGAAGAGAGUUAGACUUCGUCAUUUCUUGAUAUAUGUUACCUUGUGCUCACUACUAAAUUUCAAAUCAUUGCUAAUUAAAAUUGGCUUUGAUAUACCUUGGGAUCCGGGUGGAACCAUUACUUGAGCACUUCAUGCCUAGCUUAAUGGCUUUAAAGAAAGCACUGCCUGGGAGACAACCCGUAAAUUUUAGAGAGUCAUUUAUUUCUGUUGAGUGCUUUUAUUUAGUUUAAAAACAAAAAUAUAGAGGGGAACUUAAAACUUUUUCAAAAAGAGAAGCGGUUGAAAGGUGAUGCAUUGCGGAAGUGAGGGUCGACCUUGAACACUUGUGUUCAUGCUCAUGGAAACAAUGUAGAAUUUUUCAUGGAAGUUUCUCACAAAAAUAAUUAUCCCCUUGUACAAUUCCUUUGUAUUUUUAAAAAUAAUGUGCCAAGUAAAGCCUUUACGAUUUGUUUGGGUGAUAGUUGUUUGAUCACGCUGAGAAAAGACAGAAACUUUCUGCUCACGAAAUUAAUUUUCAUUUUUAUUCUGGGAGAGCUUUUGAGUUGAUUCUUUUUUCUGCUGAUUGAUAUGCAAAUUUUCCAGACGUUCGUAAUGUUUCAGAUUUUUUGAGAUAUCAGAAGUGUACGGAAUAUACAGAUUGCUACAGACUGUUCUAUUUUGACAAAUUCUGUUUUCUAUGCAUUGUUCUCUUAUUUUGAUGUUCCCAUGGCUUGUACGUUUUUUGAUGUCAUUGCUAUGCUAGAUCAUUGUCACGGUACACUACCGAAGGCAUUUCAUAUAGAGUCAUCAUUGCUCUAAGUAUUGAGUUGUAAGUGUGAUGAUCAUUAUUAAUAGAGCAUUGUCCCAUGUGAGGAAAUAAAAGAGGCCAGCGAAUCCCAUUUACAAAAAAGGGGCCAAAGAUGCCCACCAAAAUAAAAAAAUAAAAAUAAAAAAGGCCAAAGAGCCCACAAAAAAACUGAGAGAAAAGAGAGAAGGGACACUUGCUACUAUCCUCUUUCAACACUUGUGCUUCAAAUAGCACUAUGAUCUUCAUGACAGAGAGUCUCCUAUGUUGUCACUUCCAUAUACUAGUGGGAAAUUUUCAUUAUAUAACUUGGCUUGUAUAUUCCAAUGACGGGCUUCCUCAAAAUUGCCCUAGGUCUUCAUGAGCAAGCAAGUUGGGUGCACACCCACUAGUUUCCUUUAUGAGCUUUCAUACACUUAUAAGCUCUAGUGAAUCCGUUGCGUGGCAAUCCCUACUCACUCACAUUGAUAUCUAUUGAUGGGCAUCUCCAUAGCCCGUUGAUACGCCUAGUUGAUGUGAGACUAUCUCCUCCUUUUUGUCUUCUCCACGACCACCAUAUUCUAUUCCACCUAUAGUGCUAUGUCCAUGGCUCACGCUCAUGUAUUGCAUGAAAGUUGAAAAGGUUUGAGAACACUAAAGUAUGAAACAAUUGCUUGGCUAAAACCGGGGUUGUGCAUGAUUUAAAUACGUUGUGUGGGGAAGAUGGAGCAUAGCCAGACUAUAUGAUUUUGUAGGGAUAACUUUCUUUGGCCAUGAUAUUUUGAGAAGACAUGAUUGCUUUGUUAGUAUGCUUGAAAUAUUAUUGUAUUUAUGUCAAAUGAUAGACUAUUGCUUCGAAUCACUCGUGUUUUAGUAUUCAUGCCAUGAUUAGAUUAUAUGAUCAAGAUUAUGCUAGGUAGCAUUCCACAUCAAAAAUUAUAUUUUUUAUCAUUUACCUACUCGAGGACGAGCAGGAAUUAAGCUUGGGGAUGCUGAUAUGUCUCCGUCGUAUCUAUAAUUUUUGAUUGUUUCAUGCCAAUAUUCUACAACUUUCAUAUACUUUUGGCAACUUUUUAUACUAUUUGUCGGACUAACAUAUUGAUCUAGUGCCCAGUGCCAGUUGCUGUUUGUUGCAUGUUUUUGGUUUCACAGAAUAUCCAUACCAAACGAAGUCCAAACGCAAUAAAAAUUUAUGGGGAUUUUUUUUUGGAAUAUUUACGAUUAUUGGGAAGAAGAAUCAACGUGAGAAGGUGCACGGAGUGCCCACAAGCCCACCAGCCGCGGCCAGGGGGUGGGCCCGCGGCUGGCAGGCUUGUGGCCACUCCUUAAGGUUGUUUGUGCCCUUCUUUCGCCGCAAGAAAGAUAAUAUCCGGAAGAAAAUCGUGUUAAAACUUCAGCCCAAUCAGUGUUACGGAUAUCCGGGAAUUUAAGAAACGGUGAAACGCAGAAUCUGGGAGCGCAGAAACAGGACACAGAGAGAGAUCCAUUCUCGGAGGGGCUCUCGCCCCUCCGCCACCAUGGAGACCAUGGACCAGAGGGGAAACCCUUCUCCCAUCUAGGGAGGAGGUCAAGUAAGAAGAAGAAGGAGGGGGGCUCUCUCUCCCUCUCUCCCGACGGCGCCAGAACGCCGCCCGAGACAUCAUUCUGUGACGGCGAUCUACACCAACACCUCGGUCAUCUUCACCAACAUCUCCAUCAUCUUCCCCCAUCUAUAUUCAGCGGUUCACUCUCCCGCAACCCGCUGUAACCUCUACUUUAACAUGGUGCUUUAUGCUACAUAUUAUUAUCCAAUGAUGUGUUGCUAUCCUUUGAUGUCUGAGUAGAUUAUCGUUGUCCUAUCGGUAAUUGAUGAAUUGCUAUGAUUGGUUUAAUUUGCUUGUGGUUAUGUUACUGUCCUUUGGUUCCCAUCAUAUGAUCGCGCGCAUGGAUCACACCAUAGGUAUAGUUGUAUGUUGAUAGGACUAUGUAUUGGCAGGCUACAGUGACAGAAGCUUCAAACCUAGCAUAGAAAUUGAUGCAUAUGGGAUUGAAGGGGGCCCAAUAUAUCUUAUUGCUAUAGUUGGGUUUUACCUUAAUGAACGUUAGUAGUUGCGGACGCUUGCUAAUAGUUCCAAUCAUAAGUGCAUAGAAUUCCAAGUACGGGAUGACAUGCUAGCACAGGCCUCUCCCACAUGAUACUUGCUAUCAAUCUAGUAACGUAGCCAAUUGCUUAGGGACAAUUCCGCAACUCCUACCACCACUUUUCCACACUCGUUAGACACUCGUAGUUGUUUCUUUAUCUAACCAGCCCCUAUUUUUAUUUACGUGUUCUUUACUUUCUUGCAAGCCUAUCCUAUCACUCCUACAAAGUACUUCUAGUUUCAUACUUGUUCUAGGUAAAGCGAACGUAAAGUGUGCAUAGAGUUGUAUCGGUGGUCGAUAGAACUUGAGAGAAUAUUUGUCCUACCUUUAGCUCCUCGUUGUUUCGACACUCUUACUUAUCGAGAAAGGCUACAAUUGAUCCCUAUACUUGUGGGUUAUCAGGACACAUAGGAAACGCGUGGCACGCGAGCGACGAACAAGGUGGCCUGGAUGGCCAUGGUGCGAUGGCCGUCAUGAGUGUCCGUGGAGUGGUAGUAGGCGGUGGUUGCGUUGGUGUCCUUCGUGAAUAAGGGCUUGUUGUCGAGGAGGUAACUCUCAGGGGUAUCGACGGCGGCGGCGGCAGGCGGAUGGAAAGAUACUAGUGGAAUCACCACACUAUGAUCAUGAAACGGAUCCACCUCCAUCCUACCUAGCUAAGUAACUUCUUCUAGAUUGGAUUGACUAUCAACACACCAUACAUAAGUUACCAAAGGGAGGCGAGAUAAAAUAGAUUGGUCAACUUUAUUUUUUUCAGGAAGAUUUUUAUUAAAUCAAAACUUGUAAGACGGUUGGGGGUUUUCAAGGUCCGGUAAAAAAUUAUGUGAAAUACCCCUAAAUAAAUUGUGCAAUGACAUUUAAGCUAAAAUUGUGAAGACUCGCAGACUAAAGCAUAGCCUAAUGGUAGAAAUGGGCUGAUGCCUUCCCGCCCACCCAGGUUCAAGGCAUGGUGCUUGUAAUUUAGGGUUGUUGCAUCAAUUAUACAGUAGGAGCCUCACUUAAUGUCUUGCUAUAAAAAUAUGAAUACUACGGAUAGUUAACAAGCUGAGACUGCACAUACAUUCAUAGGACAAGUGAUGCUUGACAACAUAAGACGGGCGUAGAUUUUCAUCUUAACUUUAAUAUAACAAGCUUUCUUUUAGCAAAUUUAAUCUAACAAGUUACUAGGUGCAUGAGCCAAUUACGUACAUGUGUCGGAAGCUGUAUACUUUUUUUCUCAAUGAAACACUUCAUAGAUUUCGCUCCUCUUCCUGGUAUUUGAAUUUAUAUAAACCAUUGCAUGUACCAUGAAUGUAAGAUAUCCACGUUCCUUUAUGAAUCUGUAGGUAGGUUGCAACUUCGCUUGAAUAUGACAAGUUACUGGGUGCGUGAGCCAACCACAUAUACAUGUGCCAGUAGCUGGAUACUUUACAAAGACUUCAUAGAUUUCUCUCCUCAUCCUGGUUUGGAACUUUAUAUAAACCAUUGCAAGAACCGUGAAUGUAAAAUGUCCAGGUUCCUUUUAUGCACUUCUAGAUAUGUUGAGAUGGUGGAAUGAAUAGCUAAUUUGCCCCACGGAUGAAUGGUAUCAUAGGGUACUAAUUAUUAGGAUUGGGAGGUAUUAGGACAACCAUUUCUGGCAGGACUACACUACCAUGUUGCUUCAUAUCAAAAUCAACAUAAAUAUUAGGAAGAUCGUUCAACAUCAAUGUUAGCAAGAUGUUGCACGUGUCAUUGCUGUCAAUCUUUGCUACACAUUGGCAGGAUCGGAGCUCCAUGAGCUGAAGCAAGAGGGCCAACAACUGCCCUCUCGGCGAUGGCUUGGUGUGUUCUGUGCAACUUUGCAUUGUGGUUUGGUUUCUCAAGGCAACGCGGUUCAAUCAAGGUUUUGGUUUUCGGUUUCUGUAUUUUUCGCACAAUUGGAGUUCUCUUCUUGGAGAAAUUGUUGAUAGGUGUAAUUCGAUCUCCUAGUUGUUCAUGUAAUAAUGCCAACUCAUAGGCAGUAUCAAGGUCUUUUGACUUCUACAAAGCUACAACUAUUCAAACUCCAGGUUUCAAACCAUCUAGGAAAUGCAAUAACUGAACCUGCCUAUGUAACAAGAUUUGCACUAACAAUGUGCACGGGUAGGACAACUGACAACAAGGGGUUGGGUUGGUCCUUUUUUCAUCAUCUAUUACUAUACUAAUUAGAGACUCACAAAAAACUACCACGUUAAUGAGAAAAUAUGAGCUGUUAAUUUGGUGGGGCCAGAGUUAUCACGGUUAGAUGAAAAUCUUUCUUGGCCGUGUUAAGUUUUUUUAUAGACAUAAACCUUACGUGAAUAGAUUGGAUCGUAGCUCACGUCUAAUGUCAUAUAUUAUUCCAGCAGCCAUCUGCAAGAUUAAUUUUUCCACCGUCCCUAAUUCUUUCUCUCUCCUCCUCUAUGGAUUAUGCAUCUGGUCAUGAGAGUCUCAGCAAGGUACGUCUCAUAACAAGCAAUAUGCACCCAAAAAACAUUAUACUACUAGCUAUAGGCAGCCUGUAGAUCGAUUGCAGAACAAGACUGCAUAGUCCAGGCUGAGACGAGGCUCCAUUGUUGUGCUGAGGGGUGCCAUGCCACGAGCCAAUGGUUAGAAUUGGCCGGCAGCAACUUUUUGUGUUACAUCCGCGGCAUCCCUUUAGCUGAUCAAGAUGCGCCAAAGGCCUCUACACUUGGCAGGUAUGAUUUAUCCCGUCCGUAUUAAGCAAGGCCGAGGUGCAAGGUUCGGGCUGAGACGGGGCUUUGUUGUUGUGCUCAGGGGUGCCUUGCCAUGCAUCAAUGGUCAGAACUAUCCCGCGGCAACUUUCUCUUUUACAUAUGAUGCAUGCCUGUAGCUAGCUGAUCUAGAUGCGCCAAAGGCCCCUACACUCGGUAGGUUUGGUCCAACCCGUCCGUAUUAACAAGACGGAGAAUUGAUUAUGACUUCGAGCGUGCUUCAUAUUUUGGUAGUGCAAAGUCAUGACUUCAUCCUUAUUUACUGAAUUUUGCAUGAAGAAUACAUAUAGUUGGUGACGAUGAGAUACUUUGCUUUUGUGAGUUCAUAUCAUUGGUCGCAUCCAUAGGAUUAUGUAAUACUUUGACACAAGGUUUUAUAAUUCAUACCUCUCUACUUUGUCAUAAAUAAGAGAAAAAACACAUAUUGAAAAUUAUUAAUUGCUGGAACUCCAUACUAAUAAUACUACAAAGAUAAUUCAUCAGGAAAGAUCUCACAUGCGCCCUAGGAUUGAUUAUGACUUCGAGCCUGCUUCAUAUUUUGGUAGUGCAAAGUCAUGACUUCAUCCUUAUUUACUGAAUUUUGCAUGAAGCAUACAUAUAGUUGGUGACGAUGAGAUACUUUGCUUUUGUGAAUUCAUAUGAUUGGUCGCAUCCAUAGGAUUAUGUAAUACUUUGACACAAGGUUUUAUAAUUCAUACCUCUCUACUUUUAUCAUAAAUAAGAGUAAAACUACAUAUUAAAAAUUAUUCAUUGCUGGAACUCCAUACUAAUAAUACUACAAAGAUAAUUCAUCACGAAAGAUCUCAAAUGCACACAUGCACACACCCAUUAUCUAUCGUGUACCAAUACACACAUGUCUCUUGCUAACGGCAAAUAUCUAGAAUCUUGAACCUCCUAUUUUUGGGUGAAUCUGAUCAUUGAUAAAAAUAAAUAAAUACAUCUCAUAAAGUAAUGUAGUUUAAUGGAAACAAUCUGAGAAUAAAGAAAAAGACUCUCUUUUGAUGUAAUAUAUAUGGUGUGGUGAAGUGAACAUAGCGACAUGGAUGCGCGGCAGCGGCUCAGACCGAAUUCCAUUAGCACGUGUGAUUGUUGCAAGUCAUGCAUGCAUAUGCAUAUAAGAAUGAGAAGUAAUCAGCAAGAGAAAGUCUGCCCGACGAGUCAGUAUUUUCUUUUUUGCACCCACGGUUCUAACAUACCUUAUUGUUUUACACUUCUACUAAUGUAAAUGCUCUCAUAUCGCACUCCUUUCCUCCCCAUAAGAAGCCAAUUCCAUAUUAUUCAUGAGACCGAGAACAUGCUGACUUAAGUCGCGAAGAAGAAUAGAAGAUGGAUUCUGUGUUUGGUUGUCUUCACAUGGCUGAUAUGUUUCUGUCAUGUGGUGAUAAUUUAUAGGAAGGAAUACAAAGUUAUUUACAAGAGUUAUCUUGUGCAAAUAUUACUAUCAGGAUUCAACUAUAUUGGAUGUAUAACCUAUUGUAUAAAUAGGAAAAGUUAUAGGGUCAAAGUCAUUGAUUUCAAAUACAUAUUAUUCACCAAAACAAAAGGUGGUAAAGUUUUGCACUAUCAAAAUAGCAUAUAUCUUUAGUUCAUGUAUGGAAAAUUUUCUUCAACUUUUGAGCAUCUCUAUUAUGUAUUACCAUAUUUUAUAUUUUCCACCUCAGGCUAUUAGCAAAUUGUAUGGCUUUCCAACGAACAUAAGAAAUGGAAGUCGGGAUAUGAGAAGGAAACAUAAGAUUAAAAAUAAUAAUACCUUAUUUCAUCAAAUUAUUAAUCGAAAUAUAGUUACCAUGCUAUAUAGAAAACUUUUCAUUUAUAUAUCAAAUGAAUUGACAUAAAAAAUAUAAAUUGGAUUGCUAAAUCAACCAGGGAAAUAUUGAAUAAAUAUGAAGGGGCAUAAUCAGCGUGUGUUACUGAAAUACAUACACACCUAUAUAUAUGUCUUAGUGAGGAAUUAUUUAGUAUGCACUUAUUGUGUAUUUUAUUUAAUCUUAUCAUUAUAUUGAUGAUUUUUCACACUGAUUCAUAUUUAUUUGUCAAUGACGUCAUUUUUCCUUGGUUUCUCUCUAAUAGAGCGGUAGAUUUUACAAGCACUUUUUUUACAAGAGGAAUUAUGUCUUACUCUUAGUGUCUUCUGUAUGUUAGAAUGCUGAUUUGAUGUGAAGCCAAAUAAUUAUUCGUACUCGCUUCAACAAUGGUAAUAUUUGUUUUGGUGUCAUAAUAUUAUAAAUUAUCUGUUAAUACGAUCAAGAAUAAGUACACUACGGUGCCCGUGCGAAUGCACGGUGAUAACCCACAAGUAUAGGGGAUCAAUUGUAGCCUUUCUCGAUAAGUAAGAGUGUCGAACCCAACGAGGAGCUAAAGGUAGGACAAAUAUACCCUCAAGUACUAUCGACCACUGAUACAACUCUACGCACACUUUACAUUCGCUUUACAUAGAACAACUAUGAAACUAGAAAUUCUUUGAAGGAGUGAUAGGAUAGGUUUGCAAGAAAAGAAAGAACACGUAAAUAAAAACUAGGGGCUGGUAAGAAAAAGAAACAAUUACGUUAGUUUGACGAGUGUGGAAAAGUGAUGGAAGGAGUUGCGGAAUUGUCCCUAAGCAAUUGACUAUGUUACUAGACCGAUAACAAGUUUUAUGUGGGAGAGGCCACUGCUAGCAUGUCAUCCCUUACUUGGAAUUCUAUGCACUUAUGAUUGGAACUAUUAGCAAGCAUCCGCAACUACUAACGUUCAUUAAGGUAAAACCCAACCAUAGCAAUAAGAUAUAUUGGUCCCCCUUCAAUCUCGUAUGCAUCAAUUUCUAUGCUAGGUUGAAGCUUCUGUCACCCUUGCCCUCCAAUACAUAGUCCUAUCAACAUACUACUAACCCUAUGGUGUGAUCCAUGCGCGUGCUCAUAUGAUGGGCACCAAAGGAUAGCAACAUAACCACAAGCAAAUUAAACCAAUCAUAGAAAUUCAUCAAUCACCGAUAGGACAACGAAAAUCUACUCACAUAUCAUAGGAUGGCAACACAUCACUGGAUAAUAAUAUGAAGCAUAAAGUACCAUGUUCAAGUAGAGGGUACAGCUGGUUGCGGGAGAGUGGACCGCUGAAUAUAGAUGAGGGAAGGUGAUGGAGGUUUUGGUGAAGAUGACGGAGGUGUUGGUGUAGAUCGUCGUCACACGAUGAUGUCCCGGGCGGCGUUCUAGCACCGUCGGGGGAGAGGGGGAGAGAGCCCCCCUUAUUCUUCUUCUUCCUUGACCUCCUCCCUAGAUGGGAGAAGGGUUUCCCCUCUGGUCCAUGGUCUUCAUGGCGGCGGAGGGGUGAGAGCCUCUCCGAGAUUGGAUCUCUCUCUCUGUGUCCUUCUGUUUCUGCGCUCCCAGAUUCUGGCCUUUCACCGUUUCUCAAAUUCCCGGAGAUCCGUAACUCCGAUUGGGCUGAAAGUUUAACACGAUUUUCUUCAGGAUAUUAUCUUUCUUGCAGUGAAAGAAGGCACCAACCGCCUUAGGGAUUGGUCACAAGCCUGCCAGCCACGGCCUAGGGAGGGUCGCGCCUCCUGGGCUUGUGACCUCCUCGAGCAUCGUUUCGCGUAGAUUCUUCAUCCCAAAAAUCAUAAAUAUUACAAAUAAAACCCCCCUAUUUUUUUAUUGCGUCUGGACUUCGUUUGGUAUGGAUAAUCUGCGAAACAAAAAAACAUGCAACAAACAGGAACUGGCACUGGGCACUGGAUCAAUGUGUUAGUCCCAAAAAUAGUAUAAAAAGUUGCCAAAAGUAUAUGAAGGUUGUAGAAUAUUGGCAUGAAACAAUCAAAAAUUAUAGAUACGAUGGAGACGUAUCAGCAUCCCCAAGCUUAAUUCUUGCUCAUCAUCGAGUAGGUAAAUGAUAAAAAAAGAUAAUUUUUGAUGUGGAAUGCUACCUAGCAUAAUCUUGAUCAUAUAAUCUACUCAUGGCAUGAAUACUAAAACACGAGUGAUUCGAAGCAAUAUUCUAUCAUUUGACAUAAAGACAAUAAUAGUUCAAGCAUACUAACAAAGCAAUCAUGUCUUCUCAAAAUAUCAUGGCCAAAGAAAGUUAUCCCUACAAAAUCAUAUAGUCUGGCUAUGCUCCAUCUUCCCCACACAACGUAUUUAAAUCAUGCACAACCCCGGUUUUAGCCAAGCAAUUGUUUCAUACUUUAGUGUUCUCAAACUUUUUCAACUUUCACGCAAUACACGUGCGUGAGUGAUGGACAUAGCACUAUAGGUGAAUAGAAUAUGGUGGUUGUGGAGAAGACAAAAAGGAGGAGAUAGUCUCACAUAAACUAGGCAUAUCAACGGGCUAUGGAGAUGCCCAUCAAUAUAUAUCAAUGUGACUCAGUAGGGAUUGCCAUCCAACAGAUGCACAAGAGCUAUAACUGUAUGAAAGCUCAAAAAGAAACUAGUGGGUGUGCGUCCAACUCGCUUGCUUAUGAAGACCUAGGGCAAUUUGAGGAAGCCCAUCAUUAAAAUAUGCAAGCCAGGUUCUAUAAUGAAAAUUUCCCACUAGUAUAUGAAAGUGACAACAUAGGAGACUCUCUAUCAUGAAGAUCAUGGUGCUACUUUGAUGCACAAGUGUGGUAAAGGAUAAUAGCAUUGUCCCUUCUCUAUUUUCUCUCUUUAUGAUGAUUAUUAUUAUUUUUUCCCUUUUUUUCGUGGGCUUCUUUGGCCUCUUUUUUUUAUUUGGGCUUCAUUGGCCUCUUUUAUUACUUCCUCACAUGGGACAAUGCUCUAAUAAUGAUGACCAUCACACUUUUAUUUACUUACAACUCGAUAUUUAGAACAAAAUAUGACUCUAUAUGAAUGAGUCCCGCGGUGUACCGGGAUGUGCAAUGAUCUAGCGUAGCAGUGACAUCAAAUAACGAACAAGCCAUGGAAACAUCAUGCUAGCUAUCUUACGAUCAUGCAAAGCAAUAUGACAAUGAUGGUGCGUGUCAUAAUAAAUGGAACGAUGGAAGUUUCAUGGCAAUAUAUCUCGGAAUGGCUAUGGAAAUGCCAUAAUAGGUAGGUAUGGUGGCUGCUUUGAGCAAGGGUAUAUGGUGGGUGUCAUGCACCAGUGAAAGUUACGCGGUACUAGGGAGGCUAGCAAUGGUGGAAAGGUGAAAGUGCGGAUAAUCCAUGCACUCAACAUUAGUCAUAAAGAAAUCACAUACAUAUUGCAAAAGUCUAUUAGUCAUAGAAACAAGGUACUACACGCAUGCUCCUAUGGGAAGGGUUGGUAGGAGUUCACCAUCGCGCGAUCCCGACCUCCACACAAAGGAUGACAAUAAAUAAAUAAAUCAUGCUCCGACUUCGUCACAUAACGGUUCACCAUACGUGCAUGCUACGGGAAUCACAAACCUUAACACAAGUAUUUCUAAAAAUACACAAUUACUCACUAGCAUGACUCUAAUAUCACAUGUUCAUGUCGCAAAACUAUUGCAAGGAAUCAAACAUAUCAUAUUCAGUGAUCUACAAGUUUUAUGUAGGACUUUAUGACUAACCAUGUGAAUGACCAACUCUUGUUAACUCUCUAAAUAGGUAUAAGUGAAGCAUGAGAGUUUAAUUCUUUCUACAAAAUAUACGCCCCGCUCUCACAAAUAUAAGUGAAGAAAAAGACCAUUCUACAAAUGGUGGUUUUCUAUGUGUAGGGAAACAUGCAAUCCAAACUUCAAAUGAUAUAAGUGAAGCACAUGAAGCAUUCUAUAAAGCCAUACUCAAAAGAUAUAAGUGAAGUGCAAAGAGCAUUCUAUAAAUCAACCAAGGACUAUCUCAUACCAGCAUGGUGCAUAAAAGAAAAAGGAAAAAUAAACACAAAAGACGCUCCAAGCAUUUGCACAUAUCAUGUGACGAAUAAAAAUAUAGCUCCGAGUAAAAUUACCGAUAGAUUGUAGACGAAAGAGGGGAUGCCUUCCGGGGCAUCCCCAAGCUUAGACGCUUGAGACUUCCUCGAAUAUUACAUUGGGGUGCCUUGGGCAUCACCAAGAUUAGGCUCUUGCCUCUCCUUAUUCCUUGAUCCAUCAUGGUCUCACCCAAAACAUGAAAACUUCAAUCACACAAAACUCAACAAAACCUUCGUGAGAUCCGUUAGUAUAAUAAAGUAAAUCACCACUUUAAGUACUGUUGUGAACUCAUUCCAAAUUCAUAUUAGCAUUAUAUCUACUGUAAUCCAACUUCACCAUGGUUCAUACCCCCCGAUACUACCCAUAGAUUCAUCAAAAUAAGAGAACAAUGCAUAGAAAACAGAAUCUGUCCAAAACAGAAUAGUCUAUAGUAAUCUGAACUUAUACCAUACUUCUGUUACUCCAAAAAUUCUGAAACAAUUAUGAUAAUUAAGGCAAUUUGUAUAUCAAUCAUCAGCAAAAAGAAUCAACUCAAUAGCGCUCUCUUUAUAGAAAUAAGAAAUGAUUUUAUGAGUGCCAAGUUUCUGUCUUUUUCAGCAUGAUCAAACAACUAUCACCCAAACUAAUCAUAAAGGCUUUACUUGGCACAUUAUUUUUAUAAUAGAAUGAAAUUGUACAAGGGGAUAAUUAUUUUUGCGAGAAACUUCCAUGAAAAAUUCUACAUUGUUCAACUUGCAAGAUUGGAUCUAAAACACACAUAUAUUGGUGACAACAUAAUAAUUUCAUAUCUGAAAUCAUGGCACUCGGGCCCUAGUGACAAGCAUUAAGCAUGGCAAAGUAGUAGCAACAUCAAUCUCAGAACAUAGUGGAUACUAGGGAUCAAUCCCCGUCAAAACUAACUCGAUUACAUGAUAGAUCUCAUCCUACUCAUCACCGUCCAGCGAGCCUACGAAUAGAUUACUCACGAACGAUGAAGAGCUUCAUGGAAUUGGAGAGGGAAGAAGGUUGAUGAUGACGAUGGCGACGAUCUCCUUGAUCCGGAGCCCAAAACGGACUCCAGAUCUGUCCUCCAGAUGAAGAACGGGAUGUGGCGGCGCCUCUGGAUCGAAAACACGAUCAAAUCUUCUCUCUUGAUUUAUUUCGGGAUGAAAGGGAAUAAAUAGCGCUGGAGUUGGGGGCGGCAGAGCCACGUGGGCCCCACAAGCUUGGUUGCCAUGGCCAGGGGGGCCGCGGCAACAUGGCUUGUGGCCCACUGGCCCAUCCCCUCCGGUGGAUCUUUGCGCAGGUAUUUUUCAUAUUUUCCAGAAAUAUUCUCCGUAAUUUUUCAGGAUGUUCCGAGAACUUUCAUUUCUGCACAAAAACAACACCAUGGCAAUUCUACUCAAAACAGCGUCAGUCCGGGUUAGUUCCAUUCAAAUCAUGCAAAUUAGAGUCCAAAACAAGGGCAAAAGAGUUUGGAAAAGUAGAUACGAUGGAGACGUAUCACCUGCCUCAAUCAUGAAUUCAUCAGAAGUCCAUUCACAUGGUUGUACUUGUGCAUUCCUCUGUUGGUAAGGAUCGGGCUCCCGAAUUGCGAGACGGGGACCCCUCUUGCUUGAGGAAUCACCAUGAUAGUUUCUCCUGAACAUCUUCCUUUUCUGAAAUUUUUCGUGACUCAAAGGAAAAGUGAACAAGGUUCAACUAAACUCAUAGAAACUACUCCCACAAGUGCCUAGAGGCCAUAUCACGCAUCAAAACUACUUGGGACCAGCUAAAAUUAGCAUGCAAAGCUCAAGAACAGGGUCACCAAGGCAGCAAAAAUACGCGACGUAUAAGGCACUAGAGCAAAAACUAAUUGGACCAAUGGAGGAUUCACAUACCAAGGAGCAAUUUUCCCAAAACAGCUUGGUGAAUGGUGCUUUGCACAAGGAUAUCGAAAAUCCCAGCAAGAAGAGCAAGAACACGGGUUUGAGCUGCGAAACGAUUUUUUCUGGAGGUAGGAGAAGCAGAUGGGAGCUAGAAUGAGUAGAGGGGGGUGCACGUGGGCCCCACAAGCCUGAUAGGCGCGGCCAGGGGGGUGCCCGCUCCUCCAGGGCUUGUGGCCCACUGGUACAGCCCCUUGACUAGCUCUCCGUCUCAGUAUUUUUCAAAAAUUCAAGAAAAAAUCAUACUUCAUUUUCACGGCAUUCGGAGAACUUUUAUUUUCGGGGUACUUUUCUACGGGACGCAAAAACAGAAAACAGGGACACCUAAACUGAAUCUAUCCUUUUUCUUCUAAGCAACCGAAGGCGAAAGCUUGGAACAUAGGUUUGUGACUCCUCGAUUCAUCCGUCUCGUGGUCAUCGAAAGAAAUCCAUCAAUGAGGUUGAUCAAGUCUCUGUGACAAACUUUUUCGAAUCGCAAAAGGAAACGGAGAAUUUUCUAAUAAUCACUAGGUUACCUCAAUGGGGAUGUGGAUAUCCCCAACAAGAAAAUCAUACUUCAUCUUGACAGGAGGUAUAGGGCAUUCAAAGCUCCCAAUAAGAAUCGAUGAAGUUUCUUCAAUAGCAUUAAUGCAAUGUACUCGAUAUUGUUUCUUCGGAAAGUGCACCGUAUGCUCAUUACUGUUGACAUGGAAAGUGACAUUGCCUUUGUUGCAAUCUAUAACAGCCCCUACGGUGUUUAAAAAGGGUCUUCCAAGGAUGACCACCAUGGCAUCGUCCUCGGGAAUAUCCAGAAUAACAAAGUCUCUUAAGAUAGUGACGUUAGCAACCACAACAGGCACAUCCUCGCAAAUGCCGAUAGGGAAAGCAGUUGAUUUGUCGGCCAUUUGCAGAGAGAUUUCAGUGGGUGUCAACUUAUCCAGUUCAAGUCUACGAUAAAGAGAGAGAGAUGCAUAACACUAACACCGGCUCCAAGGUCCCAUAAAGCAGUUCUAACAUAGUUUCCUUUAAUGGAGCAAGGUAUAGUGGGAACUCCGGGAUCACCUAGUUUCUUAGGAGUUCCACCCUUGAAGGUAUAAUUGGCAAGCAUGGUGGAAAUCUCAACAUCAGGUAUCCUCCUCUUAUUAGUCACAAUAUCCUUCAUGUACUUAGCAUACAGAGACAUUUUGAGCAUAUCUGUCAAACACAUUUGCAGAAAGACAGGGCUAAUCAUUUCAACAAAUCGCUCAAAAUCCUCAUCAUCCCUUUUCUUGGAUGGUGAUACGUCUCCGUCGUACCUACUUUUCCGAACUCUUUUGCCCUUAUUUUUGACUCUAAUUUGCAUGAUUUGAACGGAACUAACCCAGACUAACGUUGUUUUCAGCAGAAUUGCCAUGGUGUUGUUUUUGCGCACAAAUGAAAGUUCUCGGAAUGACCUGAAAAUUUACGGAGAAUUGUUUUGAAAUUAAUGAAAAAUACUGGCACAAGAAUCAGUGGGAGACGUGGAGCCGUGAGCCCACAAGCCCACCACAGGCUUGUGGAGGCCACGACGCUCCACUGCCUCCAAUCUCAUCUCUAUAUAUUCCGUUUCGUCCGAAAAAAUCAGGGAGAAGGAUUCAUCGUGUUUUACGAUACGGAGGCACCGCCACCUCCUGUUCUUCAUCUGGAGGGAAGAUCUGGAGUCCGUUCUGGGCUCCGGAGAGGGGAGAUCGUCGCCAUCGUCAUCAUCAACCUUCCUCCAUCACCAAUGCCAUGAUGCUCUUCACCGUUCGUGAGUAAUCUCAUCGUAGGCUUGCUGGACGGUGAUGGGUUGGAUGAGAUCUAUCAUGUAAUCGAGUUAGUUUUGACAGGGAUUGAUCCCUUGUAUCCACUAUGUUCUGAGAUUGAUGUUGCUACUACUUUGCCAUGCUUAAUGCUUGUCACUAGGGCUAGAGUGCCAUGAUUUCAGAUCUGAACCUAUUAUGUUGUCGCCAAUAUAUGUGUGUUUUAGAUCCUAUCUUGCAAGUUGUAGUCACCUACUAUGUGUUAUGACCCGGCAACCCCGGAGUGAUGAUACGUCCAUUUUGCAUCAUGUUUUCAUGUUGUUAUUUAUUGCUUCUUGGGCCAUUAUUUUACUUCAUGGUACAAUACUUAUGCCUUUUCUCUCUUAUUUUGCAAGGUUUACAUGAAGAGGGAGAAUGCCAGCAGCUGGAAUUCUGGCCUGAAAUUGGAGCAAGUUUGAGAUACCUAUUCCGCGCAACUCCAAACGCCAUAAAAAUCAACGAGGAUUUUUUUUCAGUUUUAUAAAAAACACUUGGCCGAAGAAGCGCCAGAGGGGCGCCAGCAGGUGGCCACAAGCCUGCUAGGUGCGGCCACCCCCUGGCCGCGCCUAGGGGGCUUGUGUGCAGCCUGCUGGCCCACUGGCCCCCCUCUUCUGCUAUAUGAAGGGUUUCAUCCAGGAAAAAAUCAGGGAGGAGCUUUUUCGUGGAUUCGCCACCGCCACGAGGCGGAACUUGAGCAGAACCAAUCUAGAGCUCCGGCAGGACGAUCCUGUCGGGGAAUCUUCCCUCUCAAAGGGGGAAAUCGUCGCCAUCGUCAUCACCAACACUCCUCUCAUCGGAGGGGACUCAUCACCAUCAACAUCUUCAUCAGCACCAUCUCAUCUCCAAACCCUAGUUCAUCACUUGUAACCAAUCUUUGUCUCGCGACUCCGAUUGGUAGUUGUAAUGUUGCUAGUAGUGUUGAUUACUCUUUGUAGUUGAUGCUAGUUGAAUUACUUGGUGGAAGAGUUUAUGUUCAGAUCCUUGAUGCUACUCAUUACCUCUCUGGUCAUGAAUAUGAUUAUGCUUUGUGAGUAGUUACUUUGGUUCCUGAGGACAUGGGAUAAGUGAUGCUAAUAGUAGUCAUGUGAAUUUGGUAUUCGUUCGGUAAUUUGAUAUGUUGUAUGUUGUUUUUCCUCUAGUGGUGUUAUGUGAACGUCGACUACAUAACACUUCACCAUUAUUUGGGCCUAGAGGAAGGCAUUGGGAAGUAGUAAGUAGAUGAUGAGUUGCUAGAGUGACAUAAGCUUAAACCCUAGUUUAUGCGUUGCUUCGUAAGGGGCUGAUUUGGAUCCACUAGUUUAAUGCUAUGGUUAGACUUUGUCUUAAUUCUUAUUUCGUAGUUGCGGAUGCUUGCGAGAGGGGUUAAUCAUAAGUGGGAUGCUUGUCCAAGUAAGCGCAGUACCCAAGCGCCGGUCCACCCACAUAUCAAACUAUCAAAGUAACGAACGCGAAUCAUAUGAACAUGAUGAAAACUAGCAUGACAGAAAUUCCCGCGUGUCCUCGGGAGCGCUUUUCCUCCUAUAAGACUUUGUCCAGGCUUGUCCCUUGCUAUAAAAGGGAUUGGGCCACUUUGCUGCACCGUUUCUACUUUUGUUACUUGUUUCUUGCUAUGAAUAAUCUCACCACACAAUCACUUGUUACCGACAAUUUCAGUGCUUGUUGAUUUUACCUUGCUGAAAACCACUUGUCAGAUCCUUCUGCUCCACGUUGGGUUCGACACUCUUACUUAUCUAAGGGACUACGAUUGAUCCCCUAUACUUGUGGGUCAUCAAGUGACAAUAGCCGGAACCACUCCCGGAGAUGACCAUAGUAUGAGGAGUUCAUGUAUUCACCAAGUGUUAAUGCGUUGGUCCGGUUCUUUAUUAAAAGGAGAACCUUAAUAUCCCGUAGUUUCCAUUAGGACCCCGCUGCCACAGGAGGGAUGGACAAUAGAUGUCAUGCAAGUUCUUUUCCCUAAGCACGUAUGACUACAUACGGAAUACAUGCCUACAUUAGAUUGACUAACGAGAGCUAGUUACUUAUCUCUCCGUGUUAUAGCUGUUACAUGAUGAAUCACAUCCGGCAUAAUCAUCCAUCACCGAUCCAAUGCCUACGAGUUUUUUCCAACAGGUCCUUUCUACGUUACUUUGCCGCUACUGUUGUCACUGCUGCUGUUGUUACUUUGCUGCUACUGCUGUUACUUUGCUGCUACUGGUUACUGUUGCUACUGCUGCUAUCAUACUAUCUUGCUACUAAUACUUUGUAGCAGACACUAAAUCUUUUAGGUGUGGUUGAAUUGACAACUGAACUGCUAAUACUUGAGAAUAUUCUUUCGCUUCCCCUUGAGUCAAUCAAUAAAUUUGGGUUGAAUACUCUACCCUUGAAAACUGUUGCGAUCCCCUAUACUUGUGCGUUAUCAAGAACUUUUUCUGGCGCCGUUGCCGGGGAAGCACAACUAUAUUCUGUGAGUCACUUGGGAUUGACAUAUGCUGAUCACUAUGAGGAAUCCGAAAGAUCCAAGAACUGAAAUCUUGCCCUCAACUACGAGGAUUGGUAAGGAACUGCCAUCUAGCUCUGCACUUGAUUCACUUUUCGUUAUGAGUAAGUUUGCGACAUCACCUCCUGCUAGAAAUCUUGAUAUGUUGCCUGUGCUUGAUGAUGCUACUUCUGUUGCCCAUGAUGCUUAUGAUGAUGCCAUGCUUGAUACUGCUUUGCCUGAUGAUGCUAUGCUUGAUACUGCUUUGCCACUAGGUGCAUUCCUUGAUGCACAAAUUGCUAGAGUUGCUGCUAGUUGUGAUGAUACUUCUGAAACUGCUGAUACUAUUGAAGUAGAACCUGCUGUUUUGCCUACUAGAACUAGCUGUCCUAUGCCUGAAUUGCCUGAUAUGCCUGAACGUUAUGUUAUGGAGGGAGAGAUAGCUGAGGACUUUCUUGCGUGUAAGGAUACCUAUGAUGUUGAGAAACUACUUCUCAAGUGGAAAGAAAAUCUCUGAAUGCUAGGAUGAAAUAUGACCCGAAGUUUGCUACUUCACAUAUCUUUGUGACCGAUAAGGAUUAUGAAUUCUCUGUCGACCCUGAGUUAAUCACUUUGGUCGAAUCUGAUCCUUUUCAAGGUUAUGAGUCUGAAACAUUUGUAGCCCAUCGAAGAGAUCCAUGGUCUUGAUAACCCGAUACAGGUAGUAGAAGUAAAUUCUCUGCGUAGAUUUGAUGAGAGUGAUAUUCCUUUUGAUAAACCUGCUAGCUUAUGCCUGGAUGAAUUUGAUAACUUUGUUGCCCAACAACAGAGUUUCAAUUAUUAUGUUAGCAGACAAUUGGAACAGAAUGCCCGUAUGCUUAGUCAUUUAAGUGCGCGUGUGGACAGAAAUGUCAGUGAUCUUAAGCUCUUGAGUAAACAUGCCUCUAUGGUUACUACUCAGGUAGAACAAGUACUUAAAGCUCAUAAUUACUUGCUCAAUGAGUUGAAUGACAAUUCCGUUAGAGUCGUUACUAGAGGUGGUAGAAUGACCCAGGAACCUUUGUAUCCUGAGGGUCAUCCUAAGAGAAUUGAACAAGAUUCUCAAGGAGUUAGCACUGAUGCACCUAGUCAUCCUAGAAAGAAGAAGAAAGAUGAUAGGGAUUUGCACGCUAGCAACCCUGUUGCUGCUACACCCAAGAGACCAAACGAUGCCUCUAUCUCUGAUGCUGAAACACAAUCUGGUGAUGAACAUGAGCCUAAUCAUAAUAUCAAUAGUGAUGUUCAUGAUGAUGCUCAACCUAGCAAUGAUAAGGAUGUGGAGAUUGAACCUUUUGAUCUUGAUAACCCACAACCUAAGAAUAGAAAGUACGAUAAGAAUGACUUCAUUGCUAGGAAGCAUGGUAAAGAAAGGGAACCAUGGGUUCAGAAACCCAUGCCCUUUCCUCCUAAACCAUCCAAGAAAAAGGAUGAUGAGGAUUUUGAGCGCUUUGUUGAAAUGAUUAGACAUGUAUUUCUGCAAAUGCGUUUGACAGAUAUGCUCAAAAUGUCUCCAUAUGCUAAGUACAUGAAGGAUAUUGUAACUAAUAAGAGGAGGAUACCUGAGGUGGAGAUUUCCACCAUGCUCGCUAAUUAUACCUUCAAGGGUGGAACUCCUAAGAAACAAGGUGAUUGAUACGUCUCAAACGUAUCUAUAAUUUUUUAUGCUUUCACGCUGUUAUCUUGCCUUCUUUGUAUGUUUUAUGUAUCUUUUUAUAUCUUUUUGGGACUAACUUAUUAAUUCAGUGCCAAGUGCCAGUUCCUGUUUUUUCGUGUAUUUUGACUCUUUUCAGAUCUGAUUUUGGAAUGGAGUCAAAACGGAAGAAAAACCCCGAAAUGAUUUUUUCUCGAACGGAAGAAGUCCAGGGGGCUUUUGGGCCAACCCAGGUGGGCUCCAGGGAGCCCACAAGCCCGCACUCCGCCACCAGGGGGAGGCGGCGGUGGGCAGGCUUGUGGCCUCCCUGGCCGCCCCCUGACCUAGAUCUUUGGCCUAUAAAUUCCCAAAUAUUCCACAAAAAAUCAGUGGAGCCUCGAAAAUACUUUUCCGCCGCCGCGAGCUUCCAUUUCUGCAAGAUCUCAGGAGACCCUUCCAGGCACCCUGCCGGAGGGGACUUUGGAGGUGGAGGGCUUCUUCAUCAUCAUCAUCGCCCCUCCAAUGACUCGUGAGUAGUUCACUUCAGACCUACGGGUCCAUAGUUAGUAGCUAUAUGGCUUCUUCUCUCUCUUGGAUCUUCAAUACAAAGUUCUCCAUGAUCUUGGUUUGAGAUUAUCCCUCUACAUCCUGUCAUCUUGCUUAAGGCGUUACUCUGUUCUUAUGGACUUAAUACACUAGAUGCAUGCUGGAUAGCGGUCGAUGUGUGGAGUAAUAGUAGUAGAUGCAGAAAGUAUCGGUCUACUUGUUUCGGACGUGAUGCCUAUAGAAAUAAUCAUUGCAUAGAUAUCGUCACGACUCUGCACAGUUCUAUCAAUUGCUCGACAGUAAUUUGUUCACCCUCCGUCUACUUGCUUUCAUUAGAGAAGCCACUAGUAAACACUACGACCCCCGGGUCUAUUCACAUCCAUCGUUUACAUCUCCGCUUUUACUUUUCUUUGUUACUUUGUUGCUUUCAGUUCUCACUUGGCAAACAAUCUAUAAGGGAUUGACAACCCCUUCAUAGCGUUGGGUGCAAGCUUUUGUGUUUGUGUAGGAUCAUGAGAUACUCUUCCGCCGGAUUGAUAUCUUGGUUCUCAAACUGAGGGAAAUACUUACCGUCGCUCUGCUACAUCACCCUUUCCGCUUCGAGGGAACACCAACGCAAGGCUCUAAGGCCACGGGGGAAAUCCUUUGCAUACUUGCCUAGGAACUCCCUUAAGGCGUAGCCGCAGCUGAAGGAUUCCUGGUGCCGUUGACACAACUAUUUCUGGCGCCUUUGCAAGGGAUGCACAGCAGCCAUCAGAAGUAUUUCUGGUGCCGUUGCCUGGGAGGAGAAAUCAAGAUCUAUCCAAGUAGGUCUCACAAGCUCAUCUCUUUUAUUUACUUUUGUUGCCAGUUGCCUCUCCUUUUCCUCUCCCGCACUUCACAUUUGCCGUUUUCAUUUGCCUUUUUUCGUUCGCCCUUCUUCUGCCAGCUUUUUGUUAGCUUGUGUUACCAUGUGCCUUCUUUUUGCUUGCAUCUUUGCUUGCUAAAAAUCCAUUGAUAUGGAUCAUCAUCCACUAGCUAAUCUCUUUAAGAGACCCACUCGUGUGGAACAAAUUGCUAGUGAGUUGAGGGCAAUUGACUAUUUCUUUGGAGUUUUGCGUAAGAUGCGUGAAUCUGAAAAUUGUGAGGAAGAAAUUCAUGAAGUGAUUCAUGAGGGCUCCUUGGAUGAAAAGCAUGAUUGCAAUGAUUUCACUAUAAAUCCUAUUAGUGACAAUCAUGCUAAAAUUAUGCAAAGCCCUAAGCUUGGGGAUGGUGGUCUUGCUAUAACCACUACUUGUUGCAAACAUCAUGAUUGGGGUGAUGAUUUUUCUUUUGAUCUUGAAAAUUCGUUCAAGCCUCAAGAUGAAUAUGAUAUUUGCAAUAUUACUGAAAGUGGGUUUGGAGGCGUCAUGACUUUAGUUGAUGAUAAUCCCACUAUUUUUGAAGAGCAUCAACUUUGCACGCAUGUGGAUCAUGAAAAGAAUAACCUAUGUGAUAGUUACAUUGUUGAAUUCGAAUAUGAUCCCACAUGUAAUUGCUAUGAGAGAGGAAAAUAUUUUGGUAGAAACUUUCAUGUUACCAAAUUACCUCUCGUUAUGUGGAGAUUACUAUUGUCUCUUUCUUCUUCCUUGCAUAUGGCAACUAUGGGUUGUCUUGACAAUAUGUUUUUCUAUAAAAUGCCUAUGCAUAGGAAGUAUGUUAGACUUAGAUGUGAUUUUCACAUGCUUUAGGAUGCUCUCGUUGUGCUUCAGUUCUUGUGUUUUGUGAGAGCAUCAUUGAAUGCCUAGCUAUGGGCGUUAAACAAAAGCAUUUGUUGGGAGGCAACCCAACGAAUUUAACCUUUUUCUUUCUGUUUUGUGUUUUCCACAACUUCAUAAUUCUGUUACGAUUGUGUUUUUUGUGUUUCUUUUUGUGUUUGUGCCAAGCAAAACCGUUAUGAUUAGUCUUGAGGAUGAUCGUUUGGUCAUGCUGCGAAAGACAGAAACUUUCUGCUCACGAAAAGAAAUUUUUUUUCUGUAAGAGAUUUUGAGUUGAUUCUUUUUGCUGCUGGUUGCUACGCAAAUUCUUUAGACUGUCGUAAUUGUUCAGAAUUUUUGAAGUACCAGAGGUAUACAAAACAUACAGAUUUCUAUAGACUGGUCUACUAUUAACAGAUUCUGUUUUUGUUGUGUUGGUUGCUUAUUUUGAUGAAACUAUGGAUAGUAUCGGGGGGUAUUAGCCAUGGAAGAUUGAAAGUACUGUAACCCAACAUCAGCACAAGUAGAAUUUAAGUCUGCUACAGUACCUAUGGAAGUGGUGGUUUGCUUUCUUGUACUACUGUUAUCACGAGUUUCUGUUUAAGUUUUGUGUUGUGAAGUUUUCAUGUUUUGGGUGAAGUUCUUAUGGACAAAAAGAUAAAGAGUGGCAAGAGCUCAAGCUUGGGGAUUCCCAAGGCACCCCAAGAGAUUCAAGAUGCCGUAAAAGCCUAAGCUUGGGGAUGCCCCGGGAAGGCAUCCCCUCUCUCGUCUUCAAUCCAUCGGUAACGUUACUUGGGGCUAUAUUUUUAUUCACCACAUGUUAUGUGUUUUUGCUUGGAGCAUCUUGUAUCGUAGGAGUCUUUUAUUUUUGUUGUGUCACAAUCAUCCUUGCUGCACACCUAGAGAGAGAGACAUGCACUCACCAUGAUUUUGUCGAGCUUCACUUAUAUCUUUUGGUAGACAAUUCAGCUCACAUGUGCUUCACUUAUAUCUUUUGAGCUAGAUACUUUUUCUCUAUGUGCUUCACUUAUAUCUUUUAGAGCGCAGAGAUGCGUGGCUUGGUAGUUGAUCUAUGCUUUGAAAGUAGUCUCAAAAGGGGUACUUAUCCAAAGGGAUACGAAACCUUCCUCCUUCAUGUGCAUUGAAUAGUUAGAGAAGUUUGAUUCAUCUCAAUUAGUUUUGAGUUGUGGUCAUGGUAAUAUUGAAGUCAUGCUAGUAAGGUGUUGUGGAUCUAGAAAUACUUGUGUUGAAGUUAGUGAUUCCCGUAGCAUGNNNNNNNNNNNNNNNNNNNNNNNNNNNNNNNNNNNNNNNNNNNNNNNNNNNNNNNNNNNNNNNNNNNNNNNNNNNNNNNNNNNNNNNNNNNNNNNNNNNNNNNNNNNNNNNNNNNNNNNNNNNNNNNNNNNNNNNNNNNNNNNNNNNNNNNNNNNNNNNNNNNNNNNNNNNNNNNNNNNNNNNNNNNNNNNNNNNNNNNNNNNNNNNNNNNNNNNNNNNNNNNNNNNNNNNNNNNNNNNNNNNNNNNNNNNNNNNNNNNNNNNNNNNNNNNNNNNNNNNNNNNNNNNNNNNNNNNNNGAGUCCAUGGUUUAGAUUCACUUUCACCUUCCACCAUCACUAUCUUCUUAGUGCCGCGCAACUUUCGCCGGUGCAUAAAACCCACCAUUAGCCUCCCUCAAAACAGCCACCAUACCUACCUACUAUGGCUUUUUCAAAGUCAUUCCGAGAUAUAUUGCCAUGUAACUACCACCAUGACAUGUGCCACCACGUCUACAUUGCCUUUGCAUGAUCAUAAGAUAGCUAGCAUGAUGUUUCCAUUGAUGUCUAUGUCGUGCUAGAUCAUUGCCACGGUACACUACCGAAGGCAUUCCAUAUAGAGUCAUAGUUGCUCUAAGUUUUGAGUUGAAAGUGUGAUGAUCAUCAUUAUUGGAGCAUUGUCCCAUGUGAGGAAAUAAAAGAGGCCAAAGAAGCCCAUAAAAAAAAAGAGGCCAAAGAUCCCACCAAAAUAAAAAAAAUGAGAGAAAAAAAGAGAAGGGACAAUGCUACCACUUUUUCCACACUUGUGCAUUUUGAGCACCAUGAUCUUCAUGAUUGAGAGUCUCUCGUUUUGUCACCACCAUAUAGCUAGUGGGAAAUUCUCAUUAUAUAACUUGGCUUGUAUAUUCCAAUGAUAUGCCUCCUCAAAAUUGCCUUAGGUCUUCAUGAGCAAGCAAGUUGGAUGCACACCCACUAGUUUUCUAUAAGAGCUUUCACAUACUUGUAGCUCUAGUGCAUCAUUUGUAUGGCAAUCCCUACUCAUUCACAUUGAUAUCUAUUGAUGAGAAUCUCCACAGCUCAUUGAUAUGCCUAGUUAAUGUGACUAUCUUCUCCUUUUUGUCUUGCAACCUGCACCACAUUCCACACCAUCUAUAGUGCUAUAACCAUGGCUCACGCUCAUGUAUUGCGUGAGAGUUGAAAAUGUUUGAGAAAGUAAAGGUGUGAAACAAUUACUUGGCCAAUACCGGGGUUGUGGAUGAUUUAAAUUCGUUGUGCAAUGAUGAUAGAGCAUAGCCAGACUAUAUGCUUUUGUAGGGAUAACUUUCUUUUGGCCUUGUUAUUUUGAAAGUUCAUGAUUACUUUACUAGUUUGCUUUAAUUAUUAUUGUUUCCACGUCAAUAGCAAACUAUUGUUUUGAAUCUAAUGGAUCUGAACAUUCACGUCACAUAAGAGGAAUUACAAAGGACACCUAUGAUAGGUAGCAUGAAAGCAUCAAAAAUUCAUUCUUAUCACUUCCCUACUCGAGGACGAGCAGGAGUUAAGCUUGAGGAUGCUUGAUAUGUCUCAAACGUAUCUAUAAUUUUUGACGGUUUCACGCUGUUAUCUUGCCUUCUUUGUAUGUUUUAUGUAUAUUUUAUAUCUUUUUGGGACUAACUUAUUACUUCAGUGCCAGUUCCUGUUUUUUCCGUGUUUUUGACUCUUUUUAGAUCUGAUUUCGGAACGGAGUCCAAACGGAAGAAAAACCCCGAAAUGAUUUUUUCCCGAACGGAAGAAGUCCAGGGGGCUUUUGGGCCAAGCCAGGUGGGCUCCAGGGAGCCCACAAGCCCCCACUCUGCCACCAGGGGGAGGCGGCGGUGGGCAGGCUUGUGGAAUCCCCGGCCGCCCCUUGACCUAGAUCUUUGGCCUAUAAAUUCACAAAUAGUCCGCAGAAAAUCAGGGGAGCCUCGAAAAUACUUUUCCGCCGCCGCAAACUUAAGUUUCCGCGAUAUCUCAUCCGGAGACCCUUCCUGGCAUCCUGCCGGAGGGGACUUUGGAGGUGGAGGGCUUCUUCAUCAUCAUCAUCACCCCUCCAAUGACUCGUGAGUAGUUCACUUCAGACCUACGGGUCCGUAGUUAGUAUCUAGAUGGCUUCUUCUCUCUCUUGGAUCUUCAAUACAAAGUUCUCCAUGAUCUUCAUGGAGAUCUAUCCGAUGUAAUCUUCUUUGGCGGUGUGUUUGUCGAGAUCCGAUGAAUUGUGGACUUGUGAUCAGAUUAUCUACGAUAUAUAUUUGAGUCUUUGUUGAUUUCUUAUAUGCAUGAUUUGAUAUCCUUGUAAGUCUCUCCGAGUCUUGGGUUUUGUUUGGCCAACUAGAUCUAUGAUUCUUGCAAUGGGAGAAGUGCUUGGUUUUGGGUUCUGCCAUGUGGUGACCUUUCCCAGUGACAGUAGGGGCAGCAAGGCACACAUCAAGUAGUUUCCAUCAAGGGUUAAAAGAUGGGGUUUUUAUCAUUGGUUUGAGAUUAUCCCUCUACAUCAUGUCAUCUUGCUUAAGGCGUUACUCUGUUCUUAUGGACUUAAUACACUAGAUGCAUGCUGGAUAGCGGUCGAUCUGUGGAGUAAUAGUAGUAGAUGCAGAAAGUAUCGGUCUACUUGUUUCGGACGUGAUGCCUAUAGAAAUAAUCAUUGCAUAGAUAUCGUCACGACUCUGCAUAGUUCUAUCAAUUGCUCGACAGUAAUUUGUUCACCCUCCGUCUACUUGCUUUCAUUAGAGAAGCCACUAGUAAACACUACGCCCCCCGGGUCUAUUCACAUCCAUCGUUUACAUCUCCGCUUUUACUUUUCUUUGUUACUUUGUUGCUUUCAGUUCUCACUUGACAAACAAUCUAUAAGGGAUUGACAACCCCUUCAUAGACUUGGGUGCAAGCUUUUGUGUUUGUGCAGGAUCUUGAGAUACUCUUCUGCCAGAUUGAUACCUUGGUUCUCAAACUGAGGGAAAUACUUACCGUCGCUGUGCUACAUCACCCUUUCCGCUUCGAGGGAACACCAACGCAAGGCUCCAAGGCCACGGGGAAAUCCUUUGCAUACUUGCCUAGGAACUCUCUUAAGGCGUAGCCGCAACUGAAGCAUUCCUGGUGCCGUCGACACAACUAUUUCUGGCGCCGUUGCAAGGGAUACACAACAGCCAUCAGUGAUCUCGGAGUGCCUACUAUACCUUGCUCCAUUAAAGGUAACUACGUUAGCACUGCUUUUUGCGACCUUGGAGCCAGUGUUAGUGUUAUGCCUCUCUCUCUUUAUCGUAGACUUGAACUGGAUAAGUUGACACCCACUGAAAUCUCUCUGCAAAUGGCCGACAAAUCAACUGCUUUCCCUAUCGGCAUUUGCGUGGAUGUGCCUGUUGUGGUUACUAACGUCACUAUCUUAACAGACUUUGUUAUCUUGGAUAUUCCAGAGGACCAUGCCAUGGCGGUCAUCCUCGGAAGACCCUUUUUAAACACUGCAGGGGCUGUUAUAGAUUGCAACAAAGGCAAUGUCACUUUCCAUGUCAAUGGUAAUGAGCAUACGGUGCACUUUCCGAAGAAACAAUAUCGAGUACAUUGCAUCAAUGCUAUCGAAAAAACUUCAUCGAUUCUUAUUGGGAGCUUUGAAUGCCCUAUACCUCGUGUUAAGAUGAAGUACGAUUUGCUUAUUGGGGAAAACACAUCCCCAUUGAGGUGACCUAGUAACUAUUCAAAAAUUCUCCGUUCUCUUUUGCGAUUCGAAAAGGUUUGUCGAGGAGGAUUGAUCAACCUCACUGAUGGAUUUCUCUCGAUGACCAUGAGAUGGAUGAAUCGAGGAGUCACCAACCUAUGUUCCAAGCUUUCACCUUCGGUUGCUUAGAAGAAAAAUUAUAGUUUUAGUUUAGUUUUCCCUGUUUUCUGUUUUAGCGUUCGGUAGAAAAGUACCACGAAAAUAAAAGUUCUCUCAACGUCCUGAAAAUCAAGUAUGAUUUUUCUGGAUUUUUUGAAAAAUACUGAGACAAAAAGCUUAUCUGGGGGCUGCACUAGUGGGCCACAAGCCCCUGAGGAGCGGGUACCCCUUGGUCGCGCCACCCAGGCUUGUGGGGCCCACGUGCACCCCUCCACUCAUUCUUGCUCUCAUCUGGUUCUCCUACCUCCAGAAAAAAAUCAUUUCGCAGCUCAAACCCGAGUUCUUGCUCCUCUUGCUGGGUUUUUCGAUCUCUUUGCUCCAAGCACCAUUCUCCGAACUGUUUUGGGGAAAUUACUCCUUGGUAAGUGACUCCUCCAUAGGUCGCGUAUUUUUGCUGCCUUGGAGAACAUGUUCUUGAGCUUUGCAUGCUAAUUUUAGCUGGUCCCAAGUGGUUCUGAUGCGUAAUAUGGCCUCUAGGCACUUGUUGGAGUAGUUGCUACGAGUUUCGUUGAGCCUUGUUCACUUUUCCUUUGGGUCAUCGAAAAUUUCAGAAAAGGAAGAUGUUUAGGAGAAACUAUCAUGGUGGUUCCUCAAGCAAGGGAGGUCCCCGUAUUGCGAUUCGAGAGCCCGAUCCUUACCAACCAAGGGACGCACACGUACAACCAUGUGAAUGGCCUUCUGAUGAAUUCGCCCUANNNNNNNNNNNNNNNNNNNNNNNNNNNNNNNNNNNNNNNNNNNNNNNNNNNNNNNNNNNNNNNNNNNNNNNNNNNNNNNNNNNNNNNNNNNNNNNNNNNNACAAUGGCCUCCUAACAAUCUAGAACUCACAUAAAACUGAGCAGGAACUAAAUUGACAAGACAGGUGUCACCUGACACUCUGUGAAGAAGCAUUACAGACCUCAGAAAGCUUCUCAUCGGCAAGAUUUGUGUGUCACUGCCACGAUGUUGGUUUCUGCUGUUAAAUUCAGCUCAUGUGUUUUGUCGUUUGGUAUUUUAAUCAACAUUAUUCUACGAAGGCAGGCCAAGCUAGAGCUGGUACGUAAAAAUUGAGUUUCUCAGAAAUCUGGUCAGUGCAUGAGUUCUAUGUCUGCCCUUGUCAGCUACAGAGGCAGGAUGUUGGAGCGACCGUAGCAUCGAGCAGACUGAAGUACGUGGCGAAGUGACCUCCACUGAACAGCAAUCUGUGGCUCGUUGGUCUAGGGGUAUGAUUCUCGCUUAGGGUGCGAGAGGUCCCGGGUUCAAGUCCCGGACGAGCCCUCUUCUGUCUUUACAGCAUCUUUUCUUGAGCAGUUUCAGUCUAUUCUGCCAUUCCUGGGCCAAACGUAUGCCACUGUCAAUUAANNNNNNNNNNNNNNNNNNNNNNNNNNNNNNNNNNNNNNNNNNNNNNNNNNNNNNNNNNNNNNNNNNNNNNNNNNNNNNNNNNNNNNNNNNNNNNNNNNNNNNNNNNNNNNNNNNNNNNNNNNNNNNNNNNNNNNNNNNNNNNNNNNNNNNNNNNNNNNNNNNNNNNNNNNNNNNNNNNNNNNNNNNNNNNNNNNNNNNNNNNNNNNNNNNNNNNNNNNNNNNNNNNNNNNNNNNNNNNNNNNNNNNNNNNNNNNNNNNNNNNNNNNNNNNNNNNNNNNNNNNNNNNNNNNNNNNNNNNNNNNNNNNNNNNNNNNNNNNNNNNNNNNNNNNNNNNNNNNNNNNNNNNNNNNNNNNNNNNNNNNNNNNNNNNNNNNNNNNNNNNNNNNNNNNNNNNNNNNNNNNNNNNNNNNNNNNNNNNNNNNNNNNNNNNNNNNNNNUUCAUCUGCAGUUUAAACUUUGACUUGACAUUUUUCUAAUCAUUGGUUUAGGAAUGCAGCCCAAGCAGUGGAGAUAUGGCAAAAAAUAGAUUCUUGGAUCGCUUCACGGACCUGUGAGCCUUCAUUUUGCGUUUGCUAGUUGCAGGAGCAUCUGAGGGCUUGUUGGAGUUGGGGUUUGUUUUUUUUUCUUUUAUUGCUGAACGGGACCAAGUGGGCCCGAGUUCAAAUCCCAGACCGUUCUGAUGCUUGCUGGUUAGUUGCUGUUCGCNNNNNNNNNNNNNNNNNNNNNNNNNNNNNNNNNNNNNNNNNNNNNNNNNNNNNNNNNNNNNNNNNNNNNNNNNNNNNNNNNNNNNNNNNNNNNNNNNNNNCUUAAACCCUAGUUUAUGCGUUGCUUCGUAAGGGGCUGAUUUGGAUCCACUAGUUUAAUGCUAUGGUUAGACUUUGUCUUAAUUCUUCUUUCGUAGUUGCGGAUGCUUGCGAGAGGGUUAAUCAUAAGUGGGAUUCUUGUGCAAGUAAGGGAAGUACCCAAGCGCCGGUCCACCCACAUAUCAAACUAUCAAAGUAGCGAACACGAAUCAUAUGAACAUGAUGAAAACUAGCUUGACAGAAAUUCCCAUGUGUCCUUGGGAGCGCUUUACCUUCUAUAAGACCUUGUCCAGGCUUGUCCCUUGCUACAAAAGGGAUUGGGCCACUUUGUUGCACCGUUGUUACUUUUGUUACUUGCUACUUGCUGCGAAUCAUCUAGUCACACAACUACUUGUUACCAAUAAUUUCAGUGCUUGCAGAGUCUACCUUGCUGAAAACCACUUGUCAGAUCCUUCUGCUCCUCAUUGGGUUCGACACUCUUACUUAUCGAAAGGACUACGAUAGAUCCCCUAUACUUGUGGGUCAUCACCAGCAAGGGCGUCGGGGAACGGGGCUGGUACCAACGACCGGCGAGGGUGACGGGCACAGAGUCGAUGCUGGCGGCCGGUAGAGGCACGGGGCACGCGACAAGGCCCAGCGACCGGCGGGGGUGAUGGGGCACGGAGCCGGUGCCGGCGGCCGGUGGGGGCGACGAGGCAUGGGGCCAGGCCCAGCAGCCGGCGGGGGCGACGAGGCAUGGGGCCAGGCCCAGCAGCCGACGGGGCCGACGAGACAGGCGUUGAGGCCGGAGAGCUAUGGAACUGCCGGCGAGGCUAGGACGGCGAGCGAGGUGGUCGCAGGGCCGAUGCACUCUGGAUCUUCGGGGAGAGAGAGGUGCAAGAGAGAAUCGGGGUGUGGGGUGGGAUUUGAGGAUAAGAUUCUGCCACCCGAUUUUGGAUGUGGGGCACUGGUUUUGGAAGUGUGAGGCGUGGUGGGCCAUGGGGCACUUGUUUUGGAUGUGUGGAUCUGAUUCUGCCAUGUAUUUGAUCCAUAUGAUCGAUCCGUGGCAUGCAUUUCUUCUUUGGCGUCUGCGUUUUCUUACUAUAGACGAGAAAGAGCAUAAUUUGUCGUCUGUAGUAUAAAAUGCACAUGGCAACCGUUUGUGUUAUAUUUGGCAGACGGCAAAGUGAUCUUUUUGCUGUCUAUUUUUGUUUUUGCAGACGGCAAAGAAUACAUUGUCGUCAGUAUUUCUUUGCCAUCUACAAAAGACGGCAAACCCUUCCUUUGUCGUCUGCCCAAUGAAAAGCUGACGACAAAGACGCCUCCUCACGGCAAUUUUUUAUUUCCCAUAGUGUUCUAGUUUUGUUAUAUCUAACUUCAGCACCCCCAAAGUGAAGAUUUUUCGAUAGACAAAUGUGAAAUACGUCUGAUCCCAUUGACGACCUAUUGUACCACUGCUGGAAGCUUAUCACCUUGUAGAUAAUCACUUAUCCGUCUUCACAAUUCCCACAACCGCAUGAGCAUUAUCCUGAUUUGGUCAACCAUGUCAUGCAUAGGUAAAUCUUUUAACUGCUUCACCUUGUUGUUGAAACUUUUUGCCAAAUUGUUGUUGAUUUGAUCACACUUGAUGGCAGUGUUGAAUCAUGACAUGUACCACAACCAAGAAUGAUAGUUGUUCAGCCAUGGACCAAAUUCAUUGCAUGCUUCCAUUAUCUUAUCUAGAUGAUAUGUGUAUGUGUCUCUAGUGUAAGAUCUUGCUGCUGGCCACAUGCGCCUAAUUCUUCUCCUCUAAAUUUUUUGAUCAAAUUCCUUCACAAAUGGCCGAAGAAAUCCCUCUGCCCAUCAUGUGAUGAAACAUUUUUCACUCCAUUUUCCAGCCCCUUACAUGCAUCUGUGUGUAUAGCCAAAGGUGACACUGGCCCUAGGUAUCUUCUCAACUGCAUCAUGAACCAUGUCCAUGAAGCCUUUGUUUCUGACUGAAACAGUCCAACAACAACAUUGAAUCCAGUUGUGUCCAUCUAGAGCAUUGCAUGUUGCCGACCGACCAUUCCACUUGCCUGUCAAAAAAGAUGAGUCUAUGCUCAAAUAUGGACGACACCAUGCUUUGAAGCCAUCGAUGCAAGGCUUCAACGACAUAAAAAACUGGGAGAACCUGACUUCACCUUCGACUGAUACCUCACUAUAUAUCUCCACAACACUGCAAGGUGACCUCUUCUCCACCUCUGCUUUGAAGUUGUAAGGCAUCCUAAAUGUGUUUCCCCAGUCACCAUAUAAAUUUUUCAUUGCCCUUUGUUUUGCCUUCCACACUGUGUUAUAUUUCAGUUUAAUGGGGUAUAUCUUUUUCGAGUUUACUUUGAGUUUCUUGGCAGUAGUGUUUGGUGUUUUGGCUAAAAUUGGGGUGAUCUUUUCUACAACCCAAAGUUGUGAUGUCAUGGUUGAUACUAUGUGUGAACUUGUAAUACAAGUAUGUUGAUUCAGGAUUUGGUUAACCCUCACAAUACUUCCAUCAGGUUGCAGUCUAGCAGAUAUGUACCACUUGCAAGGCUUGAUAAUACCAUGAAAUCCUCUGCACCUCGCAUAAAACUUCUUUCUAUCUGUUCAAACAGUCUUGGCAUCAAACUCAUCUUUCACUACAGAAGUCUUGAAACACAUCCUGAACUCAUCCAUGCUUGGGAACAACUUUCCCACUGCAAUGACAUGGUUUCCUUGUCAUACACAUGCACCAGCUCAUCAUCAUGUGCAUCAUCUCCAUCAUCUACAGAUUCUCCCAUCAACUGUCCAUCUACAUCUUCAUCGGCAUUAUCACGCAAACUAGAUUCACCCCUCUCCUUAUCUUUGUCAUUGACUGGAAUGCCAAAAAGUUUGGCCAUCUCAAUGUAAAGCAUUGGUGCAAUGACCAAAUCAAUAGGCUCGUCUAAUUCAACUUCAUUCCAAUCAACAAUAGCUACAGUUUCUGUUCCAGCCACCUGUCCCUAUUCAGCUAUUAUAGUGAGUUCAGUGCACAUGCGAAUCAAUGGCUGAUACGUCCCAAACGUAUCUAUAAUUUCUGCUUGUUCCAUGAUCUUUAGGGUGGCAUUGUUAUAUGUUUUUCUACCCUUUAUAUCAUUUUACACAUAUUUGGACCAACCUACUAACUCAGUGCACCCAGUGCCAGUUUCUUUCUGCUGAUGUCUAUUUUGCAGGGGCUUUUAACCAAUUUUCCGAAGCCCGAAAAAGUCCAGAAAGAAUAUAUAAAAAAUCAGCGAAACAGAAGCUUCCGGAUCAAGGCAUCUAUGUAAUUCUCUUGCUUUUGCUAUGCUCAGUUUGUUGGGAUCCAAUGGAUUAUGAGAUUCUGUUCAGAUUGUUAUGAGUUAUAUAUUUGAUUAUCCUCUUAUAUUAUGUUCCUUAGUGAUUCAUGCAUGUUCUCCGUUGCUUUUUAUUGCUUUGGCCAAGUAGUAGAUUGCAACUCCAAGAGGGAGCGUUAUGCAUGAUUGUGGGUUCGGCCCCCUCGAUGUAUAGCUUGAGUGACAGAAACAUGAGACUAGGGGAUGUGCUUGUUGCCACAAGGGAGAAAACAACGGUGCUUGUGACCACGGUUGCAAGGAUUGUUUACCUUAUGCAUAGUUCGUUAAUGCAGUUGUCCGUUGCUUUGAGUUUACACUUUGGGUGGGGCUCGCAACUUAAUACCGGAGAGAUGUUCUGGAUAGAUAUCUCAAGGUGGAUGAUUAGUAAGUAGAUGCUAAUGAAUAAACGGUCUACUUGUCUUGGCAUACUGCCCAUUAAUAUUGAAUCUCUAACUAUCGAGGGGCAUAAUUAGCAUUGUGGCGCGAUCAUAAUUCUGUCAAUUUCCCAAUUGUGAUUUGUUUACCCAAGCAUAGUUCCUUAUUGUCUUUUGGGAGAGAGACAUCACUAGUGAACAUCAUGUGACUCCGGUCCAUAUCACCAUCAUUGUUUACACAUCAAUCAUUUACCGCUUCCAUUUACUUUUUUGUUGCAAUCAAUAUUACCUUCCCACUUGUGUUGUAUCCUUUGCAAACUACAAGGCCGGAGAAAUUGACAAACUCUCUGUACUCGUUGGGAGCAAAGUUAUUUGUUGUGUGUGAAGGUCCACGUCUUCUGCUAGCGCCAGGGUAGAAGACACCUACUUGUUGAGCCUAGGAGUCCUCGUGGUUCAAUAAACCUUGCAGUCUCCGUGUAAGGGAAAUUUUCUGCUAACUAUAUCUCCACCUUUCACUUGGGGUAACCAACGAGCGGCAAGAAGUAUAUCCAUCAACUCGUCAUCAAGCGAAUUUAUGGCGCCGUUGUCGGGGACUCCAGUCUUCAAGAUAGGGGAGGUGCACACUAUCUUUUACCUUUGCCUUUUAGUCUUGUUAGUUUGCUUUCUAGUUUUUGCUUUAGAGUCUUAUACCAAAAAAAUUUGUUACUUUGCUUUGUUUAGUCAUUAUGCCUAAAUCCUUUGCCUCUAGUGUUGCACCCGAAGGAAAGAUUCCCACCUUCAAACAAAGGGUUGGAUAAAGUUUGAAAGAUGCUUGGUAUAGAAUUAAAAAUUCUCAAGAUAGAGCCACCAAGAAGCAAUCCACCACUAGUUUUCUUAGAAAUUUUGGUAUUACUUCUUGGCAUAGGUUUGUUCUAGACACAGUAGUAGGAGGGAAUUUCUUGGAAGCUCCCGUUGGGGAGGCUCUUAACGUUAUAGAAAAUCUUGUCGGAAUCCCACCUAUUGUCGACAUAAAGGAUGAUAUCAAUUUAUAUCAUGUUAUGAGUAAACUUGAGAAAAUAGAGCUAGAUAUGCCAAGCAUGAGUAAAAUUAAUGAAGUAGGUCUUAGGAUUCAAGGGAAGUUAAAUAGAAUUGAUAGCUCCACAAACAAAAUUUACAAAAUUUUGGAGACAAUUAAAUCCCAUGAUGUGGAUCCUUCUUGGAUUGAUAAGAUCGAGGAUAUUUUUGAAACUUUACGAACUACCCUAUCCUCCAUGAGGACUAAAAAGGUAGAAUUCCCCGCAAGGAAGGGACCUAGGUUCGUUAACGUACCCGAGGUUCCUCAACCCAAAACAAGUAUACCUAUUGCUAAGGGUGUUGAAACUAUGAAGACCUUGGAAGUGAUACCUCUCUUAAAUAGAAUUAGAAAUGAAAUUCCAAUUGGUCUUACUACCUUUGCUUUUGCUCCUAGAAGUGUUUCCACUAAUCCUCUCUUUGAGAAUGCUCUUAAGACUAGUUGUAUUAUUGAAGAGCUCUUUGAUGAUUUUGAUGAUGGUUCAAUUGACACAACUUGAUCUUCUUGCAUUAUGCCUAGCUCAAAGGCAUAAAAGAAAGCGCUUGUUGGGAGGCAACCCAAUUUUUUUUUACUUUAUGUUUUAAUGGUCUUGAUGUGUGCUACUACUCUAGAAACAUCAUUGUAUCUUUAUUUUUAAGCUUUGUGCCAAGUUAUAGCCUCCGAUUGCAAGAAAGUUCAAAAGUUAUGACAUGCUGUCCAGAAACAGAUUAUGUCUGCUUGACGGAAAAAUUCGCCAAAAAUCACCAGAUCAUCUUUUUUAUAUUAAUUUUUUUGACAGCACGCUCUAUAUAAUUUGAUUUCUAGCAUCUGUUCUGAGUUUUUUGAUUUGAGUUGCAAAAGUGCCCCGAAUAAAUUAUUUACUACAUGAUGUUCUGUUUUUCACAAAUUCUGCCAUGUUUUGCAUUUUCAUUGUUUUGAAAAUCCUAAGCUUGCUUUUUAUUUGCAAAAACCUUUUGGCGUUUGUAAGAAGCAGUAUAUUUUCAUGAAAAUAUUUAUUUCCAUCAGGUAAGGAAUUAUUUUAUUAAGGGUACUAACCACUCUAAUCAGCUUAUGAUGAGUUUCGUAUGAAGGGAGUUUCCAAGUAUGCGAUGGGAGAGAUGAUGAAAGAAGAUACAGGAUUGUCAAGCACUCAAGCUUGCGGAUUCCUCCAUGCACCCCAAUAAAUAUUCAAGGAGACGCAAGCGUCUAAGGUUGGGGAUGCCCCCGUGCAUCCCCUUCUCUAUCAACAAUCAUCAGUUCGUCCAUCUCCAUGCUAUAUUUUUAUCACUUCAUAAGUUAUGUGUUAUGCUUUGAGCGUCCAGCUAUUUUCUUUUUAGUUUGUUUUAGUUUUUCUUGCUGUUAAUAACAAGUCGGAACCUAGCCUAACUUGUUUGGGAGAGAGACAUGCUCCAUUCCACUCAAGAACACAACAUAGGUUUUCAUGUUUAUCUUUUUCGUGCGUUCUUCAUCUUUUCGUAGCUACUGCCAUGCUUAGCUCUUAUUUUGCAUGCUUACCUUUUUAAGAGCCAGUAUUUAGGUUGAUUUUGGAACUCUCUCGAGUUAUCAUGCUUAUCUUGUUUAGAGAGUUGGCUCGUUGCACUGGGUUGUGUGUCUUGCAUGAGUAGGUAACUGAGGUUGCUAUUUAAGUAUAGUAGUAACUUGCAAUAGUUUUGAGGUAUUGAUUUGAGUAAUGUUUGGACUAUUGGUGCCGCCAAGAUAUUGAGCCUAUUGGUGAUAGGUGUCGUAUUUUGGGAAAUCCGUGUGUUUUUCAAAAACUAAAAAUUAGUUCAUAACUCUAGCUACUAAAUUGAUCGCUAAGCUCUGGGGGGGGGGGGGGGGNNNNNNNNNNNNNNNNNNNNNNNNNNNNNNNNNNNNNNNNNNNNNNNNNNNNNNNNNNNNNNNNNNNNNNNNNNNNNNNNNNNNNNNNNNNNNNNNNNNNNNNNGGGGGGGGGGGGGUGGGGGGGGGGGGGGGGGGUUGGAAUAUAUAGAGUACCAUCAUGUUACCAUGAGUCGAGGAUGCGCAAGGAUAACCAAACCCCCAAACACACCUCCUCGGGGUACUUGUCUCUUUGUGAAUUUCCUAACUAGAUAGAGAGUUACCGAUAAUAAGUGUAUGAGUUCUUCAGACUAAUGUGAGUAUUCGAUUGUUGGCACUUCCACCAUCCAUAUUUUGCUAGCCUCUUCGGUAUCGUGCAUUGCCCUUUCUCACAUUGAGAGGUGGUGGAAACUCCGCCGAUGCAUCCAAACCCAUGACAUGAUAUGCUCUGUCAUACAUAAGCCUCAUUAUUUCUUUCCUCAAAACAUCCACCAUACCUACCUAUUAAGACAUUUCCAUAGCCUUUCUGAGAUACAUUGCCAUGCAACAUCCACCAUCUCAUGACUUGACCUUCAUGUCAUACAUGCUUUUGCUUGAUCGUAGAGCCGCAUGAUAGUUGGGCCUUGCUCCAAUUAUUACUACAUGAUGGGCUAGUAUCAUUGCAUAUCCUGCUACACUCGCAGAGGCAUACAUUUGGAUACAUCAUGAUAGUUUUCACUUGUCUUUAUGUUGAGUACUUCUUUUAAAGUGUGAUGAUUUUUCUUUUUAUUCAUGUAAAACAUAGAGUGUUGCCCUUAAGUGAGGAAAAGAUCCCAAAGAGAACAAACAAAAGAUCCCAAAGAGGACAAAUGAGAGAUAAAAAGAAAGAGCCAAAGAGGCCACAAAAAAAUAAAAAUAAAAAGAGAAAAAGAAAUAAAAAGAGAGAAGGGGGGCAACACUACUAUUCCUUUUGAAAGGUCCACACUCGUACUCCAUUACUAUAUUGGUAGUACAUAGAGAUUAUCAUUCAUGCAUAACUAUGUGGGGACCCUUACACUAUAGAACUUGGUUUGGAUAUUCCAAUGAUGAGCCUCCUCAAAUGAGCUCUAGGUCUUCAUGAGCAAACAAUUUGGAUGCACCCCCACUAGUUCCAUUGGAUAGCUUACCUUAGCUCAUAUGUGCAUCCGUUACAUGGCAAUCCCUACUACUCACAUCAUAUCUAUCAUUUGGCUUUCUCUCGCCUAUGGUUGUCCUCAUUGAUGUGAGUCUUUCACACAUUUUUGUCUUCCUUCCCCAUCAUUAUUCUAUUGUCCAUCCUAAGUGCCAACAUAUCUUGCUUACGCUCAAAAUCGAAAGGGAGAGGGUCAUUUUGACUUGCGCCUGACUAGUGGUCUGGGGAUGAGUCAAAAUAAGAUUCCAAAGGAGACUAAGUGUGAGGUUUAGUAGAUUGAGUUCUCAAUUAAAAAAUAUUUUAUAAUCUCAACCUAUCUACCACUUCUUGCACGCAAACACCAUUUGGAGACAUUCGAGUCACGGACAGCGAGAGAUCUUGCACCUUUCUGUUCUUACUUUGCUAAAUUCAAUACUAGAUAUAGACUCUUGCUUGUUAUUGUCCUGACUUGAAUUGCAUAUCUCACUUGCUUUACUUUGAAUCCUUAUAUGUGUGUUAGCAUGUCACCACAGAAAUUAUUGUGUUAUCAUUUAUCUACUCGAGGACGAGCAGAAAUUAAGCUUGGGGAUGUUGAAAUGUCCCAAACGUAUCUAUAAUUUCUGCUUGUUCCAUCAUCUUUUGGGUGACAUUGUUAUAUGUUUUGCUACACUUUUAUAUCAUUUUACACAUAUUUGGACUAACCUGGUAACUCAGUGCACCUAGUGCCAGUUUCUGUCUGUUGUUGUCUAUUUUGCAGGGGCUUUUACCCAAUUUUCCGAAGCCUGAAAAAAUCCAGAAAAAAUAUAAAAAAAAUCAGUGAAACAGAAGCUUCCGGAUCACUGAAGGAGGGCCAGAGGUGGGCCAGGGGCCUCCUAGGCGGCCUGUUGGCCCGGCUAGGCCCUAGGCCGCGUGAGGAGGUCGUGUGGGUGGGUCCCACCUCCUCCGGUGCCCUCCUUUGGCCUAUAUUUAGGGUCCCGAGAGGAAACCCUUGCAGACUUUCUGGAAUCGCGAAUUUCUCCAUCGUUCCGCCGCCACAGCGCUUCCCAGAUCAGGAGCGUUAGGAGACCUCUUCCCGGCACCUUGCCAGAGGGAGGAUUGACCUCCGGGAGCUUCUCCACCGCCAUGGACUCUUCCAGGACGUGUCGUGAGUACUCCUCCUUGGACCAUGAGUCCACGACUAGUAGCUAUGUGAUGUCUUCUCUCUAAUCUUGUGCUUCAAUGGUUAUUCCUUGUGAGCUGCCCUACAUGAUCAAAGCAUCUAUGUAAUUCUCUUGGUUUUGCUAUACUCGGUUUGUUGGGAUCCGAUGGAUUAUGAGAUUAUGUUCAGAUUGUUAUGAGUUAUAUAUUUGAUUAUCCUUUUAUAUUAUGUUCCUUUGUGAUUGAUGCAUGUUCUUCGGUUCUUUUUAUUGCUUUGGCCAAGUAGUAGAUUGUAACUCCAAGAGGGAGCGUUAUGCAUGAUUGUGGGUUCGGGCCCCUCGAUGUCUAGCUUGAGUGAUAGAAACAUGAGACUAGAGGAUGUGCUUGUGGCCACCAAGGAGAAAACAACGGUGCUUGUCACCACGGUUGCAAGGAUUGUUUACCUUACGCAUAGUUCGUUAAUGCAGUUGUCUGUUGCUUUGGGUUUACACUUUGGGUGGGGCUCGCAACUUAAUACCGGAGAGACGUUCUGGAUAGAUAUCUCAAGGUGGAUGAUUAGUAAGUAGAUGCUGAUGAAUAAAUGGUGUACUUGUCUUGGCGUACUGCCCAUUACUAUUGAACCUCUAACUAUCAAGGAGCAUAAUUAGCAUUGCGGUGCGAUCAUAAUUCUGUCAAUUGCCCAACUGUGAUUUGUUUACCCAAGUAUAGUUAUUUAUCGUCUUUUGGGAGAGAGACAUCACUAGUGAACAUCAUGUGACUCCGGUCCAUAUCACCAUCAUUGUUUACACCUCCAACAUUUACCGCUUUCAUUUACUUUUUCGUUGCAAUCACUAUUACCUUCCUGCUUGUGUUUUGAUUCUUUGCAAACUACAAGGCCGAAGAGAUUGACAACCUCUGUGUACUCGUUGGGAGCAAAGUUAUUUGUUGUGUGUACAUGUCCACGUUUUCUGCUAGCGCCAGGGUGGAAGACACCAACCUUUUGAGCCUAGGAGUCCUCCUCGUUCGAUAAACCUUACAGUCUCCGUGUAAGGGAAAUUUGUUGCUGACUACAUCUCUACCUUCUAGUUGGGGUAACCAACAAGGGGUGAGAAGUAUAUCCAUCAACUGGUCAUCAAUGGCCACUUUGAAGCCCAAACAUCAUCUACCAUUUGCGCAAUGAAGCGUGAUGGCACAUAUCCGACCAUGAAACAAAUAUACAGAUCAACGAGCUCAGCAAAAAAAACUUGUUUUCUUGUCCAGCCAUUUUUUCGACCGAUUUCUUCAACAAUAUGUUUGCCAUCUUAUAUUCUGACAUACUCUCCAUUUCAAUCAUCAAACCGCAACGGUGACACUUCUUGCUCUGGACCCCAAACAAUACUCUCCUCAAUUUUCUCCACCCAUUUCUUCACCGCGUUCUCUCCCAUGUUCUGUAGAACUUGUGGAUCAAUCUUUGUAAACUCAACAUCCCAUUUAACAAUUGUGUCUCUCUCAGUGUUCUGUAUGCUACCAUCAACUAAUUUUGCCUUUGACGGAAAGAAAUGGAUGGUCAAUUCGAAGGUCCGAGCGGCACUAUCCCCUCUAUUAGUGGGGGCACUGUGAGAAAGAGCAGACGAGGCCCUAAUUGCAUUCAAAAUAGGAUCCGAGAGAGGCGCAUUACCUAUUCGAAAUUGGAUCUUGCGGCUCCAUCCCAAUAUGCCCACACGCUCCCCUCACAACCUAUCGAUUCAACAUCCGAAAAUAAAGGAAACAAGCUGAGAUCUAUGUGCCCGAGAGGGGAACGACAAUAGGGUUCGAAUUCACUCUCGAUUUUCACAGAACGAGGGCUCUAGCGCUGUUGAGAAGGAGGGCUCCCCCGCCGCCGCCAUCGAGAACGCAAGAUUCGCCACCGCCGGAGAAGAAGGGGGGAGAUAGAGUGGGAGUGGGGGCACGGUCGAGCGGCCCGACAAAGUCAGUUGUUUGGACUUAACUAAGUUGGACCCACAUGUCUUAACAUAAACGGGCUUGGUUGACGACCAAUUUAAUACCCCAUGUGAUUUUGGGCUAUUUACAUGCUCAAAUCUGUCGCGGCACAACCAUUCUCUCUAACAAUGUUGCACUCCUUCCAGUUACCAUGAAAUACGUCGUACAUGAGCUUGAGCUAUUAGCCCAUAUCAACGAAAAUACAAACAACAGUUGCCUCGUCGUAUCCAUCGAACUUCGACUGCUCGACACCAUCGCGUUCAUGUUGACACCAUCGACCAUCAAGAGUUCCCUAUCAUCAAGCACAUCGUCGUCAUGCCAGCCCUCGAGUACGCCCCAUGGUCUCGUAGCAUGUAGUGCUACAUGUGGGUGCAGUUCAAUUCGAGGAGUUGAUGAAACAAUGUGUCUCAAUAUAUUUGAUGCGGAUGGUGUCACCGUACAUGUCAACGGUCAUGUCGUGAGGUUCUAAUGAGUAGUUGAUCGAACAUCGUUGGCGAGGGCGGAGGUAUGUUGGUGGCAGUUGGAGAUAGUGCUGACUAUGACAUUAGUCGAGGACGUCGCAAAUGCAAAAGUCAAUGAAAGCCAUGUCACCACCACAGCCAACAGUGAUAACCUUGUCCGGUAUAUGCAUGUCGAUGAAGUCGUUGGGGUCAGCUCCAUCCUACAGUAUAAGGAGACGCUUCUAGAAGGUCCAACUUUCCAUCUUGGAGCUGAGAGGUAGAGUUCGUACCACCAUAUGGAAUGUUUGGUCAUUGCGGUGACAUGGUAUCUACCACCGCCGUGAGACAUAGGACCAACUGCAAGGAUUUCAUCCACUAUGUGCAAAUCGCUGGACUAUGGGAUCAGAUCGAGUGACGGAGCACCACCUCCGGGCUGGUAGAUGUAUUACUUAGGGAACGCCCUCUCAUCAUGUGCACUUCCAUCCUAAGGUAGACUAUCCUGUCGUGGGAGUCCUUCGAGAAAUAGGUGCUGGUGGACCAAGCGAGGACCUAGCUAGUAUGGCCAUGGCGUGCUGGUCAUUGUCGGGUUCGGUGGUUGGGUAUUAGGCCGUGGUGGUGUUGGUGUCCUUGGUGAAGAAGGGUCGGAUGUCGAGGAGGCAGCUCUCAAGGGGGUCGGUGGCGGUAGUGUUGUCGGCUUCUAGCUGAUCAGACAAGCCUAGCGGAUUCAUUGCACUAUGAACGUGGAGUCGAUACAUCCUAGCUAGCUUCUUUUGCAUUUGAUUAAAGAUCGGCACACAAAUGAUCCGCUAAUGGUGGCGAGUCGAAACAAAGGGGUCCAUUUUUUGUUUGAAAAAUUAGGCUUUAUUUAACAAGACAAGCAAAGGUAUACACCUAUUUGUACUUAUGGUAAGGACUCUUAGAUGUCUGUAAAACAGGGUCAUAAGCAAUAAAUUAGCUUUAAGGUAUUGUCAAAACAUUGGGAAAUGAUGUUUGUUAGCAUAAAUUUCAAACUGUCUAAAGGUGAUUAGGAAUAGAAAAUUGUUUUCUCUCCUCUCUCACCAUCACCAUGUGCUUGGAAAGUAAUUGUGUCCAUUUUCUUAUGGAAGAAUCGAGUCCUUGUGCUAACUUCACCCUCCAUGUCGCCCUAGUGAGACAACGGGUGGCUUGGGUCCGGAUUUUCCUUAUUCAGUGUCUUUGAGUGAAGUGAAGCACGUAUUCUUUUGAGCAUCAAUCACCUUAUACUAAACUUACUCAUAGUACGUAUAUGUGAUGCAUGGCAACAAAACAUGGGUGGUAGAUGGGCAACUUAACAUGAAUGUGACAAGUGACCGGGUACAUGUGCUAAUAAUUGCAUACUUCUCAAUGAAAUGGUUUCAUACCUUUCUCUUCUCUUCCUGGUUUCGGCAUUUAUAUAAACCAUUCCAAAAACUAUGAAAAGGUGCAAGAUAUCCUCGUUUCUUUUAUGCACUUCUAGCUAGGUUGAAAUGAUGGAAAGAGUACCUAAUUUGUACCAAUGAAGUACGCCGUAGGAUACCCAUUAUUAGGUUUAGGAGGCAUUAUGAAGAUCAUUUCUACCUAAAGUCACAAUCACUGUUGCUACAGACGCCGCAUCUGUCAUGAGAAUCAUGCACAACUGGUGCGAUAAGUAACAUCGUCCUGUUUAAUGCAGAAACGCGUCAAAUAUGAAAAGAGGCGUGCUUAAGUCCUCUUGGGUGAAGAGCUUUGGGAUUACCUAGGUAGUACUUAUUAGAUAGUUUCAUAGCUCAUUACGGAAUGGUGGAUGGAUAGGGUGCUGAAGCAUUACAAUGUUUCUUUUCUAAAUUUGACUUCUUAUAUAUACACCAUACAUAUUGACCGAGCCAAAUACUCCUUUAGCACGAUAGGGUUUAUGUUCGUAGUCAUUUUGUAACAGGUGGUUAAUUGUACCAUUUUGUAGAAAAUCUGUUCAUCAACUCAUCAACCGUACCAAAGCUCCUAAAAACUAAAUAAUAUUAGUGCAUUAAGUGGAUAUAUAGUGCAACGCGAUGUGUUUAGCCAAUUCCAUGUAUUAAGUGGAUAUAUGUACUCAGUUUUUUUUAUCUGUUAAGUUGUUUUAUGUUGUGUGUAAUCUAAAACUCAAACCGUCAAUUUUACGGGCUGCACACUAGCAAGACAAGACACACUGUUUGCACCUUCAGAGAAAAACGGAAAUAUAACUAGAGACAUCCGCGACCUUGUUGCUGGAGUUCCUGUUAAAUUGUGAUUCGACUAGACGUAGUACAAACAAUGUGGGCUUUUGUGUUGGUACCGACGCGCAUGAAUACAACUCGUUUAUUUGUCCUUCAAGGACUCUCAUGUAUUGCCCCUCGUAUAUACUUCAUGUAGUCGCACCUAAAGACAGUCUGUCGUCUCGUGCUUGUAAUACUCCAUCCUUAUAGUGAUUGCGCCUUCGUGCGUCCGUGAUUUUCUCCCGUUAGAAUUUUCACGUAAAAAUCUGUGUUUCUCGUGUCUUAUUGAUCUCCUUUUAUCUAAGAGCUAAGGUUUUUAAUAUACGAGAUUCGUUUGAGACAAGAGUUUGAUAGGAACUCCGACUGCUGCGGCCGCGGUACGCUGCGUCAUAUAAGUCGUCGAGCCGCUGUCCCCCAACCCGAUCCGGUUUUUUUGGCUCGCCAGGAGCGCCUCGCACCUCGGUUUCAUCGCCGCCUCGUCCAGACCACAACGCCUUAAUCCCGAUUCCUCAUCGAGCCACGCGCCAGAAGGAGUGCCGUUGUUGCCGCCUACAGGCUGCAAGACGCGAGUCAAAAAGAAUCCAUGAGGCCUUGUUUGGUACUAGUGUAUUUUAGGGAAUUUGUGGGAAUUAUCACGGUCAAACCCCUCAAUCCCCACACAUCCCAUAACACCAUUUGGUUUUAGUGCAUUUGACAUGUUUCAUCCCCAUAUUUCCCCUCAAAUUCCAAAAUUAUAGUGCAUUUUUCUCAAUACCCAAUACGCUACCCCUACCUAGUGUAUUGGGGAUAAAUGGGGAUUUGAAGGGAUUGGGUGAAGGUUAGGGUUUCAACCAAUCUCUUGGGGGAUUAUCUCCACCAAUCUCUUUAAAAACACUAGUACCAAACAAGGCAUCAGGCAAGUUGCUGCUGCUCCACGUGAAGCCACCAACUACGAGCUGCUGCUACUUGCGAUUUUAAUCGAUGCACAUCAAUCCAUCAACACGUGAAGACUAGUACUACUAGUUACUAGUAGAUUAGAUUUUUUUCCUCUUCAAUUGCUACAUCUACCCGACAGCUACUAGGUGUUAUUUAUCCUAUUUCGUUUUAUCCGCAUAUUAAUUUUAUCAAGAAUUUUCUACCGGCUUGUACUACUUUGUAUACACAGAUUUAUCUACUCAUGACAUCCAUGAAGUACGACCUUCCGCUGCUGGAUCGUGACACAAGGUUUACCCUAUGGCAAGUCAAGAUGCGGGCCUUGUUGACGCGAGCCGACUAUGAUGAUGCACUCGAUAGUUUUGGGAAGAAUAGAAUUGAGGAUUGGACUGCUGAGGAGAAAAGAAGGAACCGUAAGGCUUUGUCACAAAUUCAACUUCAUUUGUAUAACAAUAUUUUGCACGAAGUUUUGAGCGAGAAAACUGCCCGUUCUAUGGUUAAAGCUGGAAGGGAUAUACAUGAAAAAAGAUCUCACCAGCAAGAUGCAUCUGAAGCAAAAAUUAUUCAUGCACAGGUUAUCCGAGGGAGGUAACGUUUUGAAUCAUAUUUGUAAAUUUAGAGAGAUCGUAUCUGAUCUAGCUGAAAUGGAGGUUACAUAUGAUGAAGAAGAUACUGCUUUAAUGUUACUUUGUUCAGUGCCAAGUUCUAAUACCAAUUUUCGAGACACCAUAUUAUAUAGUCGUGACGCUCUCACGCUUAAUGAAGUUUAUGAAGCUUUGAGCUCUAAGGAGAAGAUGAAAUUGAUGGUGCCUCAUGAUGGUUCGGGUUCAUCCCAAGCCGGGAUUAUCUGUUUGUGGCAAGAUAAAGGAGAAGAACUCACAUAAUGAAAACCGUGGCAAAAGUAAGAACGGUCAAAGGGGUCGGUCGCAAUCCAGAGACAAGAAGCAGUCUUGCAGAUAUUGCAAGAGAGACGGGCAUGACAUCUCAGAAUGUUUCAAGUUGCCGAACAAGGAACAGAGGAACGACGCAUAUAAACCGAAAGGUAACAAACAAGGUGAAAAUUCUGCUAAUGUUGCUGGUGAUGAAAGUUCCGAUGAAGCUCUUGUUGUUAUUGCUGGAUGUGCUGAGAUCAAUGAUGAGUGGGUACUUGACACUGCGUGUACUUUUCAUAUGUGCCCGUAUAGAGAUUGGUUUACUACUUUUGAUUCUACUACUGCUGCUGGUUCCGUUUUGGGCUUUGAUAAUUCACCAUGCAAUAUUGAAGGCAUAGGUUCCAUUGGAAUCAAGAUGUUUGAUGGCACAAUCAGAACUUUGACACAUGUUCGGUAUAUUCCGAAGAUGAAGAGAAAUCUUAUCUCUAUGAGUGGCCUUGAUGCAAAGGGAUACAAGUAUUCAGGUGGAGAUAGCGUUUUGAAGGUCACCAAAGGUUCUCUCAUUGUGAUGAAAGGUGACUUAAGUUCGACCAAUGGUCUUUAUUACCUUCGAGGUUCUACCGCUUCAGGUAACGCUACUCCGGUUAUUUCAAAGAAUUCUGAUUGUGAUGCUUCUAACCUUUGGCAUAUGCGUCUUGGACAUAUGAGUGAACUUGGUUUGCCAGAGUUAAAUAAGAGAGGUCUUCUUAAAGGAUAUCUAACUGGUAAAUUAAAAUUUUGUGAGCAUUGUACCUUCGGUAAGCACAAGAGGGUGAAGUUCAACACUUCGACUCAUACAACUGAAGGUAUUCUUGAUUAUGUGCAUUCUGAUUUAUGGGGACCAUCUCGCAAAAAAGUCACUAGGUGGUGCUAAAGGUUUUAAAUUAUGGAAUCCUGAAACACAAAAGAUUGUUAUUAGCAGAAAUGUUAUCUUUAAUGAAUCUGCUAUGUCACAUGAUGUUCCAUCUACUAAUGUUCCUCUUGAGAGUGAACAACAGUCUACUGUUCAGCACCCUACUUUUCAGGUGGAGCAUGUUAUCGAUUCAGGUGAUACUUCUGAUAAGGAAAAUGUUGAUGCACAUGAUGAACCCGUCUUUGAUGAUAACCAUGUCACUCCAAAUCAGCCAAUUGUUCCACCCAGUUGAAUCUCGCACGUGACACAGUUAGGCAGGGUAUUAAUGCACCUGAAAGGUUAGUUGAGGAGUGCAAUAUUGUUUCUUUUGCUUUAUCUGUUGCAGAAGAAAUUGAAGGUAAUGUUGAGCCUUCUUCAUAUUCCGAGGCUAUUUUUUCUGGUGAUAGUAAUAAGUGGAUGACUUCUCUGCAUGAUGAGAUGGAAUCACUUGAAAAUGAUGGCACUUGGGAUUUGGUAAGAUUACCUAGAGAGAAGAAACAUAUUCGUUGCAAGUGGGUUUUCAAAAUAAAGGAAGGUGUUUCUGCCAAUGAUGGGACAAGACAUAAAGCAAGGUUGGUUGCUAAAGGUUAUAGCCAAAUUUCAGGUAUUGACUAUAACGAAGUCUUCUCCUGUUGUGAAGCAUAGCUCUAUUCGCACUUUCCUUAGUAUUGUUACCAUGAAUGAUUUGAGCUUGAACAAUUGGAUGUUAAACUGCAUUCUUACAUGGAGAAUUAGAAGAGGAUAUUUAUAUGGAACAACCUGAAGGUUUUGUUAUUCCUGGAAAAGAAAAGCUUGUUUGUAAGUUCAAGAAAUCUCUUUAUGGAUUGAAGCAAUCCCCUCGACAGUGGUCCAAGAGAUUUGACACCUUUAUGCUCACUCGAGGUUUCAAAUGGUCUAAUUAUGAUAGUUGUGUUUAUUUGAAAACUGUCAAUGGUUAAACUAUUUAUUUGCUCCUUUAUGUUGAUGAUAUGUUAAUUGCUGCUAAGAGUGAAAGGACGAGGAUGUUGCCUAAAGGGGGGGUGAAGAGGCGCUUUAAAAAAAUUAAGGGUUAGGCUUGAACAAAUGCGGAAUAAAACUAACGUUUAAUUUGUCAAGCACAAAAUCUACAAACAACUAGGCUCACCUAUGUUUACCAACAACUUAUGCUAAGCAAGAUAAACAACUAAGUGAUAGCAAGAUAUAUUACAAUAAACAAUAUGUCUAUCAUGAAGUAAAGUGCAUAAGUAAAGGGUUCGGGUAAGAGAUAACCGAGGCAUGGGGAGACGAUGAUGUAUCCCGAAGUUCACACCCUUGCGGAUGCUAAUCUCCGUUGGAGCGGUGUGGAGGCACAAUGCUCCCCAAGAUGCCACUAAGGCCACCGUAAUCUCCUCACGCCCUCGCACAAUGCAAGAUGUCGUGAUUCCACUAAGGGAUCCUUGAGGGCGGUCACCGAACCCGUACAAAUGGCAAACCUUGGGGGCGGUCACCGAACCCGUACACGUGGCAACCCUUGGGGGCGGUUACCGUUACCCGUACAAAUUGCUCGGAGCAAUCUCCACAACCUAAUUGGAGACCCCGACGCUUGCCCGGAGCUUUACACCACAAUUCUUGAGCUCCAAGACACCACCAAGCUUCUAGGACGCCAAAGCAUCCACGAAGAACAAUAUCUAGGGUACUAAGUACCAAAGGUAAUAAGCUUCUCAAACUUCACUUCCAUGUAUCACCUUGGAGAACUCAAACCGAUGCAACCAAUGCAAUGGCAAGAACACACGAAGUGGUCAAGUCCCUCACACUCAAAUCCCUCCACAACAACGAAAGCUAUGGAGAAAUAUGAGAGGAAGAACAAGGAGCUCACAAAGAACUCCAAGAUCUAGAUCCAAGGGGUUCCCCUGACAUAGAGGAGAAAGUGAUUGGUGGAGAUGUGGAUCUAGAUCUCCUCUCUCUUUUCCCUCAAUAACAAGCAAGAAUCAUUGGAGGGAUUGAGAGUAAGCAAGCUCUAGGAAUGUCAACAAUGGAGGUAGAACAAGAGCUAAACAGAUGGAUAAGACCAAGGGGGAAGAAGACCCCCUUUAUAUGGUGGGGGAAGGAAUCAGACCGUUACCCCCACUUACAGCCCAAGCCCAGCGGUACUACCGCUGGCUGCAGCGGUACUACCGCUGACCCUCCAACGGUACUACCGCUGGCUGCAGCGGUACUACCGCUGAGCCCAUGGUAGCGCAAGGAUACUACCGGGCCAACCACCGCCAAGAAAGUCUUCGCAAAAAGGUUCGACGUAGUACAGCCGCAAAGAUGACGGUACUAAAGUCCCGGAGCGGUACUACCGCUCACCACGGGCGGUACUACCGCUCACCACGGGCGGUACUACCGCCAGCUCUAGCGGUACUACCGCUAGGGCCAGCGGUACUACCGCCAACUAUAGCGGUACUACCGCUAGGUCCAGCGGUACUACCGCUCGCCACUGAAGCAACCAUAACUUUUGCAUACGAGCUCCGAAUCAAGCAAACCCAAGCUUGUUAGAAAUCUUAAGACCAUGUAGAUAUGAAAUGCCAAUGAUAUAGAGAUGUGAGUCCUCUAUGAAUGAAGAACCGGCAAAAACUCCAACAUCGAAAACAUCAUAGUAGAUGCAUAUGGACUCCGUUUUCGAUGAACUCGAGCUUGUCAUGAAGAUGACCAUAAGCUCUAAAACUCACAAAGAGAAACACCAAACAAGAACCAAGAAGUAUGAUGCAAGGAUGCAAAUGGUUUGAGCUCUCAACGAACGAUACGAUCAAGCUACUCACUUGAGAGCCCCCCUUGACAGUAUAGCAAUCUAGCCUAAACAGAAAACCUAUCAAGGGCAAACCUAUACCUUGCACCUCGUCCUCUUGAGCUAGAUGAUGAUCAUCUUGGCUUCCUCAAGAUGGACCACCUUUCUUGAUUGCGUUGGCUUGAUGAAGACUAGUUGAUUGCUCCCCAUACUCACUAUGCGUGAGCCACUCUUUAGCAUAUCUUCACAAGUCCAUUGCCACCACAUGGACGGCAAGCUUCAAGCAUGAUAUCUUCGUGCUGAUCCACUUGAACUUGCACACCACAAUCUUGAUGACGAUCACCACUUGACGUCAUCCUUCAUGGGUUGUAUGAGAUCUUCAUCUAGACGCAAGCCCAUGGAAACACACCUAACCCCCACAUAGAACUCUCACAAAGACAAUGGGUUAGUACACAAAUACGUACUGGACAAUGCUUACCAAACCAUGGGAUCACUUGAUCCCUCUCGGUACAUCUUGUACACUUUGUGUGUUGAUCAUCUUGAUUUACUCUUUGUAUGACGAUCUUGAUCAACCUUGUGUUUCUAUGACCAUUCUUUGGAUAAUACCUUGAAUAUCACCUUGGUCAUCAUAUAAACUCCUUGAAUCCAACAGAUGGACUUCAAGAAGUGCCUAUGGACAAAUCCUAUAAAUAUAACUUAAGGCAACCAUUAGUCCAUAGGAAUUGUCAUCAAUUACCAAAACCACAUAUGGAGAUAUAUGCUCUAACAAAGAGCAUGUUAGAGAUUGAUGAACUAAAGAAGCAAUUGAGUAAUGAAUUUGAGAUGAAGGAUUUGGGUGCAGCAAAGAAAUUACUUGGCAUGGAAAUAUCCAGAGAUAGACCGUUUGGAAAAUUAUAUCUCAGUCAGAAGGGAUAUAUUGGUAAAGUUCUUCGUCGUUUUAAUAUGCAUAAUGCCAAGUCAGUAAGUACUCCGUUAGCUGCACACUUCAAAUUAUCAUCAGCCUUAUGUCCUGAGUCAGAUGCAGAUAUUGAGUACAUGUCUAGAGUUUCCUAUUCGAGUGCAGUUGGUUCAUUAUGUAUGCCAUGGUUUGUUCUUGUACGGAUUUAUCUUAUGCACUGAGUGUUGUUAGUAGAUACAUGGAUAAUCCUGGAAAAGAGCAUUGGAAAGCAGUUCAGUAGAUUUUCAGAUACCUGCGAGGUACUUCUAGUGCUUAUUUACAGUUUGGGAAAAUUGGAGAUGGACUUGUUGGUUUUGUUGAUUCUGAUUUUGCUGGUGAUUUGGAUAAGAGAACAUUGCUCACAGGUUAUGUUUUCACCAUUGGUGGUUGUGCUGUGAGUUGGAGACCAACUUUGCAGUCUAGUGUGGCUUGUUCCACUACUGAUGCCGAGUAUAUGGCUAUUUCUGAGGCAUGCAAAGAAGCUAUCUGGUUGAGAGGUUUGUACACUGGGCUUUGUGAAGAUUCAUCUUGCCCUACCAUAUUUUCUGACAGUCAAAGUACUAUAUAUCUUACAAAGAAUCCAAUGUAUCUUGAGAGAACAAAACACAUUGAUGUCAGAUUUCACUAUAUUCGAGAUGUUGUUGCUAAAGGUGAUUUGAAGGUAUGCAAGAUAAGUACUCAUGAUAAUCGAGUUGAUAUGAUGACAAAGCCAUUUCCUACCAAUAAGUUUGAGCUUUGCUCAGACUUAGUUGGUAUUUCUCACUAGUCCGUUGGACUUUGACACACAAGGUGUUUAUGCUGAUUUGGAUGGAGUUAUUAACUUUCUUCGACUACUGGAGAGAAUUUGACUCAAGGUGGAGAUUGUUAAAUUGUGAUCCAAAUUCUACCGUAUUGGACUAGACGUAGUACAAACGGUGUGCCUUUGCAUUGUUAGCGACGCGUACGAGUACAACUCGUUUAUUUGUCCUCCAAGGACUCUCAUGUAUUGCCCCUCGUAUAUACUCCAUGUAGUCGCACCUAAAGACGGCAUGUUGUCUCGUGCUUGUAAUAAUCCACCCUCAUAGUGAUUGCGCCUUCGUCCGUGGUUUUCUCCCGCAAAGGUUUCCACGUAAAAAUCUAUGUCUCUCGUGUCUCGUUGAUCUUGUUUUAUCUAACAAUUUCCACACUAAGUCACCUCAAACACCGCUUGAGGUUAGCAUCAUUGUAUCCCUGUUCUAGUUUGAGGUUAGCAAUAUUGCACAUGUACUAUUCAACUCGAGCUGAGGCCAACCCCCCGUAAACUCCAAUUCCAGCUCAUCCGCACUGCUGCUGCCGCAGUUGCCACUACGACUUCGAGGGAGUCAUCCUCCGCCUCCACAGCUGUGAGGGACACAAACAUGACGAUAACGGACAUAAUCAAUCUACAAUUUGUUAAUCAAUUAGUUCGGUUGGGUACCGCAUGGCAAAAAUAAGGAUGAAAAAUUGAAAUGGAUCUCACUCAAGUGCCCUUAUAAAAUGGGACAUAUGAUCCGUUCCCCCGUGAAUACAAAACCCGUUAAAGAGCUACCUGCAGUGCGGCACAAAGUUAGAUAUAAUGAUUUAUCUCAAAACAAGACAAACCAGAGCUAAUUGCCUAAUAGUCGUCAUUGAUGAGAUAUUGAUCGAUGUACGUAUUCACUAGUGUUAAACUAUGAUAUGGCUGGAGCUAGAGAUGUUGUUGUAGGACGGUGUUGUGUGUGUCCAGAUCUGAGCAAGAUUGACACCUUUUGCAACUUCAUCUUCUCCUUCUUGACAACUAUCUAUUUCAUCUCGCUACCAUGAAGGGUAAAGUAAUAAAGUUUUAUUAAAUGCUUUGAAUUUUGGCGGCAAGAUAUAGCUAGUAAAUCAAACCAUGUAGAUGUACAUCUAUUUGAACACUUAAGACGAUUAGGGGUCUUCAGUGUUUAAAAUAGGGUCAUAAGCAAUAAAGUAGCUUUAGGGUCCCGUCAAAAACAUUGUGAAAUGAGUUAGGAAAAUUUUCCAAAGACCAGAGUGGUUAUAACUAAUAGAUUGUUUUUUCUCUCCAUCCAUCACUAUGCCCUUCACGAAGAAUUGUGUCCAAUAUUUGCUUGGGGAAGAAUUGAGUCCUCGUGCUAACUUAGGGCAACUCUAGCAGAUCUCUUAUAAUGCGUUUACAGUUUGCAAAAAACACGUUUUGCGGGCUUAUGCCGGCUGCGGCCGAACAUAACUGAAAAAAUAGAAUGCUCUUUGAAUAUUCUGUUUUACACUUCGUGAUGCGUGGUCUGCUCGGGCCCAUCUGACGCCCGAUUGGCUUCAAAUUUAAACAAUUAAACAAAGUUUGCUCAUGAAUUAAUAAUAGUUUACAAUCAUGACGCCAAAGAACCUCGUGCAAAAGCGACCACACCCUUCACCACCAUCGUCAUCAUCGUAAUCGCUCUCAACCACCGCCAACAGAGCCCCACCAUCACCUCCAUGACCAUCAACUUCAACAUCAUUACUGUCUACCACCGCCACCCAUUCCCCCUCCGGCCAUCAGGCCUUGCGGCUAUCAUCAGAAGAUCACAAGUAAAGAAAUCGAACUAUCAUACCUUGCGCCCAUUUCAUCAAACACGUUGGAGGCGCCGAUAGCAUAGUCGUCGGCAGGCAUGCUCGGGGUAGCUCUUGCCAGUGAAAUUGGGAGAAGUGGUUGUUGGGUAGCUCUUGUGGUCACCUUCUUGCAUUUCACACACGCUACCUUGCCUUUCCGGGUCAUAGCUCGCCGGACUGGAUUCACGUUAGUGGGCCCGCAUGCCUUCCCGGCAGGGUCUAUGGAAGUCUCGCCCACGAUGACGACGUUGCCUUGCCGCUUGCGGGGUUGCACGAUGGAGCCUUGAACGACGACGAGCGUGACAUGACCAGCGAUGACAUCUUGCUGGUGCAAUUGGGGGAACUGUUGGCUGGGUAGCUCUUGUGGCUGCCUUCUUGCGUUUCACACACGCCACCUUGCCUUUCCCGACCGUCACUAGCCGGAGUGCAUUCGCAGGGGCGGCGGCGCCGGGCCAGCGGGCCUUUCUAGCGGGGCUGCGGAAGUGCCACCCUGGACAACGAAAUUGUUGUGCCGUUUGCGGGUUUGCACUGUGGAGCCUUGAACGAUGACGGGCACGACAUUGCCGUUGAUGAGAUCUGGCGGACCGGUUGGCGUGUGGAUGACUUCAACAGUGACGGUCGAUGGCUCGAAGGCUUCCAUGGUGGCGACAGGCAGCCGGGGAUGGUGGUCCGAAGCGGGCGGAGGGGGGUCGAUGGUGGCCGAGGGAAGGGGAAGCGGGAACGGCCGCUCGGAAAUGUCCCUCCCAAUAAAAAUUAAGCACGGUUCGGACUACCAAUCUGUUAAUCUAAAGGUUGAUGGCGAAGAUUUACCGCGCCUUUUACACGCCGAGGUUUGAUACUAGGUCUGUUCGUGUCAUUUUUUCCGGACCAAACCAUAAACUGGCGGUUAUUUUACGGGUCGAGGCGAUAUAAAGGAUCUGUUAGAGUUGCCCCAUGUCACCCUAGUGCGACCACGGAGUGUACGGGUCAUAAUUUUUGCUCCUUCUCUUUGAGUAAAGUGAAGCCCAUAUGUCGACUGGACUUAGACUCACGGGACAGGUGGUGCAUGAUAACGUAAGAUGGGUGGUAGAAUUGAAACUUAACAUCAGGCAUGUGUGUGAGACAACCACACACAUGUGCCAAUAAUUCCAGUAUUGUGCUUCUCAACGACAACACUUCAUAGUUUUCUCUCUUUGUCAUGGUUUCGGCAUUUAUUUAAACCACUGCAGGAACUGUGAAAAUGUGCAAGAUAUCCUGGUUUCUAUGUGCACUUCUAACUAGGCUGAGAUUGUGGAAAGAGUAGGGAUAAUUUGCACAAAUGAAGGACCACAUAGCAUACUAAUUAUUCGGCUUGGGAUGCAUUAGGAAAACCAUUUAUAGUAUUAAGGGAGCCAGUUGAGGAUCCAUCAUUACUAUUUCUGGAGACAUGUAAGGUUGAGAAUAGGCCGUUGGGAGACAUUGGUUGGCUUGUGCCCACACCAAUUGUCUAUGUUGUGGGUCACUAGAUUGUUUUUCCUGUUUUGGAUACUACAUAUAGCUUCUCACAGUUCCGACUGAAAGCAGCAUCGACAAACAUCACACUCCGACAUUGCUGAGCAUUAGAUACUAAACAAACAAAUUAGUGAACACUAGAUGAACAACUAUCUGAAGGACAAUAUUGUUGGACUGUCAACUACAACAAUUCCUAUCUCUCCGGCAAGAGAUAUCUGAAUACGAGGUAAUCAACUAAUAGUGUCUGAAAAAGAGCUAAUAGUCAUUGGUGCUUAGAUAAUUGUUGAUGGUGCUGUGAAGUGUUGUGUGUCUCAACAUUUGAACAAGAUUGUCUCCUUGCAGCUCCAUCUUAGCCAUAUCGAUAACAAUCGCCCACACCUCUCUAAGUUGUCUUCCCGUGUGAAGACUCCUGGCCAAGAAGCAGACAACAUUACCUUCGUGUAAGCUCAACGUGGGCAUAUAAACGAAGAGACAAGGAAAAGUUGGCUCAUCGUCUUCUUCAAACUCCAACUGCUCAGGUUGCAUCUCGAUGAUGUUGAAACUAUAUGCCACUGAGAGUUCCCUAGCAUCAAACACAUAGUCCUCUUGCCAGUUCUGGAGUAGGUCCCAUGGACUCAUAGUCGUAGUGGUAGUUCCCAUGCGGUAGCUAGCAGUACGAAUCGAGGAGUUGAAGGGACAACACACCUCGGCACCCGACAUGUCAAUGGUCAUGUCGGAAGGUUCUAAUGAGUAGUUGAUCGACCGUCGUUGGCGAGGGAAGGAAUGCUGGUGGCAGCAGUAGAUAGUGCAGCUCGGGACAUUGGCUGAGCACGUCACAAAUGAGAAUUCAAAUGCACAAGUCCACGAAUGCCAUGGCACCACCGCGUCCGGAAACGGUGAUAGCCUUGUCCGGUAUAUACUUGUUGAUGAACCCGUCGGUAUCAGCUCCAUCCUCCAGUAUCAAGAGGGGCUUCUUGAAGGUCCAAGUUUGUGCCCCCCUCGUGCCCCUCAAACACAUGUUUGAUGCGGCAAUGUGGUAAUUGUCGCCGUCCCAAGACAAUAGGCCAACCGCGCAGAUCUCGUCCACUAUGUGCAUGCCAAUGUGAUGUGGUACAUGUAUUGCUCGGGGAAUGACCUUCUCAUCAUUUGUACCGAGAUUCUGAGGACAGGCCCGCCUUCGGUGGCGACGACGCGGGGGUCCUCAUAGAAAUACUUGCAGGUGUACCAGGCGAGAGAACUCGUGUAUGUGUAAAAACCUAUAUGUGUAGCAUUGUUAGUCAAGGUCCCAUAAAAAACGUUGUGAUAUACCCCUUAAAAAACAUUGGACAAUGACUUCUAAGCUAAAAUUGUGAAGGCUAAGGAUGGUUAUGCUCCACCCCCCCCCCCCCCCCCCCCCCCCCCCCCCCAACCCCCCCCCAANNNNNNNNNNNNNNNNNNNNNNNNNNNNNNNNNNNNNNNNNNNNNNNNNNNNNNNNNNNNNNNNNNNNNNNNNNNNNNNNNNNNNNNNNCCCCCCCCCCCCCCCCGCGCACCCCACCCUAAUAUGUCACCCCGGUGUGAUGACGAGGGGCUUGGGUUAGGCUUUUUCCUUAUUCAGUUGCGAUUGCAAAUACAUUUGUAGGACAAGUGAUAAUUGACAAUGUAAGAUGGGCGUAGAUUUUCAGCUUAACUUUAAUCUAAGAAUUUUUUAUGCAAAUUUGAUCUAACAAGUUACUGGGUGAGUCAGCUAAUCACGUUCCUUUUAUGCACUUACAGAUAUGUUGCAACUUAAAUUGAAUCUGACAAGUUAGUGGGUGUGUGAGCAAACCACGUACAUGUGCCGGUAGCUGGAUACUUUGCAAACAAUUCAUUGAUUUCUGUCCUCAUCCUGGUUUGGGACUUUAUAUAAACGAUUGGAAGAACCGUGAGUGUUAAAUGUCCAAGUUCCUUUUAUGCACUUGUAGAUAGGUUGAGAUGGUGGAAUGAGUAGCUAAUUUGCACCACCGAUGAAUGGUAUAGUAGGGUACUAAUUAUUAGGCUUGGGAAGUAUUAGGACAAUCAUUUCUAGCGGGAAUGGACUCCUGCGUUGCUUCAUGUCAAAAUAAACAUAAAUGUCAAGAUCAUGCACAUGUCGUUGCUAUCAUUCCUGCGAGUGCGAGCCCUGCCUGGCCCCAAAAGGAUGGAUGUGUACCGCAUAGUGCAGGUGCCUUGCGUCAUGCAAGACCAACUGUCACCAGGAGGAGGCGGCUUGCUUCUUCGGCUGCACCGAGCCUGCCGAAUCCUGCUAGGGCAGAUGCAGAGUGGGUGGCCACGACUGAGGUUGUUGAACUAUGCCAUAGAUGCAGACCACUGUGCAAGCUGGGCCUCGCUGGUUCUCUAGCCGGGAAACCUAACUGAUUGCUAGCAAGAGUUAUUUUUCUACCAUG
rnacentral:lncRNA from 1 species